AGAAAGUGAUCAUCAUGGCUCAUCUUCAUCUUCAUCGGUUAUUAUUGCCUUCCCCAAAUUGAAAUCACUUUCAAUUGAGUUUCUGUGCGAAUUGGAGGAGUGGGAUUAUGGGAUUACAAGAACGGGAAACACCGUCAUCAACAUCAUGCCACGUCUUUCUUCCUUGACAAUUGCUCUUUGCCCCAAAUUAAAGGCACUGCCCGACCACAUUCAUCAAACGACAACAUUGAAGGAAUUGCACAUUUGGGAUUGCAGGCUUCUGGAAGAACGUUAUUGCAAGGGGGAAGGAGAAGACUGGCCUAAGAUAUCACACAUUCCCAACCUCCAUAUUGGGCAUUGACAAGUAAUUUCUUCUCUUACUCUGAUUUGCUUUGUUGUUGUUUUUAAUCUAAUUAAGAAGCGUAAAUAGCAUUUUGAAUCAAACUCUAUAUCAGAAAUCUGCAAUACUUACUUUCUAAUAUUCUGAUUUUCAUAUCCUAUGAAUAUACGAUUUUUAAUUUGUGAGAUGGGUAACGUUACUGUAAAAGAUUAUUAAUGCAAUAUGAGUAAUUCUUUUGCAGGACAAGUGACCUACAUUUAGUUUGGCUUUGGAGUUGAAUAAUAACCUUUCGGGAACUGGUGUGGACUGGCAAAGGAUGAUGAGAUAGUUUUUUGAGUGAGUAAAUUUUGGGAGCUUGAGUGUAUUGGGAUUUGCAAUUACAAUCAUCGUCUGCCUCAGGUGAUUUCUUCUCCUGCUCUGUCAUUGUUUGUUCUCUAAUUCAAAAGCAUAAAAUAUUUCAAUCAAUUUUUAUGCCAGGAAUAUGCAAAAGUUUCUAAUAUUUUAUUUCCAUCUGUCACAAGAUCAAACUGAAGCAGAACUCAAACAAAAGUAUGCUACUUCUUGCGGAAAUCUUGCCUUCGUUCAAAUUAUGAAACCAUUUCCAUGCAGCAAAUUCAUCCAAAAGUUUGAAUAAGUUUCAUGGUUGGACACUGUUGGCUUCUUUUUCUUCUGGGGUGCAUUUAGGUGCUAUCAAGUGACAGCUGUAAGUAUGAUUGCACUAAGCUGCUGCUGGGAAAUUUGAGGUUUUGAUGGCUGCCCAUGUUAUUUUCAAGAAACUAUUGAUGUAAGAAGCCGUGGUUCUUUUCAUCAGCUUGAACCUGAAACUGUCGCUAUGGAUAACUCAGGUUUUUGUUAUCAACUAUAUCAUCUUUUUCACUAUUUUGAAACUCUUAAGAUUAAACGUUAGUAAAGUUGUUUCAGCUAUUCAAAUGAAAAACUCAUUGAUUUGAGACUUCCUUCAUUAUUGUUUCUAAUUACAAUGCUAACGAUCCAGAUAAAAUAAUAUUUAAUCGGCGAAGGUGUCCCUUGGAAGUACAUCCUUCUUUUUCUUUUAUUAUAUAAAUUCUUGCAAUGAGCUUAGUCAAGAUGUUGUGCUAAUCAUGCCACUGCAUAUAAAUUCUCCAGAAGUUAAAAUCAAUAAAUUUUCUAUUAGCUCUAGUGCUUUGACCUAAAUGCUAUUCUAUAUUCUGAUUACAAUGUUUUAACCUUUAAAUUAACUACCCCUAGGUGUUGGAUUUUCUAGAACUUCAAAAUGAUUAAUGGAGAAAGAUCCCAUUAUCGUUAUUGCUAUAAGAAAUUGAUUUAUGCAUCCAAAGAUACAUUAUAUAUUUCUGUGUCUCUAUUUAUAGAUGACAUUUAAGCAUCCAUAAACCGUCAGACAGAGGAAGGGGGUUCAGUGCAAAGAUUCUGUUGACCUAGGGUUGACUGCAUAAUGUCACUUGUUCGCAAUCUAUUAUUUAUUUUAUAUUUUGAAGAAUUUAAUGGGUAAUCCUAAUUGUUUGUUUUGGCAGGUAUGUGUUGUUUUCUCCUUCUAUCUAACAGUCGUACCUAAAUAGCAUAGUUUCAUCUGUGUUACCAUGUGAUGUACAUAAUUUCACAUUUGCCUCAGAUUAAGCUUAAUUUCCCACAGAAUAGAGCUGUCGCGACUGGACUUAGGUUGAUGUCCAAAGAGGUAAAUUAUUGGCAUGCCUAGAUAAUUUGGCCAUUUCCUAAUUCAUAAGUCUACAUUAAUUUUGAUUUUGAGUUGACUGAUUUCUUUUCAAGGUCUGCUUCCUUAACGGAGUGACCAAUGUUUUUCAACUAAAUUUAUCAUAUGAUGCAGGAAGCAGGGCAGGAUAUGAAAUGAGAAGCUCAUUGGUGGAAGUAUUGCCAGUAACAGAACCCAAAGAAAAUGAAACUAUUUCAAGGCAGCAGUUGGCAGUUGCAAGUGAAUGGAGGCCCUGACAAAAUUCUCAAGCGGUUGCAAUGCAAUUACGAUCAUCCUCAGCCUCAGGUAAUUUCUUCUCCUGCUCUGUUUUUAUUUGUUAUCUAAUUAAAAAGCAUAAAGUAUCUUGAAUCACUUUCUCUAUCUGGAAUAUAUGCAGCAGUUUCUAAAAUCUUCAUAUGAGUGUAAUGAUGGUAAUUUCUGUUUUUUGUCUGUCAUUGAAUGUUAGACAACUUUCAGUGAGACUCUUGAACCGAGACAUUUUUGACAACUGAAGGACAAUUGCUGAAGAGUCGGAAUGGUGCUAGAUUGGGGAAUAAAGACAAAGGAGGUAAAUUAUUUGCAGUUUAUUCAGCAUUAUUUGCUUUGGACCAGCGCCUGAUUCACAAGUCUCCAUAAUUUGGCUUUUGACCAGUUAAUAAAUUUUUAAUUCCAUUGGUGCUAAAUGUACACGUGAAGCAGGCAGAGCAGGACUGUGGAAAUGAGAAGGUUUUUAGUGAAAGCUUAAACUCAGGUAAUUCUAAAAAGUACAUGUUUUUGCUGAUUUAUCUAAAUCAGGAAAUUUUAUUUCCAUCUGUUACAAGAUAAAACAGAAACAGAACACAAAGAAAAAUAUUCUACUUCUUGUGGCAAUCUUGCCUUCAUUCAGACAAUGAAACCAUUUCCUUUCACCAAUUUCUUCCAAAAGUUUGAAUAAGUUUCAUGGGUGGACCUAGUUAGCUUCUUUUUCUUUUGGUGCAUUUAGGUCCUAUCAAGUGACAGCCAUAAGUAUGAUUGCAUUAUUGGGAAAUUUUAGGUUUGGAUGGCUCCCCAUGUUAUUGCCAAGAAAGUCCUCAUGUCAGAAGCUGCGGUUCUUUUCAUCAGCCUGAACCCGAACCUGUCGUUAUGGAUAACUCAGGUUUUUGUCAUCAACUAUAUCAUCUUUUUUACUGUUUUGAAACUCUUAAGAUUAAACUUCAGUAAAGUUGUUUCAGUUAUCCAUGUAAUCAGGCUAAGGAUAUUUAGCAGCUUAUUUAGGCAACUGCCAGAAUUCAGUUUGUUAGCUCGAAACUUGUAUGGUGACAAGGAUACUGGCAAGGAUAGUGAGAUAGUUUUUUGUGUGAGUGAAAUUUGAAAGCUUGGGUGUUCUGGGAUUUGCAAUUGCAAUCAUCCUCUGAGUCAGGUGAUUUCUUCACCUGCUCUGUCUUGAUUUUCUCUCUAAUUGAAAGCAUAAAGUAUUUCAAUCAAAUUCUGUACCAGGAAUACGUAAAAGUUACUAAUAUUUUAUUUCCAUCUGUUUGCAUUGAUAACUCGGCGGCAUAUGUUCUAGUUAAAGAACAAACAGAAACAGAGUUCAGGAAAAAGUUUCUUCGGCCACCAUAUUUGAAAAUGAAACCAUUUCCAGGAAGCAGUUGGCAGCAAAUUCAUAUGGAGUGUAGACAAUGAUGAGCAAAAAGGUGAUUCGCAAUUUCUUUUUUUUUUUAAGUGAAAUUAUUUGUUAGAUUGAAGCUGAUAUUGUAAGAAGGCCAUUGAGCUAACCUAUGUCGCCACUUGCCUAGAUUGCAGGGGGUCAAGACUCAAAAGAAGCACUGAAAUUUAAAAAGCAUGCAAUAGUUCUUUUGCCAUGUGUCAAUUAAUGCAAGUUUGAAUAAGUUUAUUGGCUGAACGAUGUUAGCUUCUUUUCCUUUCGUGCACUUUGGUAUGCUAUCAAGUGACAGCCGUAUGUAUGGCUUGCAUAUAGCUGCUGCUGGGAAAAUUGACGAUUUCAUGGCUGGCCGUGUUAUUGUCUUAAAUUAGUUGUGAUAAGCUGUUGCUUGGAGAUUCUGUUGCCAAGAAUUUGCUCACAUCAGAAGCUGUGGAAUCUGAACCCUUCGAUUCUGUUGCCAAGAAUUUGCUCACAUCAGAAGCUGUGGAAUCUGAACCCUUCGUUAUGUAUCAUCUUUUUCAUUGUUUUAAAACAGUAAACUCUCAGGACACUGAGCAGGCAAAUGUUAUAACUCGGUUUGUUAGCCAAAAACUUGUUGAAGAUUCUUGACAAAGCUGCGUCGAGUGAAUUGUCGGAGCUCUGAGGGUGAGAGAAAUUAGAGGGUGUAUAGGGAUUUGGAUUUGUUAGGAAGUUAUCAUUUUUAUUUGUCCGAUUCAAAACUUGAUAUUCCAAUUAUAUUCAUAAGCUUCUACAGUUAUCUUCAAAAAGACAUUCCAAUUAUAUUCAUAAGCUUCUACAGUUAUCUUCAAAAAGACAAAUGGAAGGCUUUGAACGGCUUGGGUCUGAGUAUUGUAGUUUGAUUUAUUUUGAUGAAAGAACCUUUUGACAUUAAGAUUCUUUCAUGAGUUAAACAUUCUUUUUAAAACCAACUUAUUAAAAAAAAAGUAACGAACAUAUAUUAUUUUGUUAGUGCUUUUUAAAUCAAAUAUAAAAAAGAGAACUGUAAUUCUUAGCAACCAAUUUUUCAUUGAGUACACCUACAACAAAUUAUUAAAAAAUAAAGCGAUAGAAAAUGCCUGAUUUUUCGUACUUUCUAAUUACUUUUGGUCCUAAAAUAUGGCGAUUUGUGUAAUAAUAAGCCCAUGUAUAUCUUUAUGCCAUUAGUUUGAUAAAUAACUAUCAAGGAUAACUUAUUAAGCUAAAAAUAUUUGAAGGAUAAAAUGGGAAAACUAAAAGGGUGGAGUAAUAAAGUUAUUUAAGAUUACAUAGUAAGUUAACUAUAUUCGAGGGAUAAAAUAUUAAAACUUGAAUAGUUAUAUUAAAAAUAUCUCGGCUAUUAUACUAUUAAACCAUAUGCCGUAAUAAUGUUUUUUUUCAAACUUUAAAAAAUUCAGGAUUUUAAAUUAAAACAUGGAUUUCUUUAAGAUGCUAUAUGUGUUUUUACAGUAUUGAUAGUGGGAUUAGUGUGUACCCUUAUAUGAAAGAGUUUUAAUCUGAAUCAUUCAUUUAAUAUAAUAGAUAAUUAAAUAAUUAAUUAAAAUAUAGCAGGUAACUUAUAGGUUGCAGGUAAAAAAUUAAUUUUUUAAUUUUAAAUUAAAAUUAAUUUGGAACAAAACCAUCCACACCCCUAAGGUUUACUUAAAUGAUCAUAUAAAUCCCUUUAGUUUCUACAUAGUUAUACAGACCCUCUUAAUUUCAUAAAUUAUUAUUAUACUUUUAAUUAAAACAACCUAAAUGAAUAUAAAUAUAGUAAUAGGAUAGAAAUAAUAAAUAAAUAUCAGAUGAAACAAAUAAAAUAUUACAAUAAAUACAAUUAAUUAAAUAACAUGUAUGAUGAAAAUUUUAUUCAUAUUAAGUUAUUAUUAGUCUAUCCCGAUGGAUUUACUCAAAUCAAUUAAUCCAAAAUUUAAUUUUAAGAUUGAUAUUAAUAUGGACAUAAUUAAAUAAGAUGUUGUAAUAUAUACUACUUUGAAUGUUAAGUAUAAUUAUCUAAUAUUAUUAGUAUGUGAAAUAGAUUUUAAUAUUAUUAAAGAAUAUGACAAUAUAUAAUUUUGAAUUAAAUUUUUUAGUAUUCAUGAUAUUUUAUAAAUUUUAUGUGAUUUUAUAUAUUAUAUUUUUUAAUUUUAAUGUAUUAUAUAUGAUCAUUUAAGCAAAUUUUGGAGGUGCGGUGGUCUUUUCCCUAUUAAUUUUGUAGCAUAUUUAAAGUGUUAUAUCAUACAUGAUACAUCACACUUUUGUUAAAGUGUUAUGUUAUUAAAAAUUAAACUUUGCAUUUAUAAUAUACUACCAUUUUAAUGUAAAGGUAAUAGAAAAUAUGAAGAUAUUUUUAAGUAGUCAAUUGUAGCUUUCUUUUACAAAAUAGCAGUAUAGAAAUACAAUUGGUAAAAUGUAAUAAAAAUGGUAUGGAAAAAAGUUAGUAGAGGCAAUUAUUCUUGUAGUUGCUAAAACAUAUGAAGUGACACACACACACACACACAUAUCAAGUACUUGUAUGUUCCCCUAACUUUUAUUAAUGGGAAGGAAAUUAAAUUCGUAAUUUUCCCGGUGAAUUAUGAAUUGAUAAAUGAAAUAUAAAUAUUAGUAAAAAUUAAUUUGUCGACUAAAGAAGUAAACCAUAUUUUAUGGGCAUUUAAUACAUUAAUUUAAGGUCAAAUGAGAUAAUAUCACAUGAUAUUUGAUACAAGAGUCCAAUUUUCAACAUUUGCAUAUAGUUUCUAAGCUAGUAAUCUAAUAAAAUAUACCAAAUGAGAAAUUGAAGGCUAUUAUUUAUAUUUCACCAUUGGACAAACACCAUACAUUAGAAUAAAAAAAUCUCACAGUAGAGACGGCAUCUGUUUGCAUGUUUUGAAAAUAGAUUUUGAAAUUAGUUUAAUUACAUGAUAAUUAAAUUAUAUUAUAAAAUUAAGAAUAUGAUUUAAGUACUAUUUUAGCAAUUUUGAGUCUCACAUUGAGUAUUCAAGUUAAUUAAAUGUUGAAACUCUUUUCUAUUUGGCUUGAAAUCACUACUAAAUAAAAUUACAAAAAGUCAAUAAUGAAUGAUGUAGGACACAUAUGUAAAAUAAAUUUUAAAGUGUAAUUAAACAUUCCUAUCAAUAUUAGUUUUGCAUACAUAUUCAUAUAUUUUACCGAAACCAUAUAUAAUUAAAUUUUGUGUAAUUAAGUAAAAUAUAUUAUUCAAGUGAAUUUAUGAGAAUAUUUAAAAUUGUAGGGGUCGUCACUGAAAUUUGCCAAACUUGAGCCAACCGUGCAUGAUCCAAACAGUUUAUUUUAAUAAUUCUCAAUAUGUUAGUCUGUUUGACUGUUGGCAAAAUAAAUUCCUAUCAGCAAUGCAACACAAUUCAAAAUCAUAUCUGCAUACAACGAACAAUAUCUCAUGAAAGAUCAAAUUAUACAUUUUUUACACCAAACCAUAAAUAUCUAAAUUGUCCCUCUUCAACUCACCAAGCUCAUACCUAACAACAGCAAGAUUAAAUGUCAUUUGAUCCAUCUUUUUUAUUAAGCUUUAUCAAUUCUUCUCAUGGUUGCAAUUUUGAAAGCUCGCUUCGCUAUUUCCAUUUGCUUUUAUGCUUUGUUUGAGCUCCAUCUUUUCUCUCCAUCUACAUUUUACACUGUAAAAAAAAUUUUAAAAAAAUUACAAAGCUUCUUAUGCUAGAAUAUGAGCAACAAUAUAAAUAAUAAACAAUAAAGUUAUGAUAGCACAGCAUGCUCAUUAAAGUGCUUCUUUUUUUUUUUUUUCAACAAGAAAUUACUACUGAAUUAAAGAUUUGGCUUUGCAUUAAGGUUUGCCUUCAAUAACUCAACUCCCCACUUGGGUUUUGUCGUUUUCUUAAAAUCUCUGCUCAAUCAAUUUAAAGAUCCUUUUUUUUUUCUUUCCAAAGAUCUAAAAGCAAUGUCUUUUAUUGGUACCCAACAAAAAUGCAAGGUCUGUGAGAAGACAGUUUGUCCAGUUGAGCAGUUAUCUACUGAUGGGGUUGUUUAUCACAAGUCUUGCUUCAAGUGCUCUCACUGCACUGCAAAGGCACACUCAAGCUAAGCAAUUACUCAUCCCUGGAAGGUGUUCUUUACUGUAAGCCUCACUUUGAGCAGCUUUUGAAGGAGUCGAGUAACUUCAACAAGAAUUUCCAAUUACCUGCAAAGUCAGCUGAGAAGUUAACUCCUGAGCUGAAAAGGUCGCCUAGCAAAGUUGACAGCAUGUUCUCUGGGCCCAAUAAAAAUGUGCUUCUUGCAGUAAAACAGUGUGUCCGUGGGAGAAGGUAGCAGCGGAAAACCAAGCCUCUCACAAGACAUGUUUCAAGUGCUCACAUGGUGGUAAUUCCAUUAGCCCGUCAAAUUACGCAGCCCUAGAAGGCAUCUUGUAUUGCAAACAUAAUUUCUCCCAAUUGUUCAAGGAAAAAGGCAGCUACAACCACCUUCUAUCAAAUCUGCUUCCAUGAAGCGUGCUGCAGUCUCUGUUCAAGAAGCUUGAACAUGUUAUGUUAUCUUCCAUAAAUCUUAUUUGGCGUGGGUUUUCUCUGGCUUGAGGGUGUGCUUUCUAUUUUGAUCCCUCUUGUUGUUUUUGCGGGGAACUACCAAACCUUCGGUUCCCUCUGCUUCUUUGGAUCAUCUUUGUUGGGACAAAUUUCAUGUAAUUAGAGAUACUGAUUUAUGGGAGGCAUAAUCCCAUGGUUGUAAAUUGACCAUUUUCUGGCAAUGUUCUUUUUAAAAAGAGAUGAGCAGUUGUUUAACAAAAAAAAUAGCUGGCCUUCAUCAUGGUAUGUUACCAAACUGCUAUGUAUAGCUGCUAACUAUGAGCAUCCGAAAAUAUGGUGCAUCGUGAUUCAUGUCGUGCAAUAUGGCUACCAACGCAUCCUAAAUGGAGUAUUACUCAGUUAGUCAGCAAAAUAAGACAACAGUAAGAUAUUAAAAAAAUAAAAACUACAUUAAUAAGUGGGCAAGAUCAUGCCAGUUUAACUUUUCGCGCGUCGCUGCUGGAGAUAAUCAAAUCGGGGCAGAGAAAAGGAGAAUGGAAUCAGAGGCUAAGAUUAAUAAGUGGGCUUCUGCUUGCUUUGCCCCUCUUUCUUAAACGAUUGGUAGACUGCUGCUUCCACCGAUUAACCGGGUCUUCAACCACUGCUUUUAUUGCCUGCCAUCUUGUUGUUUGUCGAAGGGAUGAAUUCGAGUCGAAAAGAGAAAGCGCGCUGAAAAAGACAAAUCACUAGUGGUUAACUACUGACUCAGCCAAGUGUUGGCUUCACUUGAUUCACCGAUUGAGGUUAUUUUGUCUUCUAUCUAAUGCAGCGAAGAAGCUUUACUGCUUAACAUGCUGCAAUGCAACUUUAUCUUUUGAAGUUCACACUUCAGGGCUGCGCACUUUAUGUAAUCCUAUGAGUAAAAAGAAUUUAUUUUCAAAUGUGAAAAAAGAAAAUGUAAGGUAGUAACUAAAUAUAUUAUAGCAUCAAAGUAAGAUUUGAUAUGAAUUUAGUACAACAAAGAACAUUAAAUCUGUGAUUCCUUGUCUAAUGUCACCAUCGAGCAACAAAUUUAAAAGCCUACCUAUCAAAUACACGAGGCAAUAAACGGAGAAAAAGUUGAAUUACAAGAACAAGUUUACAAUUCUUGUCAAUGGUUAAUGAUUCGUGAAUUGAGAUAGCAUUCAAGAAUCCAAUUUCAAUACAACAACGUAAAAGAUAAACAGAUGAUGAAUUUUAUGAGAUAAAGAAGGAGAUUGUGUUUUAUCGUAUCUCUAUUUUCUUUCCAUUUAAAUUUAAAAUAAGCUUUUCAACCGGUUAUAAUAUUUUUUGAAAUAAUUAAAUAUUUUUAUUAUUAAAAAUAAUGUGUACCGUUGAUUACAUCUAACGCUACAUAUUUCUUACACUAUUAAUACCGUAAAAAAAAUCAUAGAGGGACCCUUAAAACAUUUUCAUUUGAAAUUAUUUGGUGAAGUGAAAAAGUUAAGAAAGAAAUAGUUGUCCCUUUGGUCAUUUCACAAAAAUGAAAGCCCCAUAUAACAUGGACUUGAAUGGAAGCCCAAUUGUUGUGUUUGAUUUCAAGCUUUAUCGGACCUUUGGACCUGGAUACUUUACUGCGGCCUCUAAGCGCUACAAAUUUUUUUUUUGGGAUAAAAGGCGCUUCAAUGAAAAAGCACUUUAAAACUUUGGAUUUUGCCAAAACUUCAAAGCGGUUGGUCCAGUUACGGUGUUAUGCUAACGGGUUUAAAGGUUCCGAUCCAAUGAGUUAGGGUGGAAUAUGAAUAUAUAAAUCCUAGUCAUGUAAGGACUAGGAUUUGUUUGUUCAUAUCAAGAAAAAAAAUCUGAAAAUUUGAUGAUCAGAAGAUAAAAACACUUAAACACGUUUAUUACAGAGAAACAAACGACAACAUGAUGCUAGUAGUAAUUUUAUUUUUCUUUUAUUGUGUAACGUGGACCAAAAAAAAGGAAAUGAAUUUAAUAAAACCGUCAUUCCGCAAUAAUAAUGUACCAGCCUGGUUUUUAUAAUCCAUACCAUCCUGAUAUAAUUAAACACCAUUAAUAAUGUACCAGCCUUUAAAUAGUAAUUAAUUUAUUUAUCUAAUUCACCAAAUGUCAUUUCCGGUACAUAUCUCCUGGUAUCAAGAAGAGGCAGAACCCAAAGAAACGUUUCUUGUAUCUUCAUAUUUGUGCGAAUUCAUCCUUUCAUUGAGAAUAACCAUUUCCAGGCGGCAGUUGGCAAUCAAUUCAUGCGCAAGUCGAUGCUAUUCAUAGAUAUUAAAGACAAUGAUGAACCAAAGGUGAUAAAUCAUAAAUGCAUAAUUACCAAACCUCCAUCCUUCUCUCAUUAUGAUUUGAUUUUAAAUGAAUUAUUGCUUGGUAACAUUAUUUCCAACCAUUGCAAGAUUAUUAUUAUUUUUUUUUGGGGAGAAAUUUCAAUUGAAAGUGAAACCUUUAGACAUUUACCUAAUGAAGUUAGUUAAUGGGGAGGGUUGGAAAAAUUCCCAAGCCGUUGCACAGCAAUUACGAUCAUCCUCGGCCUCAGGUAAUUUCUUCUCCUGCAUUUUUGUUAUUUGCUAUCAAGUGACAUUCGUAAGUAUGAUUGUAUUAAGCUGCUGCUGGGAAAUAUAAGGUUUUGAUGGCUGCCCAUGCUAUUGUCAGAAGCUGCGGUUCUUUUCAUCAGCCUGAACCUGGACCUGUCGCCAUGGAUAACUGAGGUUUUUUUUUUUUUAAAUCAACUACGUCAUCUUUUCCACUGUUUUGAAACUCUUAAGAUUAAACUUUAGUAAAGUUGUUUUAGUUAUCCAUGUAAUCAGGCUGAGGAUACUUAGCUGCCUAUUUAGGCAAAUGUCAGACUUUAGUUUGUUCGCUGGGAACUGGUGUGGUGACAGCGUCCUGGCAAAGGAUGAUGAGAUAGUUUUUUGAUUGAGUAAAUUUUGGGGGCUUGAGUAUAUUGGGAUUUGCAAUUACAAUUAUCCUCUGCCUCAGGUGAUUUCUUCUCCUGCCCUGUCGUUGUUUGUUCUCUAAUUCAAAAUUAUAAAAUAUUUCAUCAAAUUUUAUGCCGGGAAUAUGCAAAAGUUUCUAAUAUUUUAUUUCCAUCUGUUUGUCUUGAUAACUUUGCAGCAUAUGUACUAGUUAAAGAACAAAUCGAAACAGAGUUCAGUUAAAAGUUUCUUCUGCCGUCAUAUUUGAAAAAUGAACCCAUUUCCAGGAAGCAAUGGGCAGCAAAUUCAUAUAAAGCGUAGACAAUGAUGAGCAAACAGGUGAUUCACAUUAAUGAAAUUAAUUGUUUGGUUGGAGCGGACAUUGUUAGAAGGCUAUUGAGCUAACCUAUGUCACUACUUGCCUAGAUUACAGGGGGUCAAAACUCAAAAGCGGCAUUGAAUUUUAAAAGGCAUCCAAUAAUUCUUGUGGCCAUAUAUCAAUUCAUGUAUGUUUGAAUGUAAUUAUUGGUGAAGGGGUUUCACUUCCCGUCUCUAAAUAAAAAUACUGAUUCUUUAAGGUACCUGCCACUAGGGAUUGCGAGAUUAAUGAGUCUUUGGACAUUGGAAGAGCUCCUUGUGAGUGGAGGAGGAGGUGUUGAUGGUAGCAAAGCAUGUGGGCAGUGGGCUUGAAUCUCUAAAAAACUUGGAACUCCUCCAAGCGUAAGUAUACGUAUACUGGGAAAUUUGUUAGAUGUGGAUGAGGCUAAGAGAUUAGAGCUUGACAAAAUGAAAUACCUCUUUCAUUGAGACUUAAAUUUGAUGGGGAAGAAGAAAAAGAAGAGGGAAGGAGGAAGAAUGAGGAUAAUCAACUUGUUCUUGAAGCCUUGCAACCACCUCUGAAUUUGAAGGAAUUAGAGAUUUGGUCAUACAGAGGCAACAUUGUUUCCCCCCGGAUGAUGCAAAAAUUGAAGGAAUUUACCAAUCUAAGGAGUUUGACACUCUUUAAAACUGCAAAAAUUGAGAGCAGUUGCCUCCUUUGGGAAAAUUGUGAUCCUUUGAAAAUCUCAGCAUAUUGUACAUGGAGAGUGUGAAAACAGUGGGUAAUGAAUUUCUGGGAAUAGAAAGUCAUCUUCAUGACUCAUCUCCAUCUUUAUCAGUUAUUAUUGCCUUCCCCAAAUUGAAAUCACUUUCAGUUGAGGGAUUGAUGGAAUUGGAGGAGUGGGAUUAUGGGAUUAAAAGAACAGGAAACACCUUCACCAACAUUAUGCCACGUCUUUCUUCCUUGGAAAUUAGUGUGGGGUUAUGGGAUCGCACAACCACGUUGAAGGUAUUGCAGAUUGUGGCAUGUGGUACUCUAAGAAGACGUUGCAGACAGGGGAGAGCAGAAGACUGGCCUAAGUUCUCUCACAUUCUAGACAUCAUGAUUGUGUGAAAAGAGGCCCUUGACAAAAUUCUCUAGGCGGCUACAUGGAGUACAAUCAUAAAAUGCUAAUGUGGCCACCCUGGUUCUUAAUUAAGGUUGUGAAAUAUUAUUGUAAAAGAUGAUUAAUUCAAUUUGAGUCAUUCGUUUGCUUUGAUAAUGAUAGUAAUUUUAUAUUUUGACAAUUUGCAAGGUGAGAAUGGUGCUGAUUGGUGAUACAGGAUACGGUUCAAACACCAUUGAAUAAAGCUACGGACAUGGUGGCUCAACUUAGCUAUUGCUGUCAAAAUUGGUAAGUUGGCUUGUCAAUGUAUUGAUGCUUUUGUUUUCUCUCAACCCUAAUUACCUUACCUUCAUUUAGUUUGGCUUUGGAGUUGAGUAAUAACUUUCAAGGUUCUCAAACAGAGCAGGACAACCGAAAAAAAAAGCUUAAUUUGCUACUGAUCACGUGUUACCAAUUAUUAAGGUAAUUCUCGUUUACUUGCUUCUACACUAUAGAGUACGUGUUCUGGCUGGUUUAUCUAAUUCAUCAAAUGUUAUUUCCUUAUUGUUCCAUUGAUAUAUUUGUUAGAAAGUGAAACCAUUUCCAGGCAGCAGUUGGCAGUGAAUUCAUGCAAAUGUUGAUGCCAUUCAUAGAUAUUGAAGACAAUGAUGAGCCAAAGGUGAUAAAUCAUUAAUGCAUAGUUACCAAAACCUCCAUCCUUCUCUCAUUGUAAUUUGAUUUGAAAUGAAUAAUUUCUAGGUAAUUGAAGCCAAUAUUGUUAGAAACGGUGUUGAGCUACCCAAGCUAAGAAGUUGGCUGCCAAAAAAUGCAGGGGAUCAAAAGAAGCAUUGCAUUUGAAAAGGAAUGAGAUUCUGGUUGCUACAUGUCAAUUCGUAGAAGUUUCAAUAAAUUUAAUGGUUCAAGAUUUUAGUUUCUGUUUAAAUUUGUGCUACUGCAGUGCUGCAGUGCUGCUACUGGGAAAUUUAAAUCCCAUAUUAGACUUUCCUCACAUAAGAAGCUGUGGAUCUUCGGACAUCAGGUUUUUUCACAGUUCUGAAACUCUCAGGAUUAAACUCUAUUAAAGUUGUUGUAGUUGUCUACGUUCUCAGGUCAAGGAUUCUAAGCUGCCGAUUAAGGCAAAAUGUCAGAAUUCCCCUAUUAUUUUUUUUUUCAUGUAAAAUUAUGUUGUUGUCUUCGCCCAUGAAUCUUAGCUAAAUUCUGAACCAAUUGUUUGCUAUUAUAAAUUUCAUUGUUAAAUAUUAAUUGUGAUGUUGGUGUUGAGUUUCUUUUAAAGUCAGAGAAGCCUGACGAUUGAGUUCCAUGGGAUUCUGAGAAGCAGUAAUAUUUUGAACAAGUGAAGGUUCUUCGUUUUUACAGUAUGUGCAGAUGUCUAAGAGGCAGGAUUUUUAUUUCUGUAAUGCUAAAUUUCGCAAAACAAUAAAAAUAAAUAAAUGCAUGACAGUGACUUCAAGAAUUUAGAUUAUUGAAUUUGGUCAUUUUAAAAUUGUUGGAAUGUUGAACUUAAGUAAUUUUUAUAAACCAGAGCUCAGAAAUGUAGAAUAUAAAUAUUGGAGAUUUGGACUUCAAUCAUUAGACUUGAAGCUAAAGAGGUAAGCCAUUAAUUAUAUCAAAGGAUUUGGAAAAUGGAGGGAUUGGAAAAAGGAAACAUUUUCAUAAACUUCAAGAGGAACGUCACAGAAAGGGGUAAAGAGAAGAGUAGCCUAAGAUAUUAAAGACAAUGUUGAGCCAAAGGAAACAUAAAUCCCAACCAUUGCAUGUGAACAUGAUCACAAUAAGGUCAAAAACCAUUUUUUUGAGAAUUUUCAAUUGAAAGUGAAACCUUUUGACAUUUACCUAGUAAAGUUAGUUAAACGAGAGAAAUAAAGGGGAAAAGAAAAGUUGACUCAAGUCAAUACAGAAUAAUUAGUUCAAUCUGGAGUAACUAAAACAGAGCCACUAUAUUUUCAAAAAUAUCUGCAUUCAUCACCUUCUCCUCCAGCUAGUGAGCUACACACGAAUCCUUUCCUUUUAGCAUUUUUGCAGCAUCAAUUUCUCCCCUCGUUUGUCAUCAAUUUCUCCCUUCGUUUCACCAAUACCAUGGCUGAUGCAAUCGUUUCCCCUCUCUUGGAGCAGCUGAUUAUCUUUGCUGCUGAAGAGUUGAAACAACAGGGGAAGCUGGUGAGUGUUGGAUGAGUGGAUCACAGCAUGCGCCAAAUCGCAAAAUAGAUCAAUGCUCUUGGUGCUCCUUAUCUGAAGAAGAAGGUGCAAAUUGGGAGCUGCAUUUCACUGUCAUAACAUUUAUUGUAAUUUCAUUUGGAGAUAUGUAAUAUCUGUUGUCCAGAUACAUAUCAUACACCAGUUGCUAUGUAAUUUCGUUUAGGUUCAUUUUUGUUUCUUAAGAGUUUGUAAAAAGAAUGGAAAGAUUUUAAAAUAUAAAUUUCAUAUCUGUUUAUUACUGUUGUUUGGUCUAAUUUCUUAUGUAGAAUUUUCAGAAUCUGUAGGACAUUAGUUUAUAAUUUUGAGAUUUUGCAGCCAUAAAAAAAAUUUUUUUUUUUUGCCAUUUUAUUUUGCUCCUUUAUCUAUGUGCAUGUUGACUGGCUGCAGUGAGUGAAAAUUUACCUAUAUAUGCUGGCUAUUCUUGGACAAUAUUAGAGAAAAUAAUCAUAUUAUUUCGCGUGAUGUGAACUUCCAUAACUUAUCAAUUGAAUUGCUGUAAAAUAUUAAAUAGUUUUAUUUUUCUUUUAUCGUGUAACUUGGACCAAAAAAGGAAAUGAGUUUAACACGACCCUCAAUAUAACCUCCAUUUCAGCACAAUACAUGUUAAUUGUUCCCCAAGGACUUCUCCUGUUUCCCAUUCCCACCUCCAUGCUCUCGAGAGGAAUUUAGCACCCAUCAAUUUUUAUUUUUGAAAACUCGUAAUGGUCUGAUAAAAUUAAACAACAUCAAUAAUGUUACCAGUCUUUAAAUAGUAAUUAAUUUAUUUAAUUUGCCACCUAAAAGAAUCCUGCUGGAAAUAGAGGUUAAAAAUUUUAUUAGAUCUGCUUACCUUUGUUCAUUCAGCAAAAACACUUACAAUUCACAGCUAGAGAAUCUAUCCAUUGACAAUUGUGGAUUAAAAUUAUAACACCUGAAUUCAAACAUAUCCUUAUGAAGUUAUGAAUUUGUUCAUACUUCAAAUGAUUUUUUUUUCCAAGCUAAUAAAGCAACCACUUUGAUCAAACGACGACGUUGAAGGAAUUACGUAUUUUCAAUGUCCUUUUCCAGACAGAUGUUGGAGAGAGGGAAAGGAGAAGACUGGCCUAAUUAAGAUAUCUCACAAAGAUUAUUGAGUUAAAAUGUUAUUGUAAAAGAUGUUUAAUACAAUAAUAGUAAUUCUUUUGCAUUGUUAUAAUGAGGCUGGUGGGUUUCCUCAGAGGAUGGAUAUGGCUCGCUAGCAUGCAUUUGGGAAGAUGCUAAUUAUCGGCCAUAAAAAGUCAGGGGGUUGUGGCUCUUCCGUCGCCCAGAAAUUCCUAAACUCAUAUAUCAAACUUCAGAUGAACUUGGGCAUUAUGUAAAUAUGUAUUUUUGAGAAUUAAACUAGUGCGUUCGAAAAAUUUUGAGCCAUUGUAAUCAUUUUAUUUUGCUAAGAGAAAAUUUUACUUUGUUUCGCUUUGCCUUUUGUUUUUUCUGUGAUAAUAUGAUUCAUACGAAUGUGAUUACACACUAUCAUGCAUCUAUUUUCAUUUGCUUGUCAUGAAUGGUCAACAUGCUCGAAAUAUUUACUUAGGUUGGAAAUAUUUGAAUCCACUAAAAUACUAUACAAACCCAUUUUAAAAUUAAAAAAAUGAUUAUCAUAAUACUCGUGAAGAUAACACGAUAUCAUACAUAAAAUAAAAUAUUUCGCAAAAAAGAUAAGAUACAAAUCUUGAGUAAAUAGGUACAAAAAAUAUUUUAGUGGGUUAAGUAGCACUAAUGCCCCCUUAUCAAAAAAUAAAUAAAAAUAACUAGUCUGAUUGGGUAUACCGUUUAUAUAUAUGUACAUAUUCUUGAUAAUGUGUAAUGUACAUUAUAGACAAAGAUUUUGAAAGCAAUAUUUUUUAAAAAGUCGAGAGAAUAGGAAAAGUCUAAAUCAAUUUUCUAAUCUCUACCUCCUUUAUGAUUUAAACUUUAGUGUUUAGUGUCGCGAGCCACUCAAAUUUUCUAAUCAAAGAGACUAAAUUGCACGAAAUUGUGCUAGCUUAUUUGAUUCUAGAAAUUUCUACUACACUGUAACACACUCUCACGUAGGGAUGGCAAUGGGGAGGGGAGGGGAGGGGACCAAUCUCCCCAUAUCCAUCCCCGAUAUUUUACAUAUGUCCCCGUCCCCGUCAGAAUUGCUUGAGAGAAUCCCCAUCCCCUCCUCGAAUAAUAACAGGGGAUCCCCGAGGGUCCCCGGUCCCCGAAUAACUAAUAAUCUAAUACAUUUUUUUAUUUUCGAUUUUAAAUUAAUCAUAUUAAAAUAAACUCAUACCGCUAUUGUAAGCUCGUAACCAAUUUUGACAGCACAUUAAGGCCUCCAAUGUGCUUGGAUGAAGUCUGUUAUGGUAUGGGCUCACAACUCUACCACUAGUGUUAAAAGCUGAUUCAGAAGCAACUGUUGUAAUUGGAAUUGCCAAAAUAUCUCUAGCAAUUCGAGCUAAUGUAGGAUACCUAUUAGCAUUUGUCUUCCACCAACUCAAAAUAUUAAAAUCUUCCAUCCGAGGUAUAACUUUCUCAUCCAAAUAUGAAUCUAAUUCAUCUGCAACAACUGCACAAUCUCCAUUGUUUACAUAAUCAUCAAAACCUAUCAUCCAUUUGGUUGCUUUCUUAUAAGAAUCCCCUGUAGAUCUAGUAGAAGAACUACUACCAGUAUAAUCAAAGCAAUAAACAGUUGGUGAAAACUUCAAUUAAUACUCUUCAACUAAUUCCCGGCAAAGGAUGACCACUUUCCCAACAUACAACUAUUUUGAUAUUUAUUAUUUUUAACAAUAUUUAUAAUUUUGUUAUUUAUUUAUUAGUAAUUUUAAAAAUAAAAAUAAAAUUAAAAAUUAAAAUGGGGAAAUGGGUAGGGGAUGGGGAUUCCACCUCAUCCCCGUCCCCUCCCCGAAUAAAAAAUUGGGUAAAAAAUUUUCCCCGUCCCCUCCCCGAAAAAAAAAUUGGGUAUAAAAUUAUCCCCGUACCCUCCCCGAAUGGGGAAAAUCCCCGAGGGUAUCCGUCCCCGUGGGGAUUUUUGCCAUCCCUACUCUCACGCUUGUACAUACCUCGAAAUUCUCUAGAAUUUACUAGAGUAGUGUUGCAUGUAGCUUGUACAUAGGUUUUUCUGGAACACUCCAGGCAUUACUAAGCAUGAGAGCCUUGAGAACUCUCUAGCCAUAAAACAUUCUAGGGUAAGCCUACCCUAAAAAUAGGGCAUGAUGCUUGCCACUUGAGCAUACAACAAGUAAGAACAAAUCAAGCAUACUUGUGAGCUCUCAAACUCUCUUAUACACACUUUUAUGAAUAAUAUAUUCUCUCUUUGGCUAUAUUGCUCUCUCUUCUCUCUAGUUUUUUUCGCAAGCAUCAAACCUUAGUUAGUCGAAAAAUUCAAGGCUUACUUUAUAGCUAUCUCGUAAAAGUUGUUUAAGUACCAUAGAGAUUUGCUGUGCAAAAUACUCAUCACAUGACAUUAGCUAAAUAAAAUUGUUUGAAAGCCACUUACCCAAACUAUUAAACGAAUAUUGACUUUUGUCUUAAUUUUCUAUCUCCUACGAUAAAUUUUAUAGUUAAAAAUUGAAAAAAAUUAAUAACUAUUAGAUAGAGCAUUCUUUAUUGUUAAAAGAAAUCUAUAUAGAUAGAUAGAUGGUAAUAUAAAAACUUACUUAUUGUAGUAUAAUGUUUUUAGUUUUUUGAAACACAGAUUCUCACUUUUUAAAGAUAAAAUUCAAAGAAAACAAGUUAAAUGUUGUAGAAAAUCUUCCAGCCAUACAAGAAAUUGUGAUGGCUAAAUGCAAACCUAACUAAAGUAUUAGUUGUUUUAUUACAAUCUCCAAAAAGAUGAGCAAUUCCAAAAUCUUUUUUUGUGACAAUAAACACUACACGUCAGUAAUUAUCCAGGUCAAAAGCAAGCUACUCUAUUAAAAAAAAAAAAAACUUGCAGUGAAUUCGAAGAUAAACCAAUUUUACUAGCAAGUUGGAUACAAAAGAGUAGGGCUUCGGCCUCAAUUACUCAGUGUACCAACAACUCAAUCUCGGUGAGUUAAAAUCAACUUCCAUCAGUCUUUUAUUUGUUGAUAGAUCGAUUAAGGUACCAAAAAGAAUAAUUAAAGAUGUAUUAGUUCAAGUUAAUAAAUUCAUAUAUCUUGUGGAUUUUAUUAUUUUGGAAACUGAACCAAUUGCUAAUGAAUGCAAACAAAUUCCUGUUACAUUGGGUCGUCCAUUUUUAACUACUGCUAAUACAUUGAUUAAUUGCUGGAAUGGAGUAAUGAAUUUAUCUUUCGGCAACAUGACAUUGGAACUUGAUGUGUUCAACAUAUGUAAACAACCUCACCACCAGGAAGAUGAUGAUAAUGAGAAUUAGGAGAUUGAUUUCAUCGAGCCAAUCAUUGAGGAACACAUUCAGAAUAAGAAUUUUACAAAUUCUGUGGAAAUUUAUUCUUCUUGUUCUUUUGAAUCGAGUAAAGAAUUAAAUUAUGAUACUGCUAACAUAUAACCUACAAUUGAUUCUAUGCAGGUACAUGCUGACAAUGGCCAAUCAAACUUUAAAGAUACAGAACAACCUGAAGAACCAAACGAAGAGCAAGUACCAGAGCUCAAAUUAAAGCCCUUACUGGAAGAAUUGAAGUAUGUCUAUCUUGGAGAACAACAGAUUUAUCCUGUGGUAAUUUUUUUCCCAACUCACGCUUGAUCAAGAAGGUAAGUUGUUGUCUGUACUAAAAAGGCAUAAAACUGCAUUUGGCUGGACUUUAAAAGACAUAAAAAACAAUAAUUCUUUAAUCUGCACACACCGAAUACACUUAGAGGAAAAUACCAAAACAACCCAUCAACAUCGACAUUAUAUGUGUAAACAUUAAAUACCAAAAUCAACCCCAAAAACUAUAAAUAAAAUAUCAUGAUUAAAAUGAAGUUUUUUUUUAGAUAUUCGUUGUAGUAUCUCUUUAGAUCGCAAACAAGAGAUAAAAUAAAUAAAUAUUUGCUAUGUAAAUAAAAAUAAAUAAUUUUUUUUAACUGAAAAAUAUUCUCAAAAACUAAAUAGUUCAAACUUUUUUUAACAUCAUGUGUUUCUAGGGUUGGGCAUUCAGUUCGGUUUUUACCGAACCGAACAACUAAAUUAAAUCGAAAUUACCUGUUCGGUUCAAUUGAAUAGACAAAAACCGAAGAGUUUAUAUUUUCAUGAACUGAAUGAUUUGUGUUUCAGUUGAGUUCGGUUCGAUUCUGGACCUGAACCGAACCGAACCGAUCCGUGAAUCGUAAACUGCCCACCCUUACGUAGUAGUUUCCGUUAACCGACGUUGUAUUGCUCGUAUAAAAUUGUUCAAAUGUUCAAAUCACAGUCUCCCGCUCUCAGCUCAGUCAGAGUUUCCAGGUCCAGAGACUUCCCGCUGACUGAGAACUUUUUCGUAGCAGGUCUACAAAUAAUGGAGUAGAGCUGAUUUUAUGAUUAAUUUAUUUCCUUUUUCAAUUUCUCUUGAUUGCGAUUUAAUCUGGAAAGUUAAACGUGAAUUGUUUAGUGCGGAUUAAAUGUUCGACGAAUUUCCCACAAGAGUAUUAAGUUCAAGAGAAAAAAAGAAAACAAUUGAGCGUGAGCGUGAGCGAGAAUGGUGUUUGGGCAAGUGGUGAUUGGUCCGCCCGGCUCGGGAAAGACCACUUACUGCAAUGGCAUGUCUCAGUUUCUCAGCCUUGUUGGCAGGUAACUUCGUUUCUUGAUUUCAAGCAGCUUUAUCUUCGAUGACCAAAAAUAUUGAUUUGGGCUUUGCCAUUAAAUGAAUGUAAGAGCAGUAGGGAAUAACUGAGUUAUAGGAUUAGCUUUAAGUGAACAUUGAUGGUAAUGUGAAGGUUGUAUGUGUUCAGUGGCAAGCUGUAUGCCAAUUUGGUCUAUAUGGUUGCUUAGGUAGUAACUUAUUAAUUUUUAGGCAGGAAGGUUGCAGUCAUCAAUUUAGUUCCUGCUAAUGAUAGUUUGCCGCAUCCUUUGUCAUUGAACUUUCUUACAAAUGCUGUGGUUUGUUGUAGUAUAAUUAGUUCAAUUGGAAAUUUCCUUGAUGUUAAUAUAGAAAUGAGUGUGCUGUGAAUAUUGAGGACCUCAUUAGACUAAGUGAUGUGAUGAUGGAGUAUUCACUUGGUCCCAAUGGAGGUUAGUCAGCCUAUUGUUGUUUACUCUUUCUUGCUUUAUCACGCAAUGAUAUUCCUUUGCUUUACAACAAAUUUCAUGAAAUUAACUUCAAUCAAGUGGCAAUGUUCAUACGCUGUUGAGAUUUUAUGGACAAUGAUUUGGUAGAAUUUAUAUGCCGUCUUCUUUCUUUUUGCAGUGAUAUGCUUGUAUUCAAUGAGCUUGUACUUAUUCUAUGGUUUCUAAAGUAGGUGUUUUUAUGAUAAACUAGGUCUUGUGUAUUGUAUGGACUAUCUAGAGAAGAAUAUUGACUGGCUGCAGUCGAAAUUGGAACUACUUUUGAAAGGUAAGUAGAGGCCAUUUUCCUUCAUUCUAAUGCCAAUAAUGCUGUCAUGAGACUCAUAAAAAUUGUUAAAACGUUAAUGUUUUUGGUAUUUUGCAGAUCGUUAUCUUCUGUUUGAUUUUCCUGGCCAAGUUGAAUUAUUUUUUCUUCAUUCCAAUGCCAAGACUGUUAUAAUGAGACUCAUAAAUAAGUUAAAUCUCAGGGUAUUGUUACAUCUUACAUCUAUGAAGGGACUCAAAGAGUUGAGAUGAAUUCAUCUUUGUUAUUUUGAUGCCAGAAUUGUGCAAUUCUCAGUUUGUUCCUUUCACAUGCAGUUGACUGCAGUGCAUCUAGUUGAUGUGCAUCUUUGCAGUGACCCCAGGAAGUAUGUUAGUGCUUUGCUUCUCUCAUUGUCUACGAUGCUACAUCUGGAACUUCCCCAUGUCAAUGUCUUGUCUAAUCGAUCUGAUUGAGAAUCAUGGAAAGCUAGGUGUGGUUUUAAGUGUAGCUCUCCUGCUUGUUUGUUUAGUUUGAAAUAUCAGAUAUUGUCACAAGAUCCUAUUUGCUACAUUUCCUCACCAAUCAAUUAUUUUGGGUCUGUUGCAGCUUUUAAUCUCGAGUACUAUACAGAUGUGCAAGAUUUGUCAUAUUUACAGCAUGCUCUCGGUCAGGACCCUCGUUCUGCUAAGUACAGGUUUGAAUUCUAGCUGAAUCAAUGAUGCAAAUUAUGUCCAUUGUUAUUUCUGCUGUUGUUUCUAUCAUUUUCAAUUGUUACUUCCCCUUUCCAUCUACUACCACACUACAAUACCCACACAAAUGUUGUGAAAUUUGUCAAUGGAAAAAAAACAGUUCCUCUUUUAUUUUGAUCAGACUCAAUGAAUAAGUGGUUAAAAUGUGCCUGUCCUAGAAAUAUAGAUGUGUGGUUUCGUAAAAUUUUCUUGAUCUUAAGAAAGAGUUAUCUCGAAAAGAAGAUAACAUGGAGAAUUCAACAACUAUACAGUCAUAUUGAUGUCUGUCAACUUGGGUCAUAUGGUGUCGUUUGGAUGGAGAUGUUAGGUCCCAGAUGGUAAACUUGUUAUCGAAUUCCAGUCUACUUCAUUCAUGCUUUGAUGACAUAUACGGUGCAGCUUCUUAUCUAAGACCUGCAUAUGUUCAAUCAUCAUUCUGUUCUGUAUUUGGCUGCCAUUCUUUUCAAUGAAUUCAAACCACUUCUGAAUACUUGCAAAUUCAUCCAGUGUUGUCAUUGAGAUGCCAAUAUGAAAGGAAGCCAUAAUUGCCCUUGAUAGUAUGCUUAUUGAUUGCCUCUUGCCUCACUCAGCCUCAUGAAUCUGCUUGUAUGGUGUUCUUGUAAUUUCAUUUGGAGAUUAGUAAUAUCUGUUGUUCAAAUGUAUUUUAUAUACCAGCAGUUAAUAAUUCUGCUUGCAGAAAGCUUACAAAGGAGCUGUGUGAUGUAAUUUUUCAACCUUAGAUAUCCAGGUCAUCAGUUUCUCUUGAAUUCUUUCUUGAAUUUCUUUGAAUUAUUUGUGAAUAAGAUCUUAGUUGGCUGCUUCUCUUCAGGAUAAGGAAAGUGUGGCAAAACUCGUGAAGCUGAUAUAUAAAAGCAAUGGGUACAUCUUUGCUGGCAUGGAUGCCAGUGCAGUUGAAUUCAGCAAGAUUGCCGUUCGCGAUGUUGAUUGGGAUUAUUUCGGAUAUCCUUCUUUUCACCUAUUUUCAAUGUUGUUAUUCUCAUAUUCAUAAAAUUUUUUGGUUAUUUAAUUAUGGUUCAUCAUAUGCAUCUGCAUCUUCUAACUUGUUCGUUUGAGAAACUAAUUUUGCCGUUAGGUAGGCUUCGAGCUUGAUGAGUUGAUUCAUGCUUUUUUCAUAAAUGUACCAAAAUCAUGGAAACUUCUUUUUCCCAGAUAUUGUAUCCACACUUUUUCCAUGUAAUUGGGUCAGACAAGUUUUGCUUAACAAAGAUAUCUACAGUAGCCGAAGUGCAGGAGAAGUACAUUAAGGAUGAUGAUGAUGUUAACUAAAAUGAGACGUGAAGAUAUGUGGUGUGCGAACCGUAAGCCUGCCUCUUAAUUUUGUGCAUGUUUACUUGCUUGUGAUUCACGUUUGUUAAUCUAUUUUGCUCUCUUGCAGGAGUUAUAAAGUUUUCAAUCAAUCAAACAUUUAACUUAAGUCCUUACCUCUUGCUGCAAAGACAAUGGGAAGUCUCAUGAGCUCUAAAAAAACUGAAGAAGAGUGGAAAAUAAUUUUAAAUAGUGAUUUAUGGAAGGUAAAAGAGAUCGAGAAAGGUGUUCUAACCCCUUUGUGGUUGAGUUAUAAUGAUUUGCCGUCCAGAGGAAAAAGAUGUUUCUCGUAUUGUGCUGUCUUUCCAAAAGACUACAAUAUAAAAAAAGACAAAUUAAUUACUUUGUGGAUGGCUCAAGGUUAUCUUAGUGCAGAAGCAGCAGAACAAGAUGAGGAGUUGGAGACUAUAGGUGAAGAGUAUUUUGGCAUCUUAGCUUCUCGCUCUUUCUUUCAAGAGUUUCAGAAACGUUAUGAUAAUCGUAUUAUAGCGUGCAAGAUGCAUGAUAUGGUACAUGAUUUUGCCCAAUUUGUUAGUCAAAAUGAAUGUUUUUCGUUGGAAGUUAAUGGUAGUGAGGAACUAACCGUCACAAACUCUACAAACUCUCUUGAUGAGAAGGUCCGUCAUUUAAUGUUAAUCUUUAGUAAAGGGACUUCAUUACCUGUUUCCACUCGUAGAGUUAAAAGAAUGCGUACCCUCUUAAUUAACGAUAGUAGAUCUGAUCAUUCAUUAUUAAAUGGUGAGAUCCUAGAAGAAUUAUUUAGGGAAUUGACAAGUUUAAGGGCAUUAGAUUUUGGCAAAUCGUAUAACUCAAGUUGGUCUUCGACUGUGGAGAUUCCGAGAACCAUAGAAAAGCUGGUACAUUUAAGAUACCUUAAUUUGUUUUAUCAGGGAAUAAAGAAACUACCGGAGACAUUAUGCGAGUUGUAUAAUCUAGAAAAGUUAGAUAUUAGUUUAUGUUUUAAUCUUAAAGAAUUACCUGAAGGGAUUGGGAAGUUAAUAAACAUGAAGCAUUUACGAAAUAGAGGUACUAGUUCUUUAAGGUACAUGCCAGUAGGGAUUGGGAGAUUAACGGGUCUCAGGACCUUGGAUGAGUUCCACGUGAGUGGAGGAAAGCGUGUAGGCUUGAAUCUCUUAAAAAAUUGGAACACCUUCAAGUAUGUGGUAUACGUAGACUGGGUGAUGUAUCAGAUGUGGGCGAGGCUAAGCGAUUAGAACUUGACAAAAAGAAAUACCUCUUCAGUUUGACCCUUGAGUUUGAUAAGAAGGAGGAAGAAGAAGGAGAAAGGAGGAAGAACGAGGACGAUCAAGUUCUUCUUGAAGCCCUACAACCACCUCUCAAUUUAAAGGAAUUAGAGAUAGAGUACUACCGAGGCAACACUGUUUUCCCCAGCUGGAUGACGUCAUUAACCAACUUAAAGAGUUUAGAUCUCUCUUCCUGCGAAAAUUGGGAGCAGCUGCCUCCUUUGGGAAAAUUGCCAUCCCUUGAAGCACUCAGCCUAUGGGACAUGAAGUGUGUGGAAAGAGUGGGUGAUGAAUUUUUGGGGAUAGAAAGUGAUCAUCAUGGCUCAUCUUCAUCGGUUAUUAUUGCCUUCCCCAAAUUGAAAUCACUUUCAAUUGAGGUUCUGCGCGAAUUGGAGGAGUGGGAUUAUGGGAUUACAAGAACGGGAAACACCGUCAUCAACAUCAUGCCACGUCUUUCUUCCUUGACAAUUGCACUUUGCCCCAAAUUAAAGGCACUGCCCGACCACUUUCAUCAAACGACAACAUUGAAGGAAUUGCACAUUUGGGAUUGCAGGCUUCUGGAAGAACGUUAUUGCAAGGGGGAAGGAGAAGACUGGCCUAAGAUAUCACACAUUCCCAACCUCCAUAUUGGGCUUUGACAAGUAAUUUCUUCUCUUACUCUGAUUUGCUUUGUUGUUGUUUUUAAUCUAAUUAAGAAGCGUAAAUAGCAUUUUGAAUCAAACUCUAUAUCAGAAAUCUGCAAUACUUACUUUCUAAUAUUCUGAUUUUCAUAUCCUAUGAAUAUACGAUUUUUAAUUUGUGAGAUGGGUAACGUUACUGUAAAAGAUUAUUAAUGCAAUAUGAGUAAUUCUUUUGCAGGACAAGUGACCUACAUUUAGUUUGGCUUUGGAGUUGAAUAAUAACCUUUCGAGGUCCCGACAACCAAAAAACGAAGCUUAAUUUGCCACAGAUUGCACGUAUUGCCAUUAUUGACAAUUUUCUGCACAAGCUUAGGUUGAUGUCAAAAGAGGUAAAUUAUUGGCAUGCCUGACUAUUUUGACCAUUACACGAUUCAUAAGUUUACAUUAAUUUUGAUUUUGAGUUGAGUGAUUAGUUUUCUAGGUUUGCUUACUUUAACUGGGUGACCAAUUUCUUGUAACUAAAUGUAUGAUGUGAAGCAGAACUCAAACAAAAGUAUGCUACUUCUUGCGGAAAUCUUGCCUUUGUUCAGAUUAUGAAACCAUUUCCAUGCAGCAAAUUCAUCCAAAAGUUUGAAUAAGUUUCACGGUUGGACACUGUUGGUUUCUUUUUCUUCUGGGGUGCAUUUAGGUGCUAUCAAGUGACAGCUGUAAGUAUGAUUGCACUAAGCUGCCGCUGGGAAAUUUGAGGUUUUGAUGGCUGCCCAUGUUAUUUUCAAGAAACUAUUGAUGUAAGAAGCUGUGGUUCUUUUCAUCAGCUUGAACCUGAAACUGUCGCUAUGGAUAACUCAGGUUUUUGUUAUCAACUAUAUCAUCUUUUUCACUAUUUUGAAACUCUUAAGAUUAAACUUUAGUAAAGUUGUUUCAGCUUUUCAAAUGAAAAACUCAUUGAUUUGAGACUUCCUUCAUUAUUGUUUCUAAUUACAAUGCUAACGAUCCAGAUAAGAUAAUAUUUAAUCGGCGAAGGUGUCCCUUGGAAGUACAUCCUUCUUUUUCUUUUAUUAUACAAAUUCUUGCAAUGAGCUUAGUGAAGCUGUUGUGCUAAUCAUGCCACUGCAUAAUUUGGCCCCUAAUGUGGGUACUCUGUUACAUUGUUCUGCAAAUUCUCCAGAAGUUAAAAUCAAUAAAUUUUCUAUUAGCUCUAGUGCUUUGACCUAAAUGCUAUUCUAUAUUCUGAUUACAAUGUUUUACCUUUAAAUUAACUACCCCUAGAUGUUGGAUUUUCUAGAACUUCAAAAUGAUUAAUGGAGAAAGAUCCCAUUAUCGUUAUUGCUAUAAAAAAUUGAUUUAUGCAUCCAAAGAUACAUUAUAUAUUUCUGUGUCUCUAUUUAUAGAUGACAUUUAAGCAUCCAUAAACCGUCAGACAGAGGAAGGGGGUUCAGUGCAAAGAUUCUGUUGACCUAGGGUUGACUGCAUAAUGUCACUUGUUCGCAAUCUAUUAUUCUUUUCAAGGUCUGCUUCCUUAACGGAGCGACCAAUGUUUUUCAACUAAAUUUAUCAUAUGAUGCAGGAAGCAGGGCAGGAUAUGAAAUGUGAAGCUCAUUGGUGGAAGUAUUGCCAGUAACAGAACCCAAAGAAAAUGAAACUAUUUCAAGGCAGCAGUUGGCAGUUGCAAGUGAAUGGAGGCCCUUGACAAAAUUCUCAAGCGGUUGCAAUGCAAUUACGAUCAUCCUCAGCCUCAGGUAAUUUCUUCUCCUGCUUUGUAUUUAUUUGUUAUCUAAUUAGGAACCGUAAAGUAUCUUGAAUCAUUUUCUGUAUCUGGAAUAUAUGCAAGAGUUUCUAAAAUUUUGAUAUGAGUGUAAUGAUGGUAAUUUCUGUUUUCUGUCUGUCAUCAAAUGUUAGAAAACUUUCAUUGAGACCCUUGAACCGAGUCAUUUUUGACAAGUGAAGUGCUGAAGAGUGAAGAGUAAGAAUGGUGCUAGAUUGGGGAAUAAAGCAAAAGGAGGUAAAUUAUUGGCAGCUUCUUCAACCUUAUUUUCUUUGGACCAGUGCCUAAUUCACAAGUCUCCAUAAUUCGGCUUUUGACCAGUUGAUAGAUAAAAUUUUAAUUUCAUUGGUGCUAAUGUACCCGUGAGGCAGGCAGAGAAGGACUGUGGAAAAGAGAAGGUUUUUAGUGAAAGCUUAAACUCAGGUAAUUCUAAAAAUUAUAUGUUUUGGCUGAUUUAUCUAAAUCAGGAAAUUUUAUUUCCAUCUGUUACAAUAAAACAGAAACAGAACACAAAGAAAAAUAUUCUACUUCUUGUGGCAAUCUUGCCUUCAUUCAGACUAUGAAACCAUUUCCUUUCACCAAUUUCUUCCAAAAGUUUGAACACAUUUCAUGGUUGGACAUAGUUAGCUUCUUUUUCUUUUGGUGCAUUUAGGUGCUAUCAAGUGACAGCCGUAAGUAUGAUUGCAUUAUUGGGAAAUUUUAGGUUUUGAUGGCUCCCCAUGUUAUUGCCAAGAAAUUUUAAGUCCUCGUGUCAGAAGCUGCGUUUCUUUUCAUCAGCCUGAACCCGAACCUGUCACUAUGGAUAACUGAGGUUUUUGUCAUCAACUAUAUCAUCUUUUUCACUGUUUUGAAACUCUUAAGAUUAAACUUCAGUAAAGUUGUUUCAGUUAUCCAUGUAAUCAGGCUAAGGAUAUUUAGCAGCUUAUUUAGGCAACUGCCAGAAUUCAGUUUGUUCGCUCGAAACUUGUAUGGUGACAAGGAUACUGGCAAGGAUAGUGAGAUAGUUUUUUGUGUGAGUGAAUUUUGAAAGCUUGGGUGUUCUGGGAUUUGCAAUUGCAAUCAUCCUCUGCUUUAGGUGAUUUCUUCUCCUGUUCUGUCUUUAUUUUCUCUCUAAUUGAAAGCAUUUCAAUCAAAUUCUGUACCAGGAAUACGAAAAAUUUACCAAUAUUUUAUUUCCAUCUGUUUGCAUUGAUAACUUGGCCGCAUAUGUACUAGUUAAAGAACAAACAGAAGCAGAGUUCAGGAAAAAGUUUCUUCGGCCACCAUAUUUGAAAAUGAAACCAUUUCCAGGAAGCAGUUGGCAGCAAAUUCAUACAAAGUAUAGACAAUGAUGAACAAAAAGGUGAUUCGCAAUUUCAUUUUUUUAAAAUGAAAUUAUUUGUUAAGUUGGAGCUGAUAUUGUUAGAAGGCCAUUGAGCUAACCUCUGACACUGCUUGCCUAGAUUGCAGGAGGUCAAGACUCAAAAGAUGCACUGAAUUUUAAAAGGCAUGCAAUAAUUCUUAUGGCCAUUUGUCAAUGGUGGAAUGCUUUUAGCUUCUUUUCCUUUUGUGCAUUUUGGGGUUCUAUCAAGCGACAGCCGUAUGUAUGGAUGGAUAUAGCUGCUGCGUUGAUUUCUAAUGCAUUGUAUGAUGUUAUAGCAACUAUCCAUCUGGUCAAUGUUUCAAAAGAAUAAGACAGGGAAAAAGAGAAAGCAAGUGGCCAAUCAAGUUGCAUCAACCAAAUUGUUGUUAAACAAGUAAAACAAAGAAAGAGAGUUAAGGAAGCUGACCUUGUAGUAGGGGAGCUGAAGAAAGGCUGCCAGUGAAUGUAAGAGAAAAUAAAAUGCAAGAAAUGGUGAAGUGCAGCUUUUCAUGUCAACUUGAAAUUGAUUUUUCUGUUUGUUUUUUUUUUUUUGUAAUCUUUUGGAUUUUUCAAACAAAGAAAAUGAGGAGCAACCAGGGAGAUAAAAAGGGCGCCAAGGCAACUGUGUGUUGGGUUUAGAGCCAAAAAUAAAUAAAUAAAUAAAUAAGACAUCGUGUUCUUGUGGAGACCAGACCUAUUACGUAACGUCCCCUUCAAUACCACUUGUUCCGUAUCUGGUUUUCUCUUCGUCGUUUACAUAUUUAUCCUGUGAUUUUACAAUAACUAAAUAAUCCCCGCAUAGUUUGCAAUUUUAUUCAUUUGGGCCCUACAGAUUUCAGUAAUAGGAAUUAUUAAGGGACAAGAGCGCAAAACAGAAACUCUGUCCACUACUGAUGAUAUAAUAACGAACCUUUGUUUUUUUUUUUUAAAAAAAAAAAGAGUAACAAAAUAUCAUUAGACAAAUGAAAAUAUUAUCUAACAUCACCUAUUCACCUUACUGAUGAUAUGAAAAUAUGUAUGUAUGUAUGUAUGUAUGUACAUAUAUACAUACACCUAUGUAACAUUUACUUAUACAUUCUUUUGAGUUUAAAUCUUAAUACAACUACAUACAACCACAUCAAUGUAUAUAUUUUUUACAUAAGACAUGCCGUCCUAUUAUUCAUAAGUAAACAAUGUGCCGUAAAUAGUAUUCUGUGUUUUCUCAAAGUUGACUUUUCGUCUUUUAUUUUCAGACGCAGACGCUAUGUCAUUUUGUAAUCGUCCGAACAUAUACAGAGCAGAAUUGGUGUUAUCUGAUUUUGUGAUGCAAUAAGAUUUGCACUUCCUGUGCAUUCAAUGGAAUCAUGCCACGCUAGUAGACAAUAUGCUAGUUUGAACAAACUUGUUUGAAUGGCAAAAACGACAUGACCUGCUGUAGUAUUAAUUCUUUCCCGAACCAACGGGUGAUUUGCUACGUUGGAUCAUGAAAAUUAACCAAAAUAAAAAUUCUUAAGGAAUUAGUUAGUUAAUUGAUUGAUCGAAUUUAAUCUAAAUUUGAAAAUGAUAAGAUAAAUUUAAAUUUAUUAUUAUUAUUAUUAUUAUUAUUUUAAAGUGGGUGGGUUUAUACAAUUUGAGCGGUGGAAAUAUCACUGCUGAAUUAUUAAAUAUACAGUGUAAAAUUUUGACCUUUAAAAUAUUCCCUUUUUUUUUUUAUUUAGCACUAUAAGUUUAAAAAUUUAACAUUUUACCUCAAUAAUUAAAUACUUUUAACUUUAAUCUUCAAAUAUUUACCCUACAACAUUUGGACCUAAAUUUUUAAUCCGACUCGGCCCCUGACCCAAGUGGGAAGAAGAUCAGGCUUAUAAGUUAUAACUAUCACCAACAUAACAUCUUCUGGAAAAUAAUAAGAUUACUCACCUGCAAUUAUGUGAUCAAACUAAUGGUAAGCAAAAUAGAACAGCGUUAUUUCAGUCCCCUUUCAGUUUCUUUAUCAUUUUUCUUUUCCUAUUUAUAAGCUUAAUUCGGUUCAAAAUCGGCUAAUUCACUUUGAUUUCACUUUUCUUUCUUUCGGUUCAAAAAAAUUGAACCCAUUGGCUGUCAAUUCAAUUUUGUUGAAAACCAACUUUGCCUGAAUUUAAGUAAUAAUAGAGGAAAAAAAAAGAGUACUUAGCAGAAGAGAUUUCUCAUUUUUUUCUCAUUCAAACUUCUAAAAUAAAAGAAAAAAAAACAAGAGUAAUUGUUAAUUAUCAAAAUUUUGUUUAUACUAUUCCACCAAGAAAAUUAUACAAAAAAAAAAAUUUUAAAAAUUGGAGAAGAAAUAUGAGGUGAAAUACGUGGAUGGCUUAGACUAAUAAUGUGAACAAAUUCCUCUUGGAAGCAUGUCAUUGUUCAUCCGGACAACACGCGGCGAUGAGAUUCGAGAAUAAAAGGAUAGGAAUCAACUGUAACCUCAUAAACAAAUGGCCUUGGAGUUGUAACCAAAGCUUUUAAUUAUUGAUCAUUAAGAUCGAUAUAAAGUAUCACGAAAUGAUGUGUACGACGACAAUAUCAAUAGCGUAGUGUGAAGACCUGGCUGUAAACACAAGGCUCGGCAGAUUAAUUAAACAAGAGUAUCCGAAUUUUCUAUGAUAAUCUCUAGGAAACGAUCAGCUAUAAUGUACGAAAUUAAAAUAUUGCAUAUAUUUUUGAAUUUUUGAACUCAUGCAUUAAUUUAAAAAAUUAUAUCGUAUUAUAAUUUAUUCACAAAAGAAAGAAAAAUUCACUAAUCAAGUGAAAUCGUAUUCUUAUUGAAAUGAAUUCCAGUAAUUGGAUAAAUAUAAGUAUUUCUUCCGUUGUAAUUUUUGUUUAACAGAAAAUCUAUUUGAGAUUUUGUGAGAAGAAACUCAACAAUAAAGUUUGAUAGACUUUGUGGAUAUUAAGAGUUUGACAAGUAAUUGAAAUCUGAAGUUUACUGAAAUUUACGAGCAAACAAACUGAAAUCCGAAGUUUACUGAAGUUUACUAUCAAGAGUUUCAAAACAGUGAAAAAGAUGAUAUAGUUGAUGACAAAAACCUGAGUUAUCCAUAGCGACAAGUAACAUACUGAAGUAAGCCGUUGGGAGCUGGCCUGUUCAUGGGCUAUUUUUCUCUGAUGAUCUGCAUUUUUCUUCCUUUUAAAGUGAACCUUGACUCGUAUCAAACCUGUCAAAAGAACAGUUCAUCAACUGAGCUGAGAUUUGCUUUCCUUUUUCAAAACCCACCUGAGAUAUUGUAAUUCCCAAAUUUCUCUCUCUCAGCUACACGAGCAAGCAGCCGCUUUUUCACUUCAUCGAAGAAGGUAAGCGAUUUAUCUAUUUCGUCCGAUUGAUUUCUUGUUUCGUUUUCAGUGUUCGGGUAAAUUAUUGGCAUGCCUGACUUUUUGACCAUUACAUGAUUCAUAAAUUUCUAUUAAUUUUGAUUUUGAGUUGACUGGUUACUUUUAUAGGUUUGUUUACUUUGACUAGGUGACCAAUUUCUUGUAACUAAAUUUAUGACGUGAUGCAGGAAGCUCGGCAGGAUAUGAAAUGAGAAUCUUAUUAGUGGAAGGAUUGCCAGUAACAGAACCCAAAGAAAAUGAAACCAUUUCAAGGCAGCAGUUGGCAGUUGGGAGUGGAUGGAGGCCCCUGACAAAACUUCAGUAAACUUCAGAUUUCAGUUUGUUUGCUCGAAACUUGCAUGGUGACAAGGAUACUGGCAAGGAUAAUGAGAUAGUUUUUGUGUGAAUGAAAUUACGAUCAUCCUCAGCCUUAGUUGUUAUUUGUUACCUAAUUAAGAAGCAUAAAGUAUCCUGAAUCAUUUUCGUUGUCUGGAACAUAUGAGUGUAAUGAUUGUAAUUUCUGUUUUCUGUCUGUCAUCGAAUGUAAGACAACUUUAUUAAGAUUCUUGAACCGAGUCAUUUUUGACAAUUGAAGGACAAGUGCUGAAGAGUGGGAAUGCAAAAAGUUUUGUUGUUUCUAGCCUUGUUUUCUUUGAACCAGCGCCUGAUGAUAUAACAGAAACAAGGCUAGAAACAACAAAAACUCUGUCCACUACUGAUGAUAUAACAACGAACCUUUGUUUUUUUCUUUUUUCUUUUUUUUUUUAAAAAAAGUAACAAAAUAUCAUUAGAGAAAUGAAAAUAUUAUCUAACAUCACCCUACUGAUGAUAUGAAAAUAUGUAUGUAUGUAUGUAUGUAUAUACGUAUGUAUGUACAUAUAUACAUACACCUAUGUAACAUUUAAUUAUACAUUCUUUUGAGUUUAAAUCUUAAUACACAUUUUCAUGAAAUUUUUAUUUUAUUAAGUAUACAACUACAUACAACUACAUUAAUGUAUAUAUUUUUUACAUAAGACAUGCCGUCCUAUUAUUCAUAAGUCAACAAUGUGUUGUAAAUAGUGUUCGUGUCUCAAAGUUGACUUUUCGUCUUUUAUUUUCAGACGCAGACGAUAUGUCAUUUUAUACACAGCAGAAUUGGUGUUAUCUGAUUUUGUGAUGCAAUAAGAUUUGCACUUCCUGUGCACUCAAUGGAAUCAUUUCUUUGUAACUAAUUGGGUGCUGGAAUGGUGGUCAAAUCUCGAACGAAGACAGAUCUAUCAAACUCCAGAAUUGGUGUUAUCUGAUUAAUUGAUUGAUCGAAUUUUAUCUAAAUUUGAAAAUGAUAAGAUAAUUUUGAAUUUAUUAUUAUAAUUAUUAUUUUAAAGUGGGGUGGGUUUAUACAAUUUGAGCGGUGGAAAUAUCACUACUGAAUUAUUAAAUAUACAGUGUAAAAUUUUGACCUUUAAAAUAUUCCCUUUUUUUUUUAUUUAGCAUCUAUAAAUUUAAAAAUUUAACAUUGUACCUCAAUAAUUAAAUACAUUUAACUUUAAUCUUCAAAUAGUUACCCUACAACAUUUGGACCUAAAUUUUUAAUCCGAUUCGGCCCCUGAUCCAAGUGGGAAGAAGAUCAGGCUUAUAACUAUCACCAACGUAACAUCUUCUGGAAAAUAAUAAGAUUAUUCACCUGCAAUUAUGUGAUCAAACUAACGGUAACCAAAAUAGAACAGCGUUAUUUGAGUCCCCUUUCAGUUUCUUUAUCAUUUUUCUUUUCCUAUUUAUAAGCUUAAUUCGGUUCAAAAUUGGCUAAUUCACUUUAAUAAGUUUAUUGGUUUGAACGCUGUUAGCUUCUUUUCCUUUCGUGCAUUUUGGUAUGCAACAGUUCUUGCCUAUGACACUGCUUGCCUAGAUUGCAGAAGGUCAAGGCUCAAAAGAAGCACUGAAUUUUAAAAGGCAUGCAACAGUUCUUGUGCCAUAUGUCAAUUCAUGCAAGUUUGAAUAAGUUUUUUGGUAUGCUAUCAAGUGACAGCCGUAUGUAUGGUUUGCAUAUAGCUGCUGCUGGGAAAUGUGAGGAUUUCAUGGCUGGCCGUGUUAUUGUCUUAAAUUAGAUGUGAUAAGCUGUUGCUUGGUGAUUCUGUUGCCAAGAAUUUGCUCACAUCAGAAGCUGUGGAACCUGAACCCUUCUCUAGAUAUCAUCUUUUUCAUUGUUUUAAAACUCUCAGGAUUAAACUUGAGUAAUUUUGUUCGGUUGUCUAUAUAAUCAUGUAUUGAGUAAACUCUCAGGAUACUGAGCAGGCAAAUGCCAUAACUCGGUUUGUUCUUCAAAAACUUGUUUAAGAUUCUUGACAAAGCUGCAUGAAGUGAAUCUUGGGAGCUUUGAGGGUGAGAGAAAUUAGAGGGUGUAUAGGGAUUUGGGCUUAUUAGGAAGUUAUAUAUGUAUUUCGUCACUUAUCAUUAUCAUUUUUUUUUUCACAGAAAACCUUCUGAUGGUGCUAAAUUUUCAAACACCGGUCCGAUUCAAAACUUCAUAUUCCAAUUAUAUUCAUAAGACAAAUGGAACACUUUGAACGGCUUGUGUCCGAGCAUUGUAGUUUGAUUUAUUUUGAUGACAGUACCUUUUGACAUUGAGAUUCUUUCAUGAUUUAAACAUUCUUUUAAAAACUAAAUUAUUAAAAAAAAAGUAACUAACAUAUAUUAUUUUAUUAGUGCUUUUUAAAUCAAAUAUACAUAGGAGAACUGUAAUUCUUAGCAAUCAAUUUUCCACUAAAUACACCUGCAACAAACUAUUAAUAGCAAAGUGAUAGAAAAUACCUGAUUUUUCAUACUUUCUAAUUUCUUUUGGUCCUAAAAUAUGGGCAUUUGUGUAAUAAUUAGCCCAUGUGGAUCUCUAUGCCAUGAGUUUGAUAAGUAGCUAUCAAGGAUCACUUAUUAAGCUAAAAAUAUUUGGAGGACAAAAUUGUAAAACUAAAAGGGUGGAGCAAAUAUGGCUAUCUAGGAUUAAAUAGUAAGUCAACUAUAUUUAAAGGAUAAAAUAUUAAAACUUGAAAUGUGAUAUUAAAAAUAUCUCAACUAUUAUGUUAUUAAACCAUAUGUUGUAAUAGUUUAUUUUUUAAGCUUCAAAAUGUUCAGGAUUUUAGAUUGAAACAUUUUCAUUUGAAAUUAUUUGGUGCAGUCACAAGUUAAGAAAGAAAAAGUUGUCCCAUUGGUCAUUUCACAAAAAUGAAAGCCCUGUAUAACAUGGGCUUGAAUGGAAGCCCAAUUGUUUGUGUUUGAUUAAUUGAUUUCAAGCUUUAUCGAACCUUUGUACCUGGAUACUUUACUGCGGCCUCUAAGCGCUAUAAAUUUUUUUGGGGAUAAACGGCGCUUCAAUGAGGUCAUCUCCGAUGCUUAACACCAUUUUGGUGUAAUACCAACAUUAAAAAUAUACAUUUUUCACACUAAAUUACUAUUUCAUCUCCAACCCAUUUACACCAAAAAAAAUAUUUUUCUUUUUAUUCUUUUAAUUCUCAAGAAUUAAUUCAAUUAACACAAUAAAUACUACUAUUAACAUAGAUAAUUAAGUAAUAAGUAAUUUUAUCGAUUAACAAAAAAAUAUAGAAAAUUAUUAAAUUUGCAUUUAAUUAACUAAAUUAGUACAUUAUGAAAAUUAAACAUUACAUUAAUAUAGAAAAAUACAAUAACAAUAAUAAUAAUUUUAUAUCUAAUAUUUUGAUGAUAUUGGAGGAUCUAAUAAUGAUCUUCCAGAUUAUUAAAUAAUUGUUCUAAUUUAUACUAGUAGUAGUAGCUUUUUUAAUUUGUGUUAAUUUAAUUUUGUAAUAUGUAAUAUAGUAAUUAAUGUUACUAGCAUUUUAUUAUUAUUAUUAAUUUUUGUGUUGAAUAUUUUUUAUUUAAAAUAUUAGUAUAAUAUUCAAAAAUUAAAAAAUGAAAUAAAAAUAAUAACAAAAAUAAUAAUAAUAAUAACUUAAAAUAUUAUAUAAAAUAGGACAUAUAUGUAAAUAAGAAAAAGUAAUAAAGAUAUUUAAGAGCUUUUUUUCCUAGCACCAAAUGAAUAGUGUUACACCAUAUUUGGUGCAAUACUAUUCACAACACCAUUUUGUUGUUGGUUUUGGUGUUACAUUGGAGAAGCAUUUUACACCAAAAAUAGUGUAAAAGGUGGUUUGGUGUUAGUUUUGGUGUCACAUUGGAGAUGGCCUGGAAAAGCACUUGAAAACUUUGGAUUUUUGGUUCGUCCAGUUACGGUGUUAUGCUAACGGGGUUAAAGGUUCCGAUCCAAUGAGUUAGGAUCCGAAGGUUACUGAAGUUUACUAUCAAGAGUUUCAAAACAGUGAAAAAGAUGAUAUAGUUGAUGACAAAAACCUGAGUUAUCCAUAGCGACAAGUAACAUACUGUUUAUUACAGAGAAACAAACGACAACAUGAUACUAGUAGUAGUUAUUCUUUUCAUCCGAUAUAUUACAUGGUAAUAUCACUACUCGUUCCACUAGUUUCAUGUACACUGUCGACCAGCAACAUGAUAAUUUCGUGCCAGUUCAUUUUGGUUUGUUGGAAAAAGCAGUGUAUUUCUUAGAACUUGAAAAUAAUAAAAAUAUUUUAAAAUAUAAAUUGCAUAUUUGUUUAUUACCAUUCUUUGGUCUAUUUCUUCUGUAGACUUUUCAGAAUCUGUAGGACGUUAGUUUAUAACUUUGGGAUUUUGUAGCCCUAAUUUUUUUUUUUGGCAUUUUAUUUUGCUGCUUUAUCUAUGUGCAUGUUAACUAAAUUAAGCUAAUCUAGAAUUAAUAGAGAGGGAUAUUUAUCUAUUUUGUUUAACCUUUACCACUCUAGGCAUUGUACUACAUGUGAGCUUGUGAUGCUUGCAUUUUAUUGAUGUUGAUGAUUCGUUGAAUGUUUUAUUUUUUGAUUUUUUAAGUUUUCCAGAGUCAUGUUUGUGUCUACGAAGAAAUUGUAAAGGCUGUGCACGAAGCACUUGUCAUUCUUUAGACUUUAUUGAUUAUAUUUUUGUCAGAUUUGCGUGUAUAUUCACAUAUGUUUUAUUUUUUCAUUUUGUAGGACAUUUUUACAUGCCAUAUUAUCACGACUCUUCUGUGUCUGAAUAAGAAGAAAGCAUAAUGCGACCCUCCAACAGCUUAAUCUAUGGAAUUAUCGUGUUUUGUAAGUUCUGGUCCAAUGGCGUUUUGGCACAUCAUAUGAUAGACCACUAUAUUGCGUUGCUUUACAAAAGAUUAAUAUUUUUAAAAUUAUUAACUCAUGAUAUGAUAGUCCAGGUUUUCGAGGACCACUAUAUUGUAUGGAUUUAAAAAAAAUUAAUAUUUUUUAAUAUUAAUAUUCUAAAUUAUAUUCAGUUAAAAUAUUAAAUAUUAAAUACAUUCUUAACAUUAAUAUUCUUAGAUGAAAUUCUUUUGCUGACUUAAGAAUAAAGUAUUAAAUAAUUUUAUUUUUCUUUUAUUUUGUAACGUGGACCCAAAAAAAAAAGGAAAUGAAUUUAAUAAAACCUUCAUUCCGCCAACAUGCAUGUUAAUUGUUUCCAAAUUCCAACCUCCGUACUCUCUUGAGGAGUUUCCCAUUCAUCAAUUAUUAUUUUUUAUAAUCCAUACCAUCCUGAUAUAAUUAAACACCAUUAAUAAUGUACCAGCCUUUAAAUAGUAAUUAAUUUAUUUAUCUAAUUCACCAAAUGUUUUUUUCCGGUACAUAUCUCCAUUGGUAUCAAGAAGAAGCAGAACCCAAAGAAAUGUUUCUUGCAUCUUCAUAUUUGUGCGAAUUCAUCCUUUCAUUGAGAAUAACCAUUUCCAGGCAGCAGUUGGCAAUCAAUUCAUGCGCAUGUCGAUGCUACUCAUAGAUAUUAAAGACAAUGAUGAACCAAAGGUAAUAAAUCAUAAAUGCAUAAUUACCAAACCUCCAUCCUUCUCUCAUUAUGACUUGAUUUUAAAUGAAUUAUUGCUUGGUAACAUUAUUUCCAACCAUUGCAAGAUUUUUUUUUGGAGAAAUUUCAAUUGAAAGUAAAACCUUUAGACAUUUACCUAAUGAAGUUAGUUAAUCGGGAGGGUGGAAAAAAAAAAGUUGACGCAAGUCAAUACACAAUAAUUAAUUAAAUCCGGAGUCACUAAAACAGAGCCACGACUUUUUCAAAAAUAUCUGCAUUCAUCACUUUCUCCAGCAACUAGUCAGCUACACACGAAUCAAUUUCUCUCCUCGUUUGUCAUCCAAAAUUAUUCACCAAUACCAUGGCUGAUGCAAUCGUUUCCCCGCUCUUGGAGCAGCUGAUUUCCUUCGCUGCUGAAGAGAUAAAACAACAGGUGAUCGAAGUUACACCCCUCAUAUUACAAAUACUUCCAAUGAUUUUAAUUGGUUUUGUUUUUAUCAAAAACAUUAUAUAUUUUUGCUUUUUUUUAUUUAUCUGAUAAUUUUAUAUUUUGAAAUUUGAAUUGAAUUUAAUUAAAAGGUGAUGUAGUAACCACUUAUUUUUAUUUUAUUUCAUUUAUAUUCUCAAUAACUACUCAUAUUUUGGUAACUUACUAUAACUUCCAUAUCUAAGAAAUGAUCCAAACCCACAAUUUUAACUAUGUAUAAAUAUUCAACGUUGAGCUAAGGUUUUGCAGAACAUUCAAGUUUAUCAAAUAGUCAUUAAUUUAAUGUUUUAGUAAAACCUCAACUCAUCACUGAAUCCCAUAGCUAUUACUUAGACACUAUGAAAAAUUUCAUAGUUUUCUUACAUUCUUUCAGUUUGGUAAGUGAUUUCAUAUAAUUUCUUUUCAAGUUAAAUUUUAAUUUGGUUUCUGAUAUAGUCUCUUUGCCGAAUUGUAUCUUUUAUGAUUCUUGGAUUUUGGGCUCCAACUUUUUAGGAUUUGAUAGUCACAUUUUAUGCCAUGCUCAGAUUGAUUUUCAUGAUUUUUAGUACCCGUUAAGUGACGUACAAUUUGACAAAAGUUUGAAAGGAAAUAUGUUUCAGAAUUCUGUUUUAAUUGACCUUUUAGUGGAAUUAGGAUGCUUAUAACUUAAUGUGGAUGGUUCGUAAAAUCAUGAAAUUUGGAUAGGAUUCACUAGCAAUAUGUACAAGACUCCCCAUAAAGUUUCAUAAUUUUUCAUUCGGUCUGGGGUGGUACAGGUGAAACUUGUGGUUGGUGUUGAAAAAGAAGUGAAAAGCCUUACCAGCCAUCUUCAAGCCAUUCAAGUUGUGCUCGAUGAUGCAGAGGAAAAGCAAGUGAAGGAAAAAGCUGUUAGUCUUUGGCUGGGUAGGCUCAAGUAUGCAUCCUACGACAUUGAAGAUGUGUUGGAUGAGUGGAUAACAACAAGACGCAAAUUGCAAAUUGAGGGUGGCGUUGAUGAAAAUGCUCUUGUUGUUCCUCAUAAGAAAAAGAAGGUAUGUCUCUGCUUUCCCGGCUCUUGUUUUGGAUUCAAACAAGAAGAAUUUGGUUUCAAACAGGUCUUUCUCCGUCAUGACAUUGCCGACAAGAUCAAAGAAAUCAAUGAAGAGCUACAUGAUAUUGCCGCUCAAAAAGACAUGUUUGAUCUUGUUAAGAGUGGCAAUAAAAGUAGUGAAAGACCAAGGCGUGUACAGAGUACCUCCUUGAUUGAUGAGGAAGAGAUUUGUGGCAGAGUUGGUGAGAGGAAUGAACUCUUAAGCAAGCUGUUGUGUGAGAGUAGCGAGCAACAAAAAGGCCUUCAUAUCAUCUCAAUCGUUGGUAUGGGAGGCAUAGGGAAAACAACUCUUGCACAACUAGCUUGUAAUCAUGACGAGGUGAAGAGAAAGUUCGACAAAAUUCUGUGGGUGUGUGUAUCAGAAACUUUUGAGGAGUUUAGGGUUGCCAAAGCGAUCGUUGAAGUUUUGGAUGGUCGUGAAUCUCAUUUAGCUGAAUUCCAUUCUCUUCUUCAACAUAUUUAUGAAUCCAUUGCAGGGAAGAGCUUUCUUCUUGUCUUAGAUGACGUGUGGGAUGGAAAUUACUUGAAAUGGGAACCAUUCUACCAUUGUCUAAAGAAUGGUCUCCAUGGAAGUAAAAUUUUAGUUACCACACGUAAAGGGUCAGUCGCAUCCAUGAUGGGAUCCAUAGAUAUUAUCUCCGUUAAGGAGUUAGCUGAAGAGGAAUGUUGGUUGUUGUUUAACAAGAUAGCAUUUUUUGAUCGGUCCAUCGAGGAACGUGAAAAAUUAGAACAAAUUGGGCAAAGAAUUGCAGGCAAGUGCAAAGGUUUACCUCUUGCAGCAAAGACAAUAGGGAGUCUCAUGCGUUCUAAACAAACUGAAGAAGAGUGGAAAAGAAUUUUAAAUAGUGAUUUAUGGAAAGUAGAAGAGAUUGAGAAAGAUGUUUUGUCCUCUUUAUUGUUGAGUUAUAAUGAUUUGCCAUCUAGAGUAAAAAGAUGUUUUUCAUAUUGUGCUGUCUUUCCAAAAGACUACAAUAUAGAAAAAGACAAACUAAUCACGUUAUGGAUGGCUCAAGGUUAUCUUAGUGCAGAAGAAGAUGAAGAGAUGGAGACAGUAGGUGAAGAGUAUUUUGGCAUCUUAGCUUCUCGCUCAUUUUUUCAAGAGUUUAAGAAAAGUUAUGAUAAUCGGAUUAUAGAGUGUAAGAUGCAUGAUAUGGUACAUGAUUUUGCCCGAUUUGUAAGUCAAAAUGAAUGUUUUUCGAUGGCAAUUAAUGGUAGUGAAGAACCAAACGCCACAAACUCUCUUGAUGAGAAGGUCCGUCAUUUAAUGUUAAUCUUUAGUAUAGAGGCUUCAUUACCUGUUUCCACUUGUAGAGUUAAAAGAAUUCGUAGCCUCUUAAUUAACGAUAGUAGAUCUGAUCAUUCAUUAUUAAAUGGUGAGAUCCUAGAAGAAUUAUUUAGGGAAUUGACAAGUUUAAGGGCAUUAGAUUUUUGCAAAUCGUAUAACGCAAGCUGGUCUUCGACUCUGGAGAUUCCGAGAAACAUAGAAAAGCUGGUACAUUUAAGAUACCUUAAUUUGUCUUAUCAGGGAAUAAAGAAACUACCGGAGACAUUAUGCGAGUUGUAUAAUCUAGAAAAGUUAGAUAUUAGUUAUUGUUAUAAGCUAGAAGAAGUACCUGAAGGGAUUGGGAAGUUAAUAAACAUGAAGCAUUUACGAAAUAGAGGUACUAGUUCUUUAAGGUACAUGCCGGUAGGGAUUGGGAGAUUAACGGGUCUUAGGACCUUGGGUGAGUUCCACGUGAGUGCAGGAGGAGGUGUUGAUGGUAGGAAAGCAUGUAGGCUUGAAUCUCUUUAAAACUUGGAACACCUUCAAGUAUGUGGUAUAUGUAGACUGGGUGAUGUAUCAGAUGUGGGCGAGGCUAAGCGAUUAGAACUUGACAAAAAGAAAUACCUCUUCAGUUUGACCCUUGAGUUUGAUAAGACGGAAAGAGGAGGAGAAAGGAGGAAGAACGAGGACGAUCAACUUCUUCUUGAAGCCUUGCGACCACCCCUGGAUUUAAAGGAAUUAGAGAUACGGUACUACCGAGGCAACACUGUUUUCCCCAGCUGGAUGGCGUCAUUAACCAACUUAAAGAGUUUACAUCUCCAUAGGUGCGAAAAUUGCGAGCAGCUGCCUCCUUUGGGAAAAUUGCCGUCCCUUGAAAAUCUCUACAUAUGGCGCAUGGAGAGUGUGAAGAGAGUGGGUGAUGAAUUUUUGGGGAUAGAAAGUGAUCAUCAUGACUCAUCGUCAUCUUCAUCAGUUACUAUUGCCUUCCCCAAAUUGAAAUCACUCACAAUUUAUUCGAUGCUGGAAUUGGAGGAGUGGGAUUAUGAGAUUACAAGAACAGGAAACACCGUCAUCAACAUCAUGCCACGUCUUUCUUCCUUGACAAUUGUUGAUUGCACCAAAUUAAAGGCACUGCCCGACCACAUUCAUCAAACGACAACGUUGAAGGAAUUGAGCAUUUUUAUGUGUUGGCUUCUGAACAAACGUUACCGCAAGGGGAAAGGAGAAGACUGGCCUAAAAUAUCACACAUUCCCAACCUCCAUAUUGGGCUUUGACAAGUAAUUUCUUCUCUCACUCUGAUUUGCUUUGUUGUUGUUUUUGUUGAAAAGUUAAAAAGUUUGGUUGGAAAAGAAAAGUGAGCCACAUGCAUUGCUUUUGUUUUUCAAAGUCGGCACCAAAUUGCAAACUGUAUUUGGCAUUUGACAAUCCUGCACCAAAUGAAGAAAAAUGCAAAAGUUAGCAAAAUUUGUCAAAUUGACAGAGAUGGAGAUUGAUAAAUUGCAGAGGGAUUAGGUGGAAUAGUGCAUGCUUGAAGCCUAUAAAUUGAAGCCAUUUCUUCAUUCUAAAUAAUCCCAAAAUUGUUAAACUUAUAAGUUUCUAAGCUUUUGAGAGAAGUGAGAGAAGUGUGUCUGUGGAAUUUAUUUUUCCUGCAGAGUGUGAGAGUACUUGGUAUAUUUGGGUUUCUGGGAAGUGAGAUUCGUUACUCAAAUAUUGUAUUCUAUUAAUUGUUAAAUAAACAAUUAUUCUUUCUUACCUCCGUGGAUGUAGGUUUAAUUACCGAACCACGUAAAAUCUUGUGUCCUUUAUUUUUCAGUAAUUAUUUGGUGCGCUUGAUUCCGCAUUCCGCGCACAACAGUUUUUAAUCUAAUUAAGAAGCGAAAAUAGCAUUUUGAAUCAAACUCUAUAUCAGAAAUCUGCAAUACUUACUUUCUAAUAUUCUGAUUUUCAUAUCCUAUGAAUAUACGAUUUUUAAUUUGUGAGAUGGGUAACGUUACUGUAAAAGAUUAUUAAUGCAAUAUGAGUAAUUCUUUUGCAGGACAAGUGACCUACAUUUAGUUUGGCUUUGGAGUUGAAUAAUAACCUUUCGAGGUCCCGACAACCAAAAAACAAAGCUUAAUUUGCCACAGAUUGAACGUAUUGCCAUUAUUGACAAUUUUCUGCACAAGUGUGACUGAACUUAGGUUGAUGUCAAAAGAGGUAAAUUAUUGGCAUGCCUCACUAUUUUGACCAUUACAUGAUUCAUAAGUUUACAUUAAUUUUGAUUUUGAGUUGAGUGAUUAGUUUUCUAGGUUUGCUUACUUUAACUGGGUGACCAAUUUCUUGUAACUAAAUGUAUGAUGUGAUGCAGGAAGCAGGGCAGGAUAUGAAAAGAGAAGCUUAUUAGAGGAAGGAUUGCCAGUAACAGAAUCCAAAGAAAAAGAAACCAUUUCGAGGCAGCUGUUGGCAGUUGGCAGUGAAUGGAGCCCCUUGAAAAAAUUCCCAAGCCGUUGCACUGCAAUUACGAUCAUCCUCGGCCUCAGGUAAUUUCUUCUCCUGCAUUUUUGUUAUUUGCUAUCAAGUGACUAUUUUAAGUAUGAUUGCAUUAAGCUGCUGCUGGGAAAUUUGAGGUUUUGAUGACUGCCCAUGCUAUUGUCAGAAGCUGCGGUUCUUUUCAUCAGCCUGAACCUGGACCUGCCGCUAUGGAUAACUCAGGUUUUUUUUUUUUUUUAAUCAACUGCCAUCUUUUCCACUGUUUAGAAACUCUUAAGAUUAAACUUUAGUAAAGUUGUUUUAGUUAUCCAUGUAAUCAGGCUGAGGAUACUUAGCUGCCUAUUUAAGCAAAUGUCAGAAUUUAGUUUGUUCGCUGGGAACUGGUGUGGACUGGCAAAGGAUGAUGAGAUAGUUUUUUGAGUGAGUAAAUUUUGGGAGCUUGAGUGUAUUGGGAUUUGCAAUUACAAUCAUCGUCUGCCUCAGGUGAUUUCUUCUCCUGCUCUAUCAUUGUUUGUUCUCUAAUUCAAAAGCAUAAAAUAUUUCAAUCAAUUUUUAUGCCAGGAAUAUGCAAAAGUUUCUAAUAUUUUAUUUCCAUCUGUUACAAGAUCAAACUGAAGUAGAACUCAAACAAAAGUAUGCUACUUCUUGCGGAAAUCUUGCCUUUGUUCAGAUUAUGAAACCAUUUCCAUGCAGCAAAUUCAUCCAAAAGUUUGAAUAAGUUUCAUGGUUGGACACUGUUGGCUUCUUUUUCUUCUGGGGUGCAUUUAGGUGCUAUCAAGUGACAGCUGUAAGUAUGAUUGCACUAAGCUGCCGCUGGGAAAUUUGAGGUUUUGAUGGCUGCCCAUGUUAUUUUCAAGAAACUAUUGAUGUAAGAAGCUGUGGUUCUUUUCAUCAGCUUGAACCUGAAACUGUCGCUAUGGAUAACUCAGGUUUUUGUUAUCAACUAUAUCAUCUUUUUCACUAUUUUGAAACUCUUAAGAUUAAACUUUAGUAAAGUUGUUUCAGCUAUUCAAAUGAAAAACUCAUUGAUUUGAGACUUCCUUCAUUAUUGUUUCUAAUUACAAUGCUAACGAUCUAGAUAAAAUAAUAUUUAAUCGGCGCAGGUGUCCCUUGGAAGUACAUCCAACUUUUUCUUUUAUUAUAUAAAUUCUUGCAAUGAGCUUAGUGAAGCUGUUGUGCUAAUCAUGCCACUGCAUAAUUUGGCCCCUAAUGUGGGUACUCUGUUACAUUGUUCUGCAAAUUCUCCAGAAGUUAAAAUCAAUAAAUUUUCUAUUAGCUCUAGUGCUUUGACCUAAAUGCUAUUCUAUAUUUUGAUUACAAUGUUUUAACCUUUAAAUUAACUACCCCUAGAUGUUGGAUUUUCUAGAACUUCAAAAUGAUUAAUGGAGAAAGAUCCCAUUAUCGUUAUUGCUAUAAGAAAUUGAUUUAUGCAUCCAAAGAUACAUUAUAUAUUUCUGUGUCUCUAUUUGUAGAUGACAUUUAAGCAUCCAUAAACCGUCAGACAGAGGAAGGGUGAUGGGUGUCGAAGCCAACAAAAAUAAAUUCCUACUCUAAAUAAAUUGUGUAUAGUGAUUGAGCAGGGUCGUGUCCACAGAGAUCGGUAAUUAAUUAAAUCCUUUUGAAACGUAAAACAUAAAAUGGGGGAAUUGUUGACAAUAAUAAAAAUCAAAUUAAAAUAACAAGAAUGCAAAUUAAAGUUGUAAUUCAAAUUAGAGAAAGCUCUGGUUGAAGGAAUUAACUCAGCUUGAUUCGACUACUGAUCAUUGAUUCAAAUAUAGAUUAUUAUUACUCAUGAAUAGACCGGUUAUAGCUACUGAGACCCUCUAAUAGCCAAUCUCUCCUUAACUAGUCGAUAACCAAGGUACGACCAUUGGUUAUUUCCCUAAUCAAUAGACAACCCUAGAUACGAUCAUAGAAUUUAAUCAAUUGACAGCCUGAAAAACCAGAGAGACCCAAAUCCUAAUCAACACAUAUGAUGAUUCAUUUAAAUUAGAUUGUUUAUUCUCACAACACAACUCUCUGCUAUGUUAUUUGUCACAAACAUUAAAUUCUUCAUACGAUGAAUCCUUUAAUUGACAAUAGAUUAAGUUGAUAAUUAAAUAGUGGCCAAUUACCUAAUUAACAAACAUAAUCAUGAAAAUAAUUCAGAGAAUAAACAAAUACCCAAAAAGUAAUAAAACAAUUAAAGCACAAGAAAGAUCUCACAGUAGUGAUGAAUCAAAGCUUCAUUAACCUUCAACCAGAAAAAUAGGUUUAGCUCUUCAUAGAGAGAAGAGAAAAAUUAGAUCUAGGGUUUCUUUCUUUUUCUCCAAUCCAAAAAUCCCCCUUUUUCACAAUAGAUUCCUCCCUUAAAUACUUUCUCUCUCUUCUCUUUUAGAAUUCUAUUUAAAAUAAAAUCCUAAUAUCUGAAAUAUUAAAUUCGUAAUUACAAAAAUAACCAAAAAUACAAAACACGUUAAACUAAAAACUGCAGGUCCGCAGUUGACAGCACGCGCCCACGCCUUAUCAACAAAGUUCUUCUGACGCUCAUAAUUUCUCCAAGAGAACAAUCAUCCUUAAACAUCAUCUUAUAGCUCAAUUUUAUCAUCAAUCAAUAGAAUUGCACCUACAAAAGUAAAACACAAGUAAAUCACUAUUAUUAAGUGCAAAACAUUGAUAUUAAGGGAAGUAAAUAAUGCAAAACUAGUGCAUAAAUUGCACUCUAACAAAGGGGGUUCAGUGCAAAGAUUCUGUUGACCUAGGGUUGACUGCAUAAUGUCACUUGUUCGCAAUCUAUUAUUUAUUUUAUAUUUUGAAGAAUUUAAUGGGUAAUCCUAAUUGUUUGUUUUGGCAGGUAUGUGUUGUUAUCUCCUUCUAUCUAACAGUCGUACCUAAAUAGCAUAGUUUCAUCUGUGUUACCAUGUGAUGUACAUAAUUUCACAUUUGCCUCAGAUUAAGCUUAAUUUCCCACAAAAUAGAGCUGUCGCGACUGGACUUAGGUUGAUGUCCAAAGAGGUAAAUUAUUGGCAUGCCUAGAUAAUUUGGCCAUUUCCUAAUUCAUAAGUCUACAUUAUUUUUGAUUUUGAGUUGACUGAUUUCUUUUCAAGGUCUGCUUCCUUAACGGAGUGACCAAUGUUUUUCAACUAAAUUUAUCAUAUGAUGCAGGAAGCAGGGCAGGAUAUGAAAUGAGAUCUCAUUGGUGGAAGUAUUGCCAGUAGCAGAACCCAAUGAAAAUGAAACUAUUUCAAGGCAGCAGUUGGCAGUUGCAAGUAAAUGGAGGCCCUUGACAAAAUUCUCAAGCGGUUGCAAUGCAAUUACGAUCAUCCUCAGCCUCAGGUAAUUUCUUCUCCUGCUUUGUAUUUAUUUGUUAUCUAAUUAGGAAGCGUAAAGUAUCUUGAAUCAUUUUCUGUAUCUGGAAUAUAUGCAAGAGUUUCUAAAAUUUUGAUAUGAGUGUAAUGAUGGUAAUUUCUGUUUUCUGUCUGUCAUCAAAUGUUAGAAAACUUUCAUUGAGACCCUUGAACCGAGUCAUUUUUGACAAGUGAAGGACAAUUGCUGAAGAGUGGGAAUGGUGCUAGAUUGGGGAAUAAAGACAAAGGAGGUAAAUUAUUUGCAGUUUAUUCAGCAUUAUUUGCUUUGGACCACCGCCUGAUUCACAAGUCUCCAUAAUUUGGCUUUUGAGCAGUUGUUAAUAAAUUUUUAAUUCCAUUGGUGCUAAAUGUGCACGUGAAGCAGGCAGAGCAGGACUGUGGAAAUGAGAAGGUUUUUAGUGAAAGCUUAAACUCAGGUAAUUCUAAAAAGUACAUGUUUUUGCUGAUUUAUCUAAAUCAGGAAGUUUUAUUUCCAUCUGUUACAAGAUAAAACAGAAACAGAACACAAAGAAAAAUAUUCUACUUCUUCUGGCAAUCUUGCCUUCAUUCAGACAAUGAAACCAUUUCCUUUCACCAAUUUCUUCCAAAAGUUUGAAUAAGUUUCAUGGUUGGACAUAGUUAGCUUCUUUUUCUUUUGGUGCAUUUAGGUCCUAUCAAGUGACAGCCAUAAGUAUGAUUGCAUUAUUGGGAAAUUUUAGGUUUGGAUGGCUCCCCAUGUUAUUGCCAAGAAAGUCCUCAUGUCAGAAGCUGCGGUUCUUUUCAUCAGCCUGAACCCGAACCUGUCGUUAUGGAUAACUCAGGUUUUUGUCAUCAACUAUAUCAUCUUUUUUACUGUUUUGAAACUCUUAAGAUUAAACUUCAGUAAAGUUGUUUCAGUUAUCCAUGUAAGCAGGCUAAGGAUAUUUAGCAGCUUAUUUAGGCAACUGCCAGAAUUGAGUUUGUUUGCUCGAAACUUGUAUGGUGACAAGGAUACUGGCAAGGAUAGUGAGAUAGUUUUUUGUGUGAGUGAAAUUUGAAAGCUUGGGUGUUCUGGGAUUUGCAAUUGCAAUCAUCCUCUGAGUCAGGUGAUUUCUUCUCCUGCUCUGUCUUGAUUUUCUCUCUAAUUGAAAGCAUAAAGUAUUUCAAUCAAAUUCUGUACCAGGAAUACGUAAAAGUUACUAAUAUUUUAUUUCCAUCUGUUCGCAUUGAUAACUCGGCGGCAUAUGUGUUGUGCGCGGAAUGCGGAAUCAAGCGCGCCAAAUAAUUAUAGAAAAAUAAAGGACACAAGAAUUACGUGGUUCGGUAAUUAAACCUACAUCCACGGAGGCAAGAAAGAAUAAUUGUUUAUUUAACAACUAAUAGAGUACAAUAUUUGAGUAACGAAUCUCACUUCCCAGAAACCCAAAUAUACCAAGUACUCUCACACUCUGCAGGAAAUAUAAAUUCCCCAGACACACUUCUCUCACUUCUCUCAAAAGCUUAGAAACUUAUAAGCUUAACAAUUUUGGGAUUAUUUCAAAUGAACAAUUUCCCUUCUAUAUAUAGGAACCGUAGCUCACCUACCACUUCCAAUUUGGCUACAACUUGCCGAAUUGAUAAAUUGAAUUUAGAAUGGAAAAUCAAUUUGGUGAGCAACAAAAUCAACAAGUUUGAAAAAUCAAUUGGCUUCUAGAAAAACAUCACAUUUUUCCUCCAUACAAUUUCAACAAAAUCGUCCCACCAACCAUGUCUUUUGAAAUUUGCAUGCCAUUCUUUGACUUGUUGUGCGCGGAAUGCGGAAUCAAGCUCACCAAAAAUUACUGCAAAAAUAAAGGACACAAGAAUUUACGUGGUUCGGUAAUUAAACCUACAUCCACGGAGGCAAGAAAGAAUAAUUGUUUAUUUAACAAUUAAUAGAAUACAAUAUUUGAGUAACGAAUCUCACUUCCCAGAAACCCAAAUAUACCCAGUACUCUCACACUCUGCAGGAAAGAUAAAUUCCCCAGACACACUUCUCUCACUUCUCUCAAAAGCUUAGAAACUUAUAAGCUUAACAAUUUUGCGAUUAUUUCAAAUGAACAAUUUCCCUUCUAUAUAUAGGAACCGUAGCUCACCUACCACUUCCAAUUUGGCUACAACUUGCCGAAUUGAUAAAUUGAAUUUAGAAUGGAAAAUCAAUUUGGUGAGCAACAAAAUCAACAAGUUUGAAAAAUCAAUUGGCUUCUAGAAAAACAUCACAUUUUUCCUCCAUACAAUUUCAACAAAAUCGUCCCACCAACCAUGUCUUUUGAAAUUUGCAUGCCAUUCUUUGACUUUUCAACAAUUCUCCACCUCGGCGAAAAUUUUCCAAAUCUGAGCCGACUACCAACUAACCAUCCCCAAAGUGAUCCUUCAAUAAGGAUCCAGAAUGGCUGUGUCGAUUCGACUGCCUACGUACCCAAACUGUCUUGAUUUUCUCUCUAAUUGAAAGCAUAAAGUAUUUCAAUCAAAUUCUGUACCAGGAAUACGUAAAAGUUACUAAUAUUUUAUUUCCAUCUGUUCGCAUUGAUAACUCGGCGGCAUAUGUGUUGUGCGCGGAAUGCGGAAUCAAGCGCGCCAAAUAAUUAUAGAAAAAUAAAGGACACAAGAAUUACGUGGUUCGGGAAGCAGUUGGCAGCAAAUUCAUAUGGAGUGUAGACAAUGAUGAGCAAAAAGGUGAUUCUCAAUUUCUUUUUUUUUUAAAGUGAAAUUAUUUGUUAGAUUGAAGCUGAUAUUGUAAGAAGGCCAUUGAGCUAACCUAUGUCGCCACUUGCCUAGAUUGCAGGGGGUCAAGACUCAAAAGAAGCACUGAAAUUUAAAAAGCAUGCAAUAGUUCUUUUGCCAUGUAUCAAUUAAUGCAAGUUUGAAUAAAAUUAACAUAUAUCAAGACACAACUAGAAACAUCAUACUUUCGUGUAAGUUCAUUUCAGAAUAUUUCUUAGAGUUUGUAUAAAAUGAAAAGAUUUUAAAAUAUAAAUUUAAUAUUUGUUUAUUACCGUUGUUUGGUCUAAUUUCCUCGGGAGAAUUUUCAGAAUUUAUAGGACAUUAGUUUAUAAUUUUGAAAUUUUGUAACCUAAAUGUUUUUUUUUUUCGGUUACCAUUUUGUUUUCCUGCUUUAUCUACGUGUAUGUUGACUAAAACUAAUCUAUUUUGUUAAACCUUUACCACUUUAGACAUUGCACUAAAUAUGAGUUCGUGAUGCUUGCAUUUUAUUGAUGCUGAUGAUUCGUUGAAUGUUUUAUGUUUUUGAUUUUUAAGUAUUCCGGAUCGAAGUUUGUGUCUACGCGGAAAUUGUAAAGGCAGCAUAUAAAGUACUCGUCGUUCUUUAGAUUUUAUUGAGUACACUUUUUUCACAUUUAGCGUAUGCUAUACACUACUGAUUUGCGCAUUGACAUAUAACUUAUUUUAUCAUUUUGAAUGAAUUGCACGGCGAGGCUUAUCAACUUUGGAUGAAUCCUCCAAUUGUCACAGUCCAAGACUGGCUGCAGUGAGUGAAAAUUUACCCAUAUAUAUGCUGGCUAUUUUUAUUGGCGACGAAUUCGUUGUAGUUGGUCCAUCUUGCUAUUCUCGGACAAUAUUAGAGAAAAUAAUCAUAUUAUUUCGCGUGAUGUGACCUUCCAUAACUUAUCAAUUGAAUUACUGUAAAAUUAUUGUGUAAGUUUAGGCCCAAUGGCACUUUAGUUCAUCACAUGAUAGCCUGGAUUUAAAUGGAAAACUAUAUUGCAUUGCUUCAAAAAAAUAAAUUAAUGUUUUUAAUAUGAAUAUUUUUAACUAUAUUCAGUUAAAAUAAUAUAUUCUUAAUAUUAAUAUUCAUAGAUGAAAUUCUUUUGCGGAUUUAAGAAUAAAAUAUCAAAUAGUUUUAUUUUUCUUUUGUUGUGUAACUUGGACCGAAAAAGAAAAUGAGCUUAACAUGACCCUCCUUCCGGCACUAUGCAUGUUUUUCUUGUAUUGAUGACAGUGCUCUUGGUGCUUCUCAUCUGCUUCUUGCUUUGGUUUCAAACAAGUCUUUCUCCGUCAAGACAUUUAUUGUAAUUUCAUUUGGAGACAUCUGUCGUUCAAAUAUAUUUCAUAUUCAAGCUGUUGAUAAUUCUGCUUGAGAAAGCCUACAAAGCAGCUGUGUGAUGUAAUGGAAGACUAUAUAUGCAAGCGGUCAUCAGUUUCUCUUGAAUUCUUUCUUGAGUUUCUUUGAAUUAUUUGUGAAUGAGUUCUUAAUCGGCUGCUGCUCUUCAGGAAAAGGAAAGUUUUGCAAACUGGUGAAGCUGAUCGAUAAAAGCAAUGUACCAUCUUUGCUGGCAUGGAUCGAUGCCAGUGAGUAGCUCAUUGGUGGAAGUAUUGCCAGUAACAGAACCCAAAGCAAAUGAAACUAUUUCAAGGCAGCAGUUGGCGCUUGCAAGUGAAUGGAGGCCAUUGACAAAAUUCUCAAGUGGUUGCGAUGCAAUUACGAUCAUCCUCAGCCUCAUGUAAAUUCUUCUCCUGCUUUGUUUUUAUUUGUUAUCUAAUUAAGAAGCACAAAGUAUCUUCAAUCAUUUUCUGUAUCUGGAAUAUAUGCAACAGUUUCUAAAAUUUUGAAACGAGUGUAAGGAUGGUAAUUUCUGUUUUCUGCCUGUCAUCCAAUGUUAGACAACUUUCAUUGAGACUCUUGAACAGAGUCAUCUUUGCUGGCAUGGAUCGAUGCCAGUGAGUUUUUUUAUUUGUCAACCUUUUUAAUAAUGCAUAUGUGUUUCUUCAACUUGAAGCGGCAUAUAAGACGAAAGAAGUGAUCUUUAUCCAAUUGCUCCAAAUUAUUUGCAAAUUACUGAACACGAAUGCUGAUGAAUAAACUGAUGGCUCUAUGUAUGUAUGCACAUGCAUGGAGAAAUUUUAAGUCAGACAUUGACUCGUGGUACCAAAUCAUUAAAUAAUCUUGAAAUCAAAGUAAUAAUUAAAUACAAAUAAAUUGCUCGAAUUGUACAUAUAUCUGAAUCAUGUAGUGAAGAAAAUACAACAACAACAGCCAAUGGCUCAAAUUCCCUAUCAACUUCUAGUCUCAACACUUUUGAGUGUCAGAAGCAUUACUCUGCUACUAGUUAACAAACAUAUAAUUAGUAAUUUGCCAUUCACUUCCCUUUUAGGCCUAACACAUUUUCUAUAAAAGAGCCACAGAGUGAACUCAGCAGGAAACACUCAAUUUCAACCUACGUAGGACCAGGAAUUUCAACCAAAAAAAAAGUGUGCAAUUGCUUAUCCUAUCCUAUUGCUACUAGAAAGAAAGUGAACAAUUAAUUUCAGUGAAUAAAUUAAAAAAAAAAUUACUUCUGCAGAUACUCAAGCUAAGAACACAUUAACCCAUUAAAGACUCCAAAUUGCAUCAAACAAAUUGUUGUUAAACAAGUAAAACAAAGAAAGAGAGUUAAGGAAGCUGACCAAGUAGUAGGGGAGCUGAAGAAAGACUGCCAGUGAAUGUAAGAGAAAAUAAAAUGCAAGAAAUGGUGAAGUGCAGCUUUUCAUGUCAACUUGAAAUUGAGUUUUCUGUUUUUUUUUUUUUUUUUAAUCUUUUGGAUUUUUCAAACAAAGAAAAUGAGGAGCAACCAGGGAGAUAAAAAGGGCGCCAAGGCAACUGUGUGUUGGGUUUAGAGCCAAAAAAAAAAAGAAUAAGACAUCGUGUUCUUGUGGAGACCAGACCUAUUACGUAACGUCCCCUUCAAUACCACUAGUUCCGUAUCUGGUUUUUUCUUCGUCUUUUACAUAGUUUGCAAUUUUAUUCAUUUGAGCCCUACAGAUGAUAUAAGGGACAAGAGCGCAAAACAGAAACUCUGUCCACUACUGAUGAUAUAACAACGAACCGGGGUUUUUAAUUAAAUACCCUUUAAUAGUUUCAAAAUUAUUUAAAUACCUCCUCCCUUUUUAGUUUUCAUGGAUACCCUAACAAAAUUAUUUAAAAAUGGUUCAAUUUUAUUCUACUCUCAGGAAUUAAGUGUUGGAUAGACUAGAAAAUUCUGAGUACAAAGCAUCGCUUGUUUUCGUUGGUUUUUUUUUUGCAUUCCAGUAGAAAGGUUGUGUACAAUUGAAUCUGAUAACUAUGGCAGGAGGUAAGUUUUCUAACUUGCGCAUGAUGAAUAUAGUCUUUUAUUUCUUCCAUUGUAAUUUUUGUUUAAUAGAAAAUCUAUUUGAGAUUUUGUGAGAAGAAACUCAACAAUAAAGUUUGAUAGACUUUGUGGAUAUUAAGAGUUUGACAAGUAAUUGAAAUCUGAAGUUUACUGAAGUUUACGAGCAAACAAACUGAAAUCCGAAGUUUACUGAAGUUUACUAUCAAGAGUUUCAAAACAGUGAAAAAGAUGAUAUGGUUGAUGACAAAAACCUGAGUUAUCCAUAGCGACAAGUAACAUACUGAAGUAAGCCGUGGGGAGCUGGCCUGUUCAUGGGCUAUUUUUCUCUGAUGAUCUGCAUUUUUCUUCCUUUUAAGUGAACCUUGACUCGUAUCAAACCUGUCAAAAGAACAGUUCAUCAACUGAGCUGAGAUUUGCUUUCCUUUUUCAAAACCCACCUGAGAUAUUGUAAUUCCCAAAUUUCUCUCUCUCAGCUACACGAGCAAGCAGCCGCUUUUUCACUUCAUCGACGAAGGUAAGCGAUAAUAUCUAUUUCGUCCGAUUGAUUUCUUGUUUCCUUUUCAGUGUUCGGGUAAAUUAUUGGCAUGCCUGACUUUUUGACCAUUACAUGAUUCAUAAAUUUAUAUUAAUUUUGAUUUUGAGUUGACCGGUUACUUUUAUUGGUUUGCUUACUUUGACUAGGUGACCGAUUUCUUGUAACUAAAUUUAUGACGUGAUGCAGGAAGCUGGGCAGGAUAUGAAAUGAGAAUCUUAUUAGUGGAAGGAUUGCCAGUAACAGAACCCAAAGAAAAUGAAACCAUUUCAAGGCAGCAGUUGGCAGUUGGGAGUGAAUGGAGGCCCCUGACAAAACUUCAGUAAACUUCAGAUUUCAGUUUGUUUGCUCGAAACUUGCAUGGUGACAAGGAUACUGGCAAGGAUAAUGAGAUAGUUUUUGUGUGAAUGAAAUUACGAUCAUCCUCAGACUCAGGUAAUUUCUUCUCCUGCUUAGUUGUUAUUUGUUACCUAAUUAAGAAGCAUAAAGUAUCUUGAAUCAUUUUCGUUGUCUGGAAUAUAUGCAACAGUUUUUAAAAUUUUGAUAUCAGUGUAAUGAUUGUAAUUUCUGUUUUCUGUCUGUCAUCGAAUGUAAGACAACUUUAUUAAGAUUCUUGAACCGAGUCAUUUUUGACAAUUGAAGAACAAGUGCUGAAGAGUGGGAAUGCAAAAAGUUUUGUUGUUUUUAGCCUUGUUUUCUUUGAACCAGCGCCUGAUUCACAAGAGUUCAUUAAUUUGGCUUUUGAUCAGCUGAUUGAUAAAUGUUCAAUUUCUUUGGUGAUAAAUGUAUAUGUGAAGCAGGCAGCAGGGCAUGACUGUGGAAAAGAGAAGAUUUUAGUGAAAGCUGAGACUCAGAUAAUUCUACGCGUUUUGGCUGAUUUAUAUAAUUCGUGAAAUUUUAUUUCCAUCUGUUACAAGAUCAAACUGCAAUUAGCAAUUUAACAUUCCCUUAAAACCACUAGCUACAUUUCAUCUUUGCACAAUUACACUUAAAAUUCCACUAAAAGAAACUCUUGAGUUGCUCGCAAGCUAUAUGUCAUUAUCCAUUGAAUUCUUACCACAUACAUCUCACCUUUCAAUCAAUCACAUAAUAAUCAAUAUACAUAUUGUAAGAAUUCAACAAAUGGAGAACAUAAUAUACUAUAAAAGCAUCCAAAAUUUUUCCAUCUCAAAUUAUUACUAAACUUCUUGAACAAGUUGAAGAUUGGGGGGAAAAAGUGCAAGAAGGAAAAGCAUUAUUCUACUAGUUUCUAGGUUUCUCAUUUGAACAGAAAGAUUAAAUAAGAUAUUUGUGUAUGGCUGUAGUACUACACGGUAUCUGCUAGAAAGCAAAAUACCUUCUGCUGAUUGCACAUUGGAAUGGGAAUAAGUUGGUAAAUAUAUAAGUUACAUAAAUUAUUUUGGAUAAUUCUGCUGGUGAAUUAAUUAUCUUAAAAUCACCCUUUUAUUUUUUAAAAAAUCUUAAGUUAUUUUUCAUAUAUCUUAGGAAGACAAACAAACUUUCAUCAACUCUCCUUUUUUAGCUUUUCCCUUCAAUAAUGUUAGAAAUUCUAACAUUUGAGUCCUGCUUGAGCUUAAUACUAUUUAUCACUCAUUUAUUAGAUGAUGAAUUUUUUAAAUUAUAAAGUUAUUUGACUACCAUUCAAUGAAUGAAUGUCACAUCAUUUAAAACUCAAAGAAAAGUAUUCUACUUCUUGCGGCAAUCAUGCCUUCAUUCAGACUAUGAACCAUUUCCUUUCACCAAAUUCUUCAUAAACAUUGAAUAAGUUUCAUGGUUGGACAUAGUUAGCUUCUGUUUCUUUUGGUGCAUUUAGGUGCUAUCAAGUGACGGCCGUAAGUAUGAUUGCAUUAUUGGGAAUUUUACGAUUUGAUGGUUCCCCACGUUAUUGCCAAGAAAGUUCUCAUGUCGGAAGCAGCGGUUCUUUUCAUCAGCCUGAACCCGAACCUGUCGCUAUGGAUAACUCAGGUUUUUGUCAUCAACUAUAUCAUCUUUUUCACUGUUUUGAAACUCUUAAUAUUAAACUUACAGUAAACUUCAGAUUUCAGUUUGUUUGCUCGAAACUUGUAUGGUGACAAGGAUACUGGCAAGGAUAAUAAGGUAGUUUUUUGUGUGAGUGGAUUUUGAGAGCUUGUGUGUAUAGGGAUUUGCAAUUACAAUCAUCCUCUGCCUCAGGUGAUUUCUUCUCCUGCUCUGUCUUUAUUUGCUCUCUAAUUGAAAAGCAUAAAGUAUUUCAAUCAAAUUCUGUACCAGGAAUAUGUAAAAGUUCCUAAUAUUUUAUUUUCAUUUGUUUGCAUUGAUAACUUGACGGCAUAUGUACUAGUUAAAGAACAAACAGAAUCAGAGCUCAAGAAAAAGUUUUUUCUGCCAUCAUAUUUGAAAAUGAAGUCAUUUGCAGGAAGCGGUUGGCAGCAAAUUCAUACAAAGUGUAGACAAUGAUGAGCAAAAAAGGUGAUUCACAGUUUGAUUUUUUUUUAAUAAUGAAAAUAAUUUGGUAGGUUGAAGCUGAUAUUGUAAGAGGGCCAUUGAGCUAACCUAUGUCGCUACUUGCCAAGAUUGCAGGGCGUUAAGACUCAAAAGAAGCACUGAAUUUUAAAAGGCAUGCAAUAGUUCUUGUGCCAUAUGUCAAUUCAUGCAAGUUGGAAUAAGUUUAUUGGUUUGAACGCUGUUAGCUCCUUUUCCUUUCGUGCAUUUUGGUAUGCUAUCAAGUGACAGCCGUAUGUAUGGUUUGCAUAUAGCUGCUGCUGGGAAAUGUGAGGAUUUCAUGGCUGGCCGUGUUAUUGUUUUAAAUUAGAUGUGAUAAGCUGUUGCUUGGAGAUUCUGUUGCCAAGACUUUGCUCACAUCAGAAGCUGUGGAACCUCAACCCUUCUCUAGAUAUCAUCUUUUUCAUUGUUUUAAAACUCUCAGGAUUAAACUUGAGUAAAUUUGUUCGGUUGUCUAUAUAAUCAUGUAUUGAGUAAACUCUCAGGAUACCGAGCAGGCAAAUGCCAUAACUCGGUUUGUUCUUCAAAAACUUGUUUAAGAUUCUUGACAAAGCUGCAUGAAGUGAAUCUUGGGAGCUUUGAGGGUGAGAGAAAUUAGAGGGUGUAUAGGGAUUUGGGUUUAUUAGUAAGUUAUAUAUGUAUUUCGUCACUUAUCAUUAUCAUUUUUAUUUUCACAGAAAACCUUCUGAUGGUGCUAAAUUUUCAAACACCGGUCCGAUUCAAAACUUCAUAUUCCAAUUAUAUUCAUAAGACAAAUGGAACACUUUGAACGGCUAGUGUCCGAGCAUUGUAGUUUGAUUUAUUUUGAUGAAAGUACCUUUUGACAUUGAGAUUCUUUCAUGAUUUAAACAUUCUUUUUUAAACCAAAUUAUUAAAAAAAGUAACUAACAUAUAUUAUUUUAUUAGUGCUUUUUAAAUCAAAUAUACAUAGGAGAACUGUAAUUCUUAGCAAUCAAUUUUUCACUAAAUACACCUGCAAUAAACUAUUAAUAACAAAGUGAUAGAAAAUACCUGAUUUUUCAUACUUUCUAAUUUCUUGUGGUCCUAAAAUAUGGGCAUUUGUGUAAUAAUUAGCCCAUGUGGAUCUCUAUGCCAUGAGUUUGAUAAAUAGCUAUCAAGGAUCACUUAUUAAGCUGAAAAUAUUUGGAGGACAAAAUUGUAAAACUAAAAGGGUAGAGCAAAUAUGGCUAUCUAGGAUUAAAUAGUAAGUCAACUAUAUUUAAAGGAUAAAAUGUUAAAACUUGAACUGUGAUAUUAAAAAUAUCUCAACUAUUACAUUAUUAAACCAUAUGUUCUAAUAGUUUUUUUUUAAGCUUCAAAAUGUUCAGGAUUUUAGAUUGAAACAUUUUCAUUUGAAAUUAUUUGGUGCAGUCACAAGUUAAGAAAGAAAAAGUUGUCCCAUUGGUCAUUUCACAAAAAUGAAAGCCCUGUAUAACAUGGACUUGAAUGGAAGCCCAAUUGUUUGUGUUUGAUUAAUUGAUUUCAAGCUUUAUCGGAUCUUUGGACCUGGAUACUUUACCGCGGCCUCUAAGCGCUAUAAUUUUUUUUUUUUUGGGAUAAACGGCGCUUCAAUGAGGGCAUUUCCAAUACUUAACACUAUUUUGGUGUAACACCAACACUAAAAAUGUACAUUUUUCACACUAAAUUACUAUUUAAUCUCCAACCCAUUUGAUCUACCAUGAUUGUGACUCCCACUGGGGCCACGUUCUGUUGAUCACCCUCUCGUCACCGAUAGCGCCUCCGCUUGUGGCGAACUUGCUUGUCUAUUUUCCCUAUUUUUCCGCUUACUCUCCUCAUUUAAUACGGAGGCUGCAACAUCAUCGAAAACUAGACUGUCCACUGAAUUGUAGUUUGUCAGGUUGACGAUGAGUUGUUCAUACGAAUCUUAUAGACUUUGAAGUAGAAGCUCUGCAUGUACAUUAUCCUCUAUAUUAUGACCCAACGUUGUGAGUUGUGAAAAUAGAGUCUUCAAGGUGUUGAUGUGGUCGGUCACCAUUGUAGAUUCCACCAUUCGAAGAGUAUAAAGUCUCCUCUUCAAAAAGAUUUUGUUGUGUAGUGACUUGGCCUCGUACAAUUUUGUAAGAGUAUCUCAUAUUUCCUUUGCUGUAUUUUUCUCUGCCACACUGGAUAAUACUCCAUCCGCAAGUGCCAAGUGUAGAUCAGAAAUAGCGUUGCCAUCUAUCUCAUUCCACUUGUCAUCAGUUAUCUCCAUGGGCCUUUCUCCAAUUGCUGCCAAACAAUUAUUUUUCCUCAAUACAACUUUCAUCUUCAUUUUCCACAAUGAAAAAUUAUUUCCGUUAAACUUCUCAAUUUCAUAUUUUGCUGCCAUUUUUUUGAUAAAUACCGCACACAAGUUAGUGUAUCACCUUGAAUAGUUGUCGGUAUGUGUGAGAAUGCACACCAGGAAAGUUCCCAGGAAAGACUGGAGGGGUCACACUGGUCCACUUAAAACUCAGACUCCUUAAGCACUUAUCGCGUUUGUAACAGAACUUUCCUAGACAUGUACAAAACCACACAGUUGCUUUUACUUACACCACUAUUUCCUACUUUGCAGUGCAAAAGUUCUUGGAUCGCUCCCAUCGUUUCUCGUGAACAGUACCAUAUACGUGAACAGUGCCACAUACAUGAAUAGUACCGUAUACGUGAACAGUACCGUAUACGUGAAUACUACCCUUUACGUGAACAGUACUUGACUCCAAAAAAUUCAACCAAUAGCUUUGAUACCACUGUUAGGAAAUUGGUAGGUGAAGCAGACACGCAGCUAAAAUAAAAUUGGAAGAAAAUAAAGAACAAGUACAAAGUGGACACCAAGAAAUUACGUGGUUCGGCUUUUAGCCUACGUUCACGGGCGAAGAUAGAAGGAAAAUAUUAUACUAGUGAUAUGAAGAUUACAAGUAUUGUAAUAUUUUGGCUCACUAUCCAAAACCCCAAUACACUCAAUCUCUCACUCAAUAAACUCUCAGGAGCUUUAUUAUUUUAAGCUCUUAAAAUCUCUCAAGCUUUCUCCUUAUUAUUCUCUCACAAAUUGUAUGCUAAAAUUAGGGUGGGAAGCCCUCUUUAUAUAUCCAAGAUUUUGGCUCUUUUUUUUUUAUAUAACAAGUCAACACGGCACCAUUAAGAAUGGCGAGCCAUGUUGAAUGGCAUGGCACCGCCCAUCUAGAUGGCCGGUGCCAACCAUGACUUUAACAUUCUAUCACUUGGAGAUUUGAUUGAGAAUCAAUCAAUCUCCACAUCAUCCUUUCUACUUCGCCAUAAUCAUGUUGCCUACGUUUUUACUAGGCCACAAGAGGAUCUACUCCAGUUAAACUUAUCAAUAUUGAUUGGCUUAGUCAAAACAUCUGCUAGGUUCUCCUUCGUAUGGAUUUUUGCAAAUUGACACUUCCAUCUUCCACUACUUCUCGAACGAAGUGAUACUGAACUCCUAUGUGCUUUGUCUUGGAAUGAAAGGCUGGAUUCCUUGCAAUGUGCAAGGCACUCUGACUGUCACAAAACACAGGAAUUUUCUGUUGUUUGUGCCCGAGCUCCUCCAAUAAUCUUUGUAUCCAAAUAGCUUCCUUGCAAGCUUGUAUAGCUGCCAUGUAUUCUGCUUCUGUUGUAGAUAAAGCCAGAACGGUCUGCAGUUUCCAAACCCAACUUACAACUCCUCAUGCAAAUGUAAACACAUAACUAGUAGUGGAUUUCCUUUUAUCAAGGUCUCCUGCAAAAUCUGAAUCCACAUAGCCCCUGACAGUAAACUCUGAUCCUCAAUAACAUAAUACAACAUCUGAGGUUCCUCUUAUGUAUCUCAGAAUCCUCUUCACAGCUAUCCAAUGCUGUCCACCAGGAUUCACCAUGUAUCGACUGAUUGCUCCCACUGCUUGUGCAAUGUCUGAUCUUGUACAUAUCAUAGCGAACAUCAAACUUCCCACUGCUGAUGCAUACGGUACUUGAGACAUCUCCUUCCUCUCUGCUUCAUUGCUAGGACACAUACUUGAGGAUAAUUUGAAAUUAACAGGAAGUGGGGUAGAAAUUGACUUACAAUCUUGCAUGUUGAAGCGCCACAAGAUUUUCUUCAAGUAGUUAUUCUCAGAAAGCCAAAUCUUUCUGUUAUUUCUGUCUCAGUGAAUUUGCAUCCCUAGAAUCUUGUUUGCUGGUCCCAAGUCCUUCAUUUCAAACUCCCUAGCCAACAGUGCCUUCACUUCUUGGAUUCGAUCUUUGUCGGGGCCUGCUACCAACAUGUCAUCCACAUAUAACAACAAAAUAAUGAAAUCAUUAUCUUCAAACCUUUUGUAAUAUGCACAAUGGUCUGAACUGAGUCUGUUAUAUCCAAGACUCAUGAUGAAGGAAUCAAAUCUCUUAUACCAACACCUCGGCGCCUGUUUGACACCGUAUAGAGAUUUGUUCAACCUACAAACCAAGUUUUCCUUUUCUGUUUCUGCAAAACCUUCUGGUUUGAGCAUAUAAAUUUUCUCUUCAAGUUCUCCAUGAAGAAAUACAGUUUUCACAUCUAACUGCUCUAGAUGUAGGUCAAAUAUAGCACACAUUGCCAAGACUACUCUGACUGUUGUGAGUCGAACCACCGGAGAAAAUAUCUCGUUGAAGUCAAUACCUUCUUUCUGAGCAUAUCCUUUCACCACCAAUCUUGCACGAUACCGCUCCACUUGAUCAUUGCCAUCACGUUUGAUCUUGUAGACCCAUUUGUUUCCAAUGACUUUUCUUCCAUGUGGUAGUGGUACAAGUUCCCAUGUCUUAUUUUUAUGUAGAGCUUCAAUUUCUUCCUGCAUUGCUGUCAUCCACAAAGCAACAUUUGAACUUUCUAAAGCUUCAUGGAAAGUUGAUGGCUCUCCAUCCUCUGUUAGAAGACAGUAUGCAACAUGGAUCUCUGUGACAUACUCCGAGUGCCACGCUGGCGAUCGUCUCUCACCAAUUGACCAAAGAACUUCUGGAGUCUCAGACUCGACUGGUUCUUGUUCCUCGUGCUCUGGUGCUGCUUUAGAAGAAUCUGAAUCUUCUAGAUUAUUUCCACAUAUACCGGCACAGUUUCUGACUUUUCUUUUACAGUGUCAUCAUCUCCAUCUUUCCUUUACAGUUGAUCUUCUACAAAAAUAACAUCUCUGUUGAUGACGAUCUUGUGGGCAGUGGGGUCCCACAAACGAUACCCCUUUACUCCAUUAGCAUAUCCCAAGAAGAUACAUCUUCUAGAUUUUGGAUCCAGCUUUGUUCUUUCUUACGGAUUGUACAUCACAUACACAGGACAUCCAAAUGCAUGUAAGUAGGAAUAAUCAGCUGGCUUUCCAGUCCACAUCUCCACGUUGUCUUCAGCCCAAUAGCUGUAGAUGACGACUGAUUUACUAUAUAACAAGCAGUUUUGGCUGCUUCUUCCCAAAAUGAAUUGGGUAGACCAGCAGUCCUCAACAUAGCUCUUAUUCUUUUGUAAGAGUUUUGUUCAUCUACUCCGCCACUCCAUUUUGUUGAGGAGUGUAUGCUACCGUGAACUGUCUAUGAAUACCUUCUUACUUACAGAAAGCAAGAAACUCACCGUCUGUAUACUCUCCACCAUUAUCUGUCCUCAAGCACUUGACCCUUUUACCAGAUUCAAGUUCCACCCGCGCUUUGUAUUCUUUAAAUACUGGAAAUAUAAUUGACUUUUUCAUAAUUGGAUACACCCAACAUCUCCUGGAAUAAUCAUCAAUGAAAGUCACCAUAUACUUUGCACCUCCCAUGGAUAUAUCCAGUGAUUCCCAAACAUCAGAAUGAAUCAAGUCUAAAAUGCAUUUACUUCUAGCAAUAGAUUUACUGAAUUUUAAUCUAUGCUGCUUACUUGUAACACAAUGCUCGCAAAAUGGUAAACUUACCGAUUUAAGCCCCGGAAGUAAUUUUCACUCAGAGAGAAUCUUCAAACAUUCUGACAUGUGACCAAAUUUGAGAUGCCACAUCAUCGUUGACUCUUCUCCAUUUGAUACGAGACACGCAUUAGCCUCCUAUAGUGUUUCUCCUUUAAGCAUGAAUAGAUUAGCACCGAUCUUUUCUGCCUUCAUCAAUACAAGCGCUCUUUUAACAAUUUUCGUAAUUUCAUUCUCCAUAUGAGUUUUAUACCCAUGACUAUCCAUUUGUCCCAAAGACAAUAGAUUUUUAUUCAGGUCAUUGACAUGUCGUACCUCCCCAAUUGUGCGAAUUGUACCAUCAAAAUUUUUAUUUUGAUAGUGUCAAUACCAGCGAUCUCCAAGGUAUGAUCAUUACCCAUAUAUAUAGAUCCUCCUGAGAUAUGUUCAUAUGUGUGGAACCAUUCUCUCCGAGAGGUCAUGUGCCAGGUAGCUCCUGAGUCUAUAAUCCAGACAUCAGAUAGUCGUUUUCUACCUUCUAAAACAGUUGUUGCCUCGCUUUAGAGAAUUUCACCAUUAUCUGAAGUACUUGCUACACACCCUUGAGCAUUUGAUGACUCAGGUUAUUUGCCCUCUCUUCUCUUCUGGUUACUCCAACACUUUUUCUUGACGUGCCCUUUCUUGCCACAGUUGUAGCAUUUAACAUUCUUCUUACUUCUGGAUUUUGAUCUACCAUGAUUAUGACUUCUACUGGGGUCACGUUCUGUUGAUCUCCCUCUCGUCACCAAUAGCGUCUCCGCUUGCUGCGAACUUGCUUGUCUGCUUUCAUUAUUUUUCCGCUUACUCUCCUCAUUUAAUACGGAGGUUGCAACAUCGUCGAAAACUAGACCGUCCGCUGGAUUGUUGUUUGUUAGGUUGAUGAUGAGUUGAUCAUACGAAUCUGGUAGACUUUGAAGUAGAAGCUCUGCAUGUACAUUAUCCUCUAUAUUAUGAUCCAACGUUGUGAGUUGCGAAAAUAGAGUCUUCAAGGUGUUGAUGUGGUCGGUCACCAUUGUAGAUUCCACCAUUCGAAGAGUAUAAAGUCUCUUCUUCAAGAAGAUUUUGUUGUGUAGUGACUUGGCCUCGUACAAUUUUGUAAGAGUAUCUCAUAUUUCCUUCGCUGUAUUUUUUUCUGCCAUACUGGAUAAUACUCCAUCCGCAAGUGCCAAGUGUAGAUAAAAAAUAGCGUUGCCAUCUAUCUCAUUCCAUUUGUCAUCAGUUAUCUCCAUGGGCUUUUCUCCAAUUGCUGCAAAACAAUUAUUUUUCCUCAAUACAGCUUUCAUCUUCAUUUUCCACAACAAAAAAUUAUUUCCGUUAAACUUUUCAAUUCCAUACUUUGCCGUCAUUUUGUUCAUAAAUACCGCACACAAGUUAGUGUACCACCUUGAAUAGUUGUCAGUAUGUGUGAGAAUGCACACUAGGAAAGUUCUCAGGAAAGACUGGAGGGGUCACACUGGUCCCACUUAAAACCCAAACUCCUUAAGCUCUUAUCGCCUUUGUGACAGAACUUUCCUAGACAUGUACAGAAUCACACAGUUGCUUUACUCACACCACUAUUCCCUGCUUUGCACCGCAAAAUUCUUGGAUCGCUUCCACCGUUUCUCGUGAACAGUAUCGUAUACGUGAACAAUGUCGUACAUGUGAAUAGUAUCAUACAUGUGAAUAGUAUCGUAUACGUGAACAGUACCGUAUACAUGAAUACUACCCUUUACGUUAAGAAAUUGGUGGGUGAAGCAGACACGCAGCUAAAAUAAAAUUGGAAGAAAAUAAAGAACAAGCACAAAGUGGACACCAAGAAAUUACGUGGUUCGACUUUUAACCUACGUCCACGGGCGAAGACGGAAGAAAAAUAUGAUACUAGUGAUAUGAAUAUUACAAGUAUUGUAAUAUUUUAAUUUACUACCCAGAACCCCAAUACACUCAAUCUCUCACUCACUAGACUCUCAGGAGCUUUAUUAUUUUAAGCUCUUAAAAUCUCUCAAGCUCUCCUUAUUAUUCUCUCACAAAUUGGAUGCUAAAAUGAGGUGGGAAGCCCUCUUUAUAUAGCCAAAAUUUUGGCUCCUUUUUUUUUUUUAUAACAAGUCAACACGGCACCACCAAGAAUGGUGGGCCGUGUUGAAUGGCAUGGCACCGCCCAUCUAGAUGGCCGGUGCCAACCAUGACUUUAACAUUAUAGUCCAAGUUUUCGAGGACCACUAUAUUGUAUUGAUUUAAAAAAAACUAAUAUUUUUAAUAUUAAUAUUCUAAAUUAUAUUCAGUUAAAAUAUUAAAUAUUAAAAACAUUCUUAAUAUUAAUAUUCUUAGAUGAAAUUAUUUUGCUGACUUAAGAAUAAAAUAUUAAAUAAUUUUAUUUUUCUUUUAUUGUGUAACGUGGACCAAAAAAAAGGAAAUGAAUUUAAUAAAACCUUCAUUCAAAACCUUCAUUCCGCCACCAUGCAUGCAUGUUAAUUGUUUCCAAAUUCCAACCUCCGUACUCUCUUGAGGAGUUUCCCAUUCAUCAAUUAUUAUUUUUUAUAAUCCAUACCAUCCUGAUAUAAUUAAACACCAUUAAUAAUGUACCAGCCUUUAAAUAGUAAUUAAUUUAUUUAGUUGGCCACCUAAAAGAAUCCUGCAGGAAAUAGAGGUUAAAAAUUUUAUUAAAUUUGCUUACCGCUGUAUCAUUAUAUAUAUAAAGAGUGAAAUCUAAAUGAAAUUUUUUAUCAUCCAUUCAGCAAACACUUAUAAUUCACAAAUAGUGAAUCUAUGCAUUGACAAUGUGGAUUAAGAAUUAUAACACAUGAAUUCAAACAUACCCUUGUGAAGUUAAGAAUAAGUUCAUACUUCAAAUGAUUUUUUAGCUAAUAAAGCAAUCAGUUUCAUUAAACGACAGCGUUGAAGGAAUUGUGCAAUUUUUUACGUUCUUUUCUAGACAGACGUUACAGAAAUGGGGUAAGUAGAGGGCUGGCCUCAGAUAUCUCACAAUUGUUAGUGAGAUAAAAUGUUAUUGUAAAAGGCGUUUAAUAGAAUAAUAUUAAUUCUUUUGCAUUGUUAUAAAAAUAUUUUUUUCUUUUGACAGUUCUGCAGGACAAGUGAUCAGAGCUCAAUGAAUAUAGCCGUGGAGGCACAGCAGAGCAGGAUUAUGAAAAAGAGAAGCUUAUUACAGGUCAUUCAAGUUUACUUGCUUUUAUAUAAUAAGUGUUUUGGCCGAUUUAUCUAAUUCACCAAAUGUUUUUUCCGGUACAUAUCUCCAUUGGUAUCAAGAAGAGGCAGAACCCAAAGAAACGUUUCUUGCAUCUUCAUAUUUGUGCGCAUUCAUCCUUUCAUUGAGAAUAACCAUUUCCAGGCAGCAGUUGCCAAUCAAUUCGCACGUCGAUGCUAUUCAUAGAUAUUAAAGACAAUGAUGAACCAAAGGUGAUAAAUCAUAAAUGCAUAAUUACCAAACCUCCAUCCUUCUCUCAUUAUGAUUUGAUUUUAAAUGAAUUAUUGCUUGGUAACAUUAUUUCCAACCAUUGCAAGACCUUUUUUUUUUUUUGGGAGAAAUUUCAAUUGAAAGUGAAACCUUUAGACAUUUACCUAAUGAAGUUAGUUAAUCGGGAGGGUGGAAAAAAAAAAGUUGACGCAAGUCAAUACACAAUAAUGAUUAAUUAAAUCCGGAGUGACUAAAACAGAGCCACUACUUUUUCAAAAAUAUCUGCAUUCAUCACUUUCUCCAGCAGCUAGUCAGCUACACACGAAUCAAUUUCUCUCCUCGUUUGUCAUCCAAAAUUAUUCACCAAUACCAUGGCUGAUGCAAUCGUUUCCACUAUCUUGGAGCAGCUGAUUUCCUUCGCUGCUGAAGAGAUAAAACAACAGGUGAUCGAAGUUACACCCCUCAUAUUACAAAUACUUCCAAUGAUUUUAAUUGGUUUUGUUUUUAUCAAAAACAUUAUAUAUUUUUGCUUUUUUUUAUUUAUCUGAUAAUUUUAUAUUUUGAAAUUUGAAUUGAAUUUAAUUAAAAGGUGAUGUAGUAACCACUCAUUUUUAUUUUAUUUCAUUUAUAUUCUCGAUAACUAACCAUAUUUUGGUAACUUAAUAUAACUCUCGUACAUAAGAAAUGAUCCAAACCCACAAUUUUAACUCUGUAUAAAUAUUCAACGUUGAGUCAUUAAUUCUCAACUCAGCACUGAAUCCCAUAGCUAUUACUUAGACUCUAUGAAAAAUUUCAUAGUUUUCUUACAUUCUUUGAGUUUGGUAAGUGAUUUCGUAUAAUUUCUUUUCAAGUUAAAUUUUAAUUUGGUUUAUGAUAUAGUCUCUGUGCCGAAUUGUAUCUUUUAUGAUUCUUGGAUUUUGGGCUCCAACUUUUUAGGAUUUGAUAGUCACAUUUUAUGCCAUGCUCAGAUUGAUUUUCAUGAUUUUAACUACCCGUUAAGUGGCUUACAAUUUGACAAAAGUUUGAAAGGAAAUAUGUUUCAGGAUUCUGUUUUAAUUGACCUUUAAGUAGAAAUAGGAUGCUUAUAACUUAAUGUGGAUGGUUUGUAAAAUCAUGAAAUUCGGAUAGGAUUCACUAGAAAUAUGUACAAGACUCUCCAUAAAGUUUCAUAAUUUUUCAUUCGGUAUGGGGUGGUACAGGUGAAACUUGUGGUUGGUGUUGAAAAAGAAGUGAAAAGCAAGUUGUGCUCGAUGAUGCAGAGGAAAAGCAAGUGAAGGACAAAGCUGUUAGUCUUUGGCUGGGUAGACUCAAGUACGCAUCCUACGACAUUGAAGAUGUGUUGGAUGAGUGGAUCACAGCAAGACGCAAAUUGCAAAUUGAGGGUGGCGUUGAUGAAAAUGCUCUUGUUGUUCCUCAUAAGAAAAAGAAGGUAUGUCUCUACUUUCCCGGCUCUUGUUUUGGAUUCAAACAAGAAGAAUUUGGUUUCAAACAAGUCUUUCUCCGUCAUGACAUUGCCGACAAGAUCAAAGAAAUCAAUGAAGAGCUACAUGAUAUUGCCGCUCAAAAAGACAUGUUUGAUCUUGUUAAGAGUGGCAAUAAAAGUAGUGAAAGACCAAGGCGUGUACAGAGUACCUCCUUGAUUGAUGAAGAAGAGAUUUGUGGCAGAGUUGGUGAGAGGAAUGAACUCUUAAGCAAGCUGUUGUGUGAGAGUAGCGAGCAACAAAAAGGCCUUCAUAUCAUCUCAAUCGUUGGUAUGGGAGGCAUAGGGAAAACAACUCUUGCACAACUAGCUUGUAAUCAUGACGAGGUGAAGAGAAAGUUCGACAAAAUUCUGUGGGUGUGUGUAUCAGAAACUUUUGAGGAGUUUAGGGUUGCCAAAGCGAUCGUUGAAGUUUUGGAUGGUCGUGAAUCUCAUUUAGCUGAAUUCCAUUCUCUUCUUAUAAGUAUUGAUAAAUCUAUUGCGGGAAAGAGAUUUCUUCUUGUCUUAGAUGACGUAUGGGACGGAGAUUACAUUAAGUGGGAACCGUUCUACCGUUCCCUAAAGAAUGGUCUCCAAGGAAGUAAAAUUUUGGUUACUACACGUAAGGAGUCAAUUGCGUUUAUGAUGGGAUCCAUUGAUAUUAUCUCUAUCAAGGGAUUGGCCGAAGAAGAAUGUUGGUCGUUGUUUAAGCGGUUAGCAUUUUUCGGUCGAUCCAUUGAGGAAUGUGGAAGAUUGGAACAAAUUGGACAAAGAAUUGCAGGAAAGUGUAAAGGCUUACCUCUUGCAGCAAAGGUAAUAGGGAGUCUCAUGCGUUCUAAAAAAACUGAAGAAGAGUGGCAAAGAAUCUUAAAUAGUGAGCUAUGGAAAAUAGAAGAGAUCGAGAAAGGUGUUCUAACUCCUUUGUGGUUGAGUUAUAACGAUUUGUCAUCUCGAGUAAAAAGAUGUUUUUUAUAUUGUGCUGUCUUUCCAAAAGACUACAAUAUAAAAAAAGACAAACUAAUUACAUUAUGGAUGGCUCAAGGUUAUCUUAAUGCAGAACAAAAUGAAGAGAUGAAGACAAUAGGUGAAGAGUAUUUUGGCAUCUUAGCUUCUCGCUCUUUCUUUCAGGAGUUUACGAAAAGUUAUGAUAAUCGUAUUAUAUGGUGCAAGAUGCAUGAUAUGGUGCAUGAUUUUGCCCGAUUUGUAAGUCAAAAUGAAUGUUUUUCGAUGGAAAUUAACGGCAGUGAGGAACCAAACGCCACAAACUCUCCUCAUGGGAAGCUUCGUCAUUUAAUGUUAAUCAUUGGUGAAGGGGCUUCAUUUCCUGUCUCCACUUGUAGAGUCAAAAGAAUGCGAAGCCUCUUAAUUGAUAGUAGCAGAUUUGAUUAUCAGUCGUUAAAUGGUGAGAUCCUAGAAGAAUUAUUGAGGGAAUUGACAAGUUUAAGGGCAUUCGAUUUUUGCAGAUCGGACCACACACGAUUGGGUUUCACUCUAGAGAUUCCAAGAAAUAUAAAAAAGCUGAUACAUUUAAGAUACCUUAAUUUGUCUGGUCAGAAAAUAGAGAAGCUACCGGAGGCAUUGUGCGAGCUAUAUAAUCUAGAGAAGUUAGAUAUUUGUGGUUGUUGGUGUCUUAAAGAAUUACCUGAAGGGAUUGGGAAGUUAAUAAACAUGAAGCAUUUACUAAAUAGAAAUACCGAUUCUGUAAGGUACAUGCCAGUAGGGAUUGCGAGAUUAAAGAGUCUUCAGACAUUGGAAGAGGUCAGUGUGAGUGGAAGAGGAUGUCUUGAUGGUAGGAAAGCAUGUAGGCUCGAAUCUCUUAAAAACUUGGAACACCUUCAAAUAUGCGGUAUACGUGGACUGGGUGAUGUAUCAGACGUGGGCGAGGCUAAGCGAUUAGAACUUGACAAAAAUAAAUACCUCUUCAGUUUGACCCUUUGGUUUGAUAAGAAGGAGGAAGAAGGAGAAAGGAGGAAGAACGAGGACGAUCAACUUCUUCUUGAAGCCCUGCAACCACCUCUGGAUUUAAAGAAAUUAACGAUAUGGUCAUACAGAGGCAACACUGUUUUCCCCAGCUGGAUGAUGUCAUUAACCAAUUUAAGGAGUUUAGGUCUCUGUUACUGCAAAAAUUGUGAGCAGCUGCCUCCUUUGGGAAAAUUGCCAUCCCUUGAAACGCUCCACAUAUUGGGCAUGAAUAGUGUGAAAAGAGCGGGUAAUGAAUUUUGGGGUAUAGAAAGUAAUCACCAUGACUCAUCUUCAUCUUCAUUUUCAUCAGUUAUUAUUGCCUACCCCAAAUUAAUAUCACUUUCAAUUCAUUGUCUGACGGAAUUGGAGGAGUGGGAUUAUGGGAUUACUAGAACGGGAAACACGUUCAUCAACAUCAUGCCACGUCUUUCUUCCUUGCGAAUUACUAUGUGCCCCAAACUAAAGGCACUGCCCGACCACAUUCAUCAAACGACAACACUGAAGGACUUGACCGUUGGGUGGAACUCUGAUCUUCUGCAAGAACGUUACAGCGAGGGUAUAGGAGAAGACUGGCCUAAGAUAUCUCACAUUCCCAACGUCAGGAUUUGGCAAGACGUAAUUUCUUCUCCUACUCUGAUUUGCUUUGUUGUUGUUUUUAAUCUAAUUAAGACGCAUAAAUAGCAUUUUGAUUUUGAGUUGACAAUUUUCUGGACCAGUGAUCAAGGGUGAGAAUGGCGCUAGGAUAUUGAAUAAGGCACUGAACUUAGGCUGAUGUCAAAAGAGGUAAAUUAUUGACAUGUGUAGCUAAUUUGACCGUUUCCUGAUUCAUAAGUCUACAUUAAUUUUGAUUUUGAGUUGAGUGAUUACAUUUUAAGGUUUGCUUACUUAACAGGGCCAGGACAUGAAAUGAGAAGCUUAUUAGUGGCAGUUGGCAGUGAAUGGAGGACCUUGACUAAAUUCUCAAGCGGUUGCACUGCAGUUACGCUCAUCCUAAGCCUCCUGUAAUUUCUUCUCCUGCAUUUUUGUAAUUUGCUAUCUAAUUAAGGAGCGUAAACUAUUUUGAAUCGACUUCUAUAUCAGGAAUAUAUGCAACAUUUUCUAAAAGUUUGAUAUGAGUGUAAUGAUGGUAAUUUCUCUUUUUUGUCUGUCAUCGAAAUGUAAGAUAACAUUCAUUAAGACUCUUGAGAGUCGUUUUUGGCAAUUGCAGGACAAGUGAUGAAGAGUGAGAAUGGUGCUAGAUUGGGGAUUAAAGCAAAAGGAGGUAAAUUAUUGGCAGAGAAUUGUGAGAGCUUGAGUGUACUGGGAUUUGCAAUUACAAUCAUCCUCUGCUUCAGGUGAUUUCUUCUCCUGCUCUGUCGUUGUUUGUAUCUCAAUCAAAUUCUAUAACUGGAAUAUGCAAAAGUUUCGAAUUUUUUAUUUCUAUCUGCUUGCAUUGAUAACAUCACGGCAUAUGCACUAGUUAAAGAACAAACAGAAACAGAGCUCCGGAAAAAGUUUCUUCUGCCAUCACAUUUGAAAAUUCAUGUAAAAUGUAGACAGUAAUCAGCAAAAAGGUGAUUCACAAUUUCAUUUUUUUUAUGAAAUUGAUUGUUAGGUUGGAGUUGCUAAAAGGCCAUUGGGCUAACCUAUGUCGUUACUUACCUAGAUCAAGACUCAAAACAAGCAUUGAAUUUUAAAAGGCAUGCAAUAAUUUUUGUGGCCAUAUGUCAAGUCAGGUAAGUUUGAAUAUAAUUAUUGUUGAAGGGGUUUUAUUUUCGGUGUCCAAAUAGAGAUACUGAUUCUUUAAGGUAAUGCCAGUAGGAAUUGCAAGAUUAACAAGUCUUCGGACAUUGCGAGAGUUCCAUUGAGUGGUGGAUGAGGUGUUGAUGGUAGCAAAGCAUGUGGUAUGCGUAGACUGGAAAACAUGUAAGAUGUGGGCGAGGCUAAGAGAUUAGAGAUUGACCAAAUGAAAUACCUCUUUAGUUUGAGGCUUAAAUUUGAUGGUGAAGAAGAAGGAAGGAGGAAGAAUGAGGAUGAUCAACAUCAGCUUGUUCUUGAAACCUUGCAACCACCUCUGACUUUGAAGGAAUUAGAGAUAUGGUCAUACAGAGGCAACACUGUUUCUGCAAGUAGUCCUCUCUUUUCUUUUUAUUAUAUUUUAUUUAGUUAUUAUUUAUUAUUUAUUUUUUGGUUUACUCUGCUUCUUCUUUUUACGUUUCUCAAAUUUUGAAUUUCAUUACUUUUGAACAUACGACAGUCUGUUAUGUGGCGACCCUGGUUUUUAAUUAAGGUUGUAAAAUAUUAUUGUAAAAGAUGAUUUAUUCAAUUUGAGUAAUUCGUUUGCUUUGAUAAUGAUAGCAAUUUUUUAUUUUGACAAUUUGCAAGGUGAGAAUGGUGCUGAUUGGUGAUUCAGGAUAUGGUUCAAACACCAUUGAAUAAAGCUAUGGACAUGGUGGCUCAACUUAGCUAGAUUGGUAUCAAAAUUGGUAAGUUGGCUUGUCAAUGUACCGAUGCUUUUGUUUUCUCUCAACCCUAAUUACCUUAACUUCAUUUAGUUUGGCUUUGGAGUUGAGUAAUAACUUAUUGUUCAAAUGUUAUUUCCUUAUUGUUCUAAUUCAUCAAAUGUUAUUUCCUUAUUGUUCCAUUGAUAUAUUUGUUGCAUAUCAAGCAGAAACAGAACCCAAAGAAAAUGAAACCAUUUCCAGGCAGCAGUUGGCAGUGAAUUCAUGCAAAUGUUGAUGCCAUUCAUAGAUGUUGAAGACAAUGUUGAGCCAAAGGCGAUAAAUCAUUAAUGCAUAAUUCCCAAAACCUCCAUCCUUCUCUCAUUGUAAUUUGAUUUGAAAUGAAUAAUUGCUAGGUAAUUGAAGCCAAUGUUGUUAAAGACCGUGUUGAGCUACCCAAGCUAAGAAGUUACUUGCCAAAAAAUGCAGGGGAUCAAAAGAAGCAUUGCAUUUGAAAAGGCAUGAGAUUCUGGUGGCUACAUGUCAACUCAUAUAUGUUUGAAUAAGUUUGAUCGUUCAAGAUUGUUAGCUUCUGUUUAAAUUUGUGCUACUGCGGUGCUACAAUGCUGCUACUGGGAAAUUUGAAUCCCAUAUUAGACUUUCCUCACAUCAGAAGCUGUGGAUCUUCGGACAUCAGGUUUUUUCACAGUUCUGAAACACUCAGGAUUAAACUCUAUUAAAGUGUUGUAGUUAUCUUGUUGUCAGAAUUCCCAUAUUAUUAUCUUUUUCAUGUAAAAUUAUCUUGUUGUCUUCGCCCAUGAAUCUAAGCUAAAAUUUGAACCAAUUGUUUGCCAUUAUAAAUUUCAUUGUUAAAUGUUAAUUAUGAUGUUGGCGUUGAGUUUCUUUUAAAGUCAUAGAAGCCUGACGAUUGAGUUCCAUGGGAUUCUGAGAAGCAGUAAUAUUUGAACAAGUGAAGGUUCUUCUCUUUUAAUUAUGUUCUGCACUUUUACAGUUUGGCUUUGGAGUUGAGUAAUAACCUUUCGAGGUCGCGGCUAUAAAAAGGCGAUGCUCAAUUUGCCACAGAUUACAUGUAUUGCCAUCAUUGACAAUUUUCUGGAUAAGUGAUGAAGGGUGAGAGUGGUGCUAGACUUCAGCCCUCCAGAAUAUUGAAUAAAGCUGUCAAAAGAGGUAAAUUAUUGGCAUGCCUGUUAGUGAAUUGGAUAAAGCUGGAGCAGAGCAUGAUGUUGCUGUAUAGCUGGAGCAGAGCAUGUUGUUGCUGUGUAGCUGGUUGUAGCAGAUCAACUCACUGAGCUGACCUGUCAAAGCUGGAGCAGAGCAGAGCAGAGCGGAUAAAGCUGGAGCAGAGCAGAGCGGAUAAAGCUGGAGCAGAGCAGAGCAUGAUGUUGCUGUAUAGCUGGAGCAGAGCAUGCUGUUGCUGUGUAGCUGGAGCAGAGCAUGCUGUUGCUGUGUAGCUGGUUGUAGCAGAUCAACUCACUGAGCUGACCUGUCAAAGUUAGUUAGCUGGUUGAGCUGAUGUGUAAAGUUAGUUAUGCAGCAAAUGGUUAUGUGAUGUAACAAACUCGUGUGUGUAGUGAAGAUUGUAGCUUAGUAUAAAUGUCAAUCAGUAUUCAUUAAGUUGAAAUAUCUGAGGAUAAUAAAAAGGUUCUUUAGAGUUCUCUUUCAUUUUCUUUUACUUUCUUGCUUGCCAAACAAUAUAGAACUAAGUUUCUUUCAUGGUAUCAGAGCCAUAAAUGGCAAAUACAGUUCAAAACAACAACUCUUUUAGUUUUGUUACGCCUGUAAAGCUAGAUCAAAACAACUAUAUUUUGUGGCGCACACAAAUUCUAGCUUCGAUCAAAGGAAAUGGUUUGGAAGGUUUUAUCAAUGGUGAUCGAGAAUGUCCUGAGCAGUUUCUUUCUUCUGGCAACAACAAUGGAGCUGAAAUCUUAACUGAAUCUGGAUCCAGAUCUGUUACUGAAUCUGGAUCCAGAUCUGUUACUGAAUCUGGAUCCAGAUCUGUUAAUCCAGAGUUCGUAGCUUGGAUGAAGGCUGAUCAACUUCUGCUGAGUUGGAUGAUGUCAUCGAUACAACAAAAUCUGCUUGCUACUAUGAUUGACUCAACAACCUCAAAACAGCUUUGGGAGACUCUUGCUAGUAUGUUUAUCUCUCAAUCACAGGCUAGAAUUCAAACACUUAGAAUGCAGAUUCAAACUAUUAAGAAAGGUGCAAUGCAUAUGUCUGAUUACUUUGUAAAAGUAAAACGUAUAGCUGAUACUUUAGCUCUAGCUGGAAAACCUGUUGAGUUAAAUGAUCUUGUGAUGCAUGUAUUAACUGGUCUUGAUUCAUCAGAUUAUGAAUCUUUAGUCACUGCUGUGUUAGCUCGAGGUGAAAAGAUAACAUUAGAUGAACUAUAUUCUUUGCUGUUAAAUCAUGAAAAUAGAGUUGAGCAAAAGAAAGGAAAAAUUGCUGGUGAUGUGAUGCAUAACAUGACAGCAAAUAUUGUUCAGAAGAACUCAUAUGCUAGAAAGAAUAAUGGAAAUUUUCAGAAACAGUAUGGAAAUAACUCUGGAGGUGGUAAUAAUUCUGGAUAUGGAUAUGGUCAGUUUAAUAAUAAUAGUAAUUUCUCUGAAGUUGUUUGCCAAAUUUGCUUCAUACCUGGUCAUGCAGCCUAUAAAUGCAGAAAUAGGUACAACUCAUCUUUUGUUCCACAUAGGAACCAUGGUAGAGGUAAUAUGAAUGGUGGCGGAGGUUUUAAUCAAGGGCAAUAUGGUCGAGGAAGAGCCUUUAAUGGUAAUAGUGGAAGAGGUUUUGGAGGUUUUGGUUCAAAUGCUGGUUUUGGACAAAAUGUUGGUUUUGGUAAUGCCCCCAGGGGUUUUGGCUAUCAAGGAAAUAUAGUAUAUCCAGAGAGCAACCCAUCUGCUUAUUUCUCAUUCAACCCUGGAUCAUCUAAUUUUGUUUCUGGUCUAGGACAUAAUAAUCUGGAACAGUCAAGUGCUUCCUCCUCCUCUGCUAUGUCUUCUUCACUUCCACCUGAACACAUUGAAGAUCCUUCCUGGUAUAUUGAUAGUGGAGCAACAAAUCAUAUUACCAACGAUCUAGGUAAGCUUCUGGAUUCAAAAGUUUACACUGGUACUGAAAGGUUAUUUGUUGGAGAUGGAAAUGCAUUAGCUAUUACACAUGUAGGGUCAGUUGUGCUAAAUACUUCAGCUUCUCAAUCCUUAUUUCUUAACCAUGUUCUUCAUGUCCCUUUUAUUACUAAGAAUUUGCUUAGCAUCUCAAAAUUGUUGGCUGACAAUCCAGUUACUGUUGAAUUUCUUGGUGAUUUGUGUUUUAUAAAGGCCAAGAACACAGGGAAAAUUUUACUUGAAGGUGUUGCUAAAGGUGGGCUUGUAUAGAGUCUCUUCUCAUGCUGCUGUUCAUUCAGUCUUUCUCAGUUCAGUUGGUCAAAACAAAAUUCAGUCUCUUUUUGCUUGUUCUCCUGUUUUUAAUUCUGCUCAGCUCUCUACUGUUAGCUCUUAUGAGUUGAAUAAAACGUCAUGUCUGUCAGUUGUUGCAAAGGGUUCUAUUGAUGUAAAUCUUCUUCAUAGAAGAUUAGGACACCCAGCAUCUUAUACUCUCAAAACCAUUCUCAAAGCUUGUAACAACUCUACUGCUUUUAAUAAAGUUGACAGUUUGAAAUUUUGUUCAGCAUGCCAAUAUGGUAAAAAUCACAUGCUGCAUUUUGAUUCAGUAGAAACAAAAACUUCAGCACCUUUACAACUGAUAUAUGCAGAUCUUUGGGACCCUUCUCAUGUUUGUUCUACCCAAGGAUAUAAUUACUACUUGUCAAUCCUAGAUGAUUACAGUAGGUUUACCUGGAUUUUUCCCUUAUCAGCAAAAUCUGAUGCUCUUGAAGUUUUUACCAAUUUCAAAAUAUUCAUUGAGAAGCAUCUUCAACUUUCCAUCAAAACUGUACAAACUGACUGGGGAGGGGAGUUCAGAACAUUUUCAUCGUUACUCACUACUUCUGGCAUCCAUUUUCGACAUCCUUGCCCCCACAUUCAUCAUCAAAAUGGAAAAAUUGAGAGGAAACAUAGACACAUAGUUGAUGUAGGACUGACUUUAUUAGCUCAAGCACAUUUACCACUCAAAUUUUGGUGGAAUACAUUCCAUACAGCUGUCUACUUGAUAAACAGACUUCCAACUCCAGUUCUAAACAGCAUUUCUCCUUUUCAAAAGUUGUUUAAUUCCCAACCAGAUUAUUCAACACUUAAAAUUUUCGGCUGUGCUUGUUAUCCAACACUCAGACCAUACAAUAGACAUAAGUUUGAUUUCAGAACAGCUAGAUGUAUAUUCAUUGGCUACAGUUCACGACACAAGGGAUAUCAGUGUCUUCACUCUUCUGGGAGGGUCUAUAUUUCAAAUCAUGUAACCUUUGAUGAAAGUUCUUUUCCUUAUGAGUCAGGAACAGAUUUUUCUUCAGUUUCUUCAAACUGUCAGUCAUCAACUCAUUCUGAGUCUUCUUUUAAUUCUUCUACUCCUUUUGUUACUCAGUUACAAGCACCUUUAGCAGCAUCAUCAGAAUAUCAUCUUAAUGAUUCUCAGUCACAUGCUUCUAUUUCCUUCCCAAAUUCUACUCCAGUUUACUUUUCUGAUAAUUUCAAUUCCACUUCUUCUUCUCCUUCUUCACCAUCCCAUCAUUCACCUCCACAUACCUUGUCACAACCUGCAUCAUCUGGUCAUCCAAUGAUAACCAGGUCAAAAGCAGGUAUCUUCAAGCCCAAGAUCUACUUGUCAGCUUUACUAGCUCAGAAAUCAGAACCAACCUCUGUUUCCAAAGCACUUUCUGAUCCUAUGUGGUAUAAAGCUAUGCAAGAAGAGUAUCUAGCUCUUAAAACCAAUCACACCUGGGAUUUAGUCUUACCUGCUACUCCAGUGAAGAUAGUUGGCAACAAGUGGGUAUUUCGAGUAAAGUAUAACUCAGAUGGUUCAGUUUCAAGGUAUAAAGCCAGGCUUGUGGCUAAAGGGUUUCAUCAGACACAUGGGAUUGACUACACAGAAACCUUCAGUCCAGUGGUUAAGUCCUCCACUGUUAGAGUUAUUCUUAGCUUAGCAGUAUUGAGUCACUGGGUUGUAAGGCAGGUGGAUGUUAACAAUGCCUUUCUAAAUGGCAUUUUAAUUGAAGAUGUGUACAUGGCUCAACCUCAAGGUUUUGUUGAUUCAACUAAACCUAAUCAUAUCUGCAAGCUAAAUAAGGCUUUGUAUGGCUUAAAACAGGCUCCUAGAGCCUGGUUUGAUAGGUUUAAGGAUGCAAUGAUCUCCAAGUGGCAUUUUUAGCAUUCCAGGUCUGAUAACUCUCUCUUUUAUGCCUGGAACAGUGGUCAUCUAACUGUUGUUUUGGUCUAUGUUGAUGAUAUUAUCAUCACUGGUUCCAGUCCAUCCAUAAUUCAACAAGUUAUCCAGAAUAUGCAUCAAGCUUUUGCUUUAAAAGACCUGGGGGAACUUCACUAUUUUCUGGGGAUUGAAGUCAGCAAAUCUUCACAAGGGGUUUCCUUGACACAAGCAAAGUACAUUGCUGAUAUUCUGGAUAAACAUGGCAUGACAGACUGCAGUCCUGUGCCAACUCCAAUGUCUACAGGCUUUUAUCUCACCAAAGACUCAGGAGAGCCACUUGAUAAUGUUUCUCAAUAUCGAAGUGUUAUAGGAGCUCUUCAAUAUGUUACUCUUACCAGACCUGACAUUGCCUUCUCUGUAAACAAGUUAAGUCAGUUCCUUUCCAGUCCUAGAACUCAACAUUGGGAAGCAUGUAAAAGGUUAUUGAGGUACUUAAAAGGCAUUAUCCAUCUGGGGCUGCAUUUCUACAAUCAAGGAGCUCUGCAAUUACAUUGUUUUUCAGAUUCUGAUUGGGCUUGUGAUCAUGAUGAUAGGAAGUCAGUGGCUGGCUUUGCUGUUUAUCUAGGUCCUAAUCUUGUUUCCUGGUCGUCAAAGAAACAAGCUGUUGUUUCCAGAUCCAGCACAGAAGCUGAGUAUAGAUCUCUUGCUCAUGCUGCUUCAGAAGUUACCUGGAUUAAAUCCUUACUUGGUGAACUUAGUAUCACAUUAAGCUCCACUCCUAUGAUGUGGUGUGAUAAUCAAGGAGCAAUUGCUUUAGCUUAUAAUCCAGUUUAUCAUGCUAAGACUAAGCAUGUUGAAUUGGAUAUACAUUUUAUCCGAGAUAAGGUCACUGCUAAAGAGGUUGCAGUAUGCUAUGUGCCUAGUCCAGAUCAAACAGCAGAUGUGUUGACUAAGGCUCUUACUUUCAAACAAUUCAGUUACUUCAGAAGCAAGCUGAAUGUUCAUCCUAAACAUUUCAGCUUGAGGGGGGAUGUUAGUGAAUUGGAUAAAGCUGGAGCAGAGCAUGAUGUUGCUGUAUAGCUGGAGCAGAGCAUGUUGUUGCUGUGUAGCUGGUUGUAGCCAAAGCUGGAGCAGAGCAGAGCAGAGCGGAUAAAGCUGGAGCAGAGCAGAGCGGAUAAAGCUGGAGCAGAGCAGAGCAUGAUGUUGCUGUAUAGCUGGAGCAGAGCAUGCUGUUGCUGUGUAGCUGGUUGUAGCAGAUCAACUCACUGAGCUGACCUGUCAAAGUUAGUUAGCUGGUUGAGCUGAUGUGUAAAGUUAGUUAUGCAGCAAAUGGUUAUGUGAUGUAACAAACUCGUGUGUGUAGUGAAGAUUGUAGCUUAGUAUAAAUGUCAAUCAGUAUUCAUUAAGUUGAAAUAUCUGAGGAUAAUAAAAAGGUUCUUUAGAGUUCUCUUUCAUUUUCUUUUACUUUCUUGCUUGCCAAACAAUAUAGAACUAAGUUUCUUUCAAUGCCUAGCUAAUUUGACCACUACCUGAUUCAUAAGCCUACAUCAAUUUUGAUUUUGAGUUAAGUGAUUAAUUUUCAAGGUUUGCUUACUUAACCGGCGACUAAUUUCUUGUAACUAAAUGUAUCAUAUGAUGCAGGAAGCAGGGCAAGAUAUGAAAUGAGAAGCUUAUUAGUGGAAGGAUUGCCAGAAACAGAACCCAAAGAAAAUGAAAACAUUUCAAGGCAGCAGUUGGCAGCUGGCAAUGAAUGGAGGCCCUUGAAAAAAUUCCCAAGCCGUUGCACUGCAAUUACGAUCAUCCUCGGCCUCAGGUAAUUUCUUCUCCUGCAUUUUUGUUAUUUGCUAUCAAGUGACAUUCGUAAGUAUGAUUGCAUUAAGCUGCUGCUGGGAAAUUUGAGGUUUUGAUGGCUGCCCAUGCUAUUGUCAGAAGCUGCAGUUCUUUUCAUCAGCCUGAACCUGGACCUGUCGCCAUGGAUAACUCAGGUUUUUUUUUUUUUUAAUCAACUACGGCAUCUUUUCCACUGUUUUGAAACUCUUAAGAUUAAACUUUAGUAAUGUUGUUUUAGUUAUCCAUGUAAUCAGGCUGAGGAUACUUAGCAGCCUAUUUAGGCAAAUGUCAGAAUUUAGUUUGUUCGCUGGGAAUUGGUGUGGACUGGCAAAGGAUGAUGAGAUAGUUUUUUGAGUGAGUAAAUUUUGGGAGCUUGAGUGUAUUGGGAUUUGCAAUUACAAUCAUCGUCUGCCUCAGGUGAUUUCUUCUCCUGCUCUGUCAUUGUUUGUUCUCUAAUUCAAAAGCAUAAAAUAUUUCAAUCAAAUUGUAUGCCAGGAAUAUGCAAAAGUUUCUAAUAUUUUAUUUCCAUCUGUUUGCCUUGAUAACUUUGCUGCAUAUGUACUAGUUAAAGAACAAAUCGAAACAGAGCUCAGUUAAAAGUUUCUUCUGCCGUCAUAUUUGAAAAAUGAAACCAUUUCCAGGAAGCAAUGGGCAGCAAAUUCAUAUAAAGCAUAGACAAUGAUGAGCAAAAAGGUGAUUCACAAUUUCACUUUUUUUAAUGAAAUUAAUUGUUUGGUUGGAGCGGAUAUUGUUAGAAGGCCAUUGAGCUAACCUAUGUCACUACUUGCCUAGAUUACAGGGGGUCAAAUAAGGCAUCCAAUAAUUCUUGUGGCCAUAUAUCAAUUCAUGUAAGUUCGAAUGUAAUUAUUGGUGAAGGGGUUUCACUUCCCGUCUCUAAAUAAAAAUACUGAUUCUUUAAGGUACAUGCCACUAGGGAUUGCGAGAUUAACGAGUCUUUGGACAUUGGAAGAGCUCCUUGUAGUGGAGGAGGAGGUGUUGAUGGUAGCAAAGCAUGUGGGCAGUGGGCUUGAAUCUCUUAAAAACUUGGAACUCCUCCAAGCGUAAGUAUACGUAUACUGGGAAAUGUGUUAGAUGUGGAUGAGGCUAAGAGAUUAGAGCUUGACAAAAUGAAAUAACUCUUUCAUUGAGACUUAAAUUUGAUGGGGAAGAAGAAAAAGAAGAGGGAAGGAGGAAGAAUGAGGAUAAUCAACUUGUUCUUGAAGCCUUGCAACCACCUCUGAAUUUGAAGGAAUUAGAGAUUUGGUCAUACGGAGGCAACAUUGUUUCCCCCCGGAUGAUGCAAAAAUUGAAGGAAUUUACCAAUCUAAGGAGUUUGACACUCUUUAAAACUGCAAAAAUUGAGAAAAGUUGCCUCCUUUGGGAAAAUUGUGAUCCUUUGAAAAUCUCAGCAUAUUGUACAUGGAGAGUGUGAAAACAGUGGGUAAUGAAUUUCUGGGAAUAGAAAGUGAUCUUCAUGACUCAUCUUCAUCUUCAUCAGUGAUUAUUGCCUUCCCCAAAUUGAAAUCACUUUCAGUUGAGGGAUUGAUGGAAUUGGAGGAGUGGGAUUAUGGGAUUAAAAGAACAGGAAACACCUCCACCAACAUUAUGCCACGUCUUUCUUCCUUGGAAAUUAGUGUGGGGUUAUGGGAUCGCACAACGACGUUGAAGGUAUUGCAGAUUGUGGCAUGUGGUACUCUAAGAAGACGUUACAGACAGGGGAGAGCAGAAGACUGGCCUAAGAUCUCUCACAUUCCAGACAUCAUGAUUGUGUGAAAAGAUGCCCGUGACAAAAUUCUCUAGGCGGCUACAUGGAGUACAAUCAUAAAAUGCUAAUGUGGCCACCCUGGUUCUUAAUUAAGGUUGUGAAAUAUUAUUGUAAAAGAUGAUUAAUUCAAUUUGAGUUAUUCGUUUGCUUUGAUAAUGAUAGUAAUUUUAUAUUUUGACAAUUUGCAGGGUGAGAAUGGUGCUGAUUGGUGAUACAGGAUAUGGUUCAAACACCAUUGAAUAAAGCUACGGACAUGGUGGCUCAACUUAGCUAGAUUGCUGUCAAAAUUGGUAAGUUGGCUUGUCAAUGUAUUGAUGCUUUUGUUUUCUCUCAACCCUAAUUACCUUAACUUCAUUUAGUUUGGCUUUGGAGUUGAGUAAAUUCUGGCCUCUUCCGAAAAAAAAAGCUUAAUUUGCUACUGAUCACGUGUUACCAAUUAUUUAAGGUAAUUCUCGCUUACUUGCUUCUGCACUAUAGAGUACGUGUUCUGGCUGGUUUAUCUAAUUCAUCAAAUGUUAUUUCCUUAUUGUUCCAUUGAUAUAUUUGUUAGAAAGUGAAACCAUUUCCAGGCAGCAGUUGGCAGUGAAUUCAUGCAAAUGUUGGUGCCAUUCAUAGAUAUUGAAGACAAUGAUGAGCCAAAGGUGAUAAAUCAUUAAUGCAUAGUUACCAAAACCUCCAUCCUUCUCUCAUUGUAAUUUGAUUUUAAAUGAAUAAUUGCUAGGUAAUUGAAGCCAAUAUUGUUAGAAACGGUGUUGAGCUACCCAAGCUAAGAAGUUAGCUGCCAAAAAAUGCAGGGGAUUAAAAGAAGCAUUGCAUUUGAAAAGGAAUGAGAUUCUGGUUGCUACAUGUCAAUUCGUAGAAGUUUCAAUAAAUUUAAUGGUUCAAGAUUGUUAGUUUCUGUUUAAAUUUGUGCUACUGCAGUGCUACAACGCUGCUACUGGGAAAUUUGAAUCCCAUAUUAGACUUUCCUCACAUCAGAAGCUGUGGAUCUUGAGACAUCAGGUUUUUUCACAGUUCUGAAACUCUCAGGAUUAAACUCUAUUAAAGUUGUUGUAGUUGUCUACGUUCUCAGGUCAAGGAUUCUAAGCUGCCGAUUAAGCAUUGCGCAUUUUCAUUUGUCCGAUUCAAGAGGAACGUCACAGAAAGGGGUAAAGAAAAGAGUAGCCUAAGAUAUUAAAGACAAUGUUGAGCCAAAGGAAACAUAAAUCCCAACCAUUGCAUGUGAACAUGAUCACAAUAAGGUCAAGAACCUACCAAACCAUUUUUUUGAGAAUUUUCAAUUGAAAGUGAAACCUUUUGAUAUUUACCUAAUAAAGUUAGUUAAACGAGAGAAAUAAAGGGGGAAAGAAAAGUUGACUCUAAGUCAAUACAGAAUAAUUAGUUCAAUACAGAAUAAUUGCUGUAAAAUAUUAAAUAGUUUUAUUUUUCUUUUAUCGUUUAACUUGGACCAAAAAAGGAAAUGAGUUUAACACGACCCUCAUUCUGCUUCUUGCUUUGGUUUCAAACAAGUCUUUCUCCUUUAUGACAUUUAUUGUAAUUUCAUUUGGAGACAUAUGUCUGUCGUUCAAAUAUAUUUCAUACGCAAGCUGUUAAUAAUUCUGCUUGCAGAAAGCCUACAAAGCAGCUGUGUGAUGUAAUAGAAGACCAUAGAUAGUCUCGUCAAUUUUUCAACAUUAGAUAUUCAGGUCAUCAGCUUCUCAUGAAUUCUUUCCUGAGUUUCUUUGAAUUAUUUGUGAUGUAAUAACUUGUGCAUUUGAGAAACUGUUCUCUUGAAUUCUUUCUUGAGUUUCUUUGAAUUAUUUGUGAAUAAGUUGUUAAUCGGCUGCUUCUCUUCAGGAUAAGGAAAGUGUUGCAAACUGGUGAAGCAGCUGAUAGAUAAAAGCAAUGGGUACAUCUUUGCUGGCAUGGAUCGAUGCCAGUGCGGCUGAAUUCAGCAAGACUGCCGUUCGUGAUGUUGUUGAUUGGGAUUACAUUAAGGAUGAUGACAACAUUGAUUAAAAUGGGACGUGAAGAUAUAUGGUGUGCAAAUUAACCCAACCCAACCAAACCCGUACAUUUUAUCAACCCAACCCAACCUGUAAAAAAUCACACGGGUUAGGUUAGUUUCACGGAUUGGGAGGUUGGUGCCCACCCCUAAAUAUAACCUCCAUUUCAGCACAAUGCAUGUUAAUUGUUCCCCAAGGACUUCUCCUGAUUCCCAUUCCCAACCUCCAUGCUCUUGAGAGGAAUUUAGCACCCAUCAAUUUUUAUUUUUGAAAACUCGUAAUGGUCUGAUAAAAUUAAACAACAUCAAUAAUGUUACCAGUCUUUAAAUAGUAAUUAAUUUAUUUAAUUUGCCACCUAAAAGAAUCCUGCUGGAAAUAGAGGUUAAAAAUUUUAUUAGAUCUGCUUACCUUUGUUCAUUCAGCAAAAACACUUACAAUUCACAGCUAGAGAAUCUAUCCAUUGACAAUUGUGGAUUAAAAUUAUAACACCUGAAUUCCAACAUAUCCUUAUGAAGUUAUGAAUUUGUUCAUACUUCAAAUGAUUUUUUUUUCCCAAGCUAAUAAAGCUACCACUUUGAUCAAACGACGACGUUGAAGGAAUUGCGUAUUUUCAAUGUCCUUUUCCAGACAGACGUUCGAGAGAGAGAAAGGAGAAGACUGGCCUAAUUAAGAUAUCUCACAAAGAUUAUUAUUGAGUUAAAAUGUUAUUGUAAAAGAUGUAUAAUACAAUAAUAGUAAUUCUUUUGCAUUGUUAUAAUGAGGCUGGUGGGUUUCCUCAGAGGAUGGAUCUUGCUCGCUAGUAUGCAUUUGGGAAGCUGCUAAUUAUUGGCCAUAAAAAGUCAGGGGGUUGUGGCUCUUCCGUCGCCCAGAAAUUCCUCAACUCAUAUCUCAAACUUCAGAUGAACUUGGGCAUUAUGUAAAUAUGUAUUUUGAGAAUUAAACUAGUGCCUUAGAAAAAAUUUGAGCCAUUGUAAUCAUUUUAUUUUGCUAAGGGAAAAUUUUACUUUGUGUUUCGCUUUGACUUUUUUUUUUUUGCCUUGUGAUAAUAAGAUUCAUACGAAAGUGAUUACACGCCUAUCAUGCAUCUAUUUUCAUUUGCUUGUCAUGAGAGAUCAACAUGCUCGAAAUAAUUACUUAGGUUGGAAAUAUUUGAAUCCACUAAAAUACUAUACAAACCCAUUUUAAAAUUAAAAAAAUGAUUAUCAUAAUACUUGUGAAGAUAACACGAUAUCAUACAUAAAAUAAAAUAUUUCGCAAAAAAGAUACGAUACAAAUCUUGAGUAAACAGGUACAAAAAAUAUUUUUUUUUGGUUAAACCACGAGGUACAAAAAAUAUUUUAGUGGGUUAAGUAGCACUAAUGCCCCCUUAUCAAAAAAUAUAGAAAAAUAACUAGUUUGAUUGGGUAUACCGUUUAUAUAUAUGUACAUAUUCUUGAUAAUGUGUAAUGUAUAUUAUAGACAAAGAUUUUGAAAGCAAUAUUUUUUGGUAUUAUUAUAUAAUAUUUUUUAAAAAGUUGAGAGAAUAGGCAAAGUCCAAAUCAACUUUCUAAUCCCUACCUCCUUUAUGAUUUAAACUUUAGCGUUUAGUGUCGCGAGCCACUCAAAUUUUCUAAUCAAAGAGACUAAAUUGCACGAAAUUGUGCUAGCUUAUUUGAUUCUAGAAAUUUCCAGUACACUGUAACACACUCUCAGGCUUGUACAUACCUCGAAAUUCUCUAGAAUUAAUUUACUAGAGUAGUGUUGCAUGUAGCUUGUACAUAGGUUUUUCUGGAACACUUCAGGUAUUACUAAGCAUGAGAGCUUUGAGAACUCUCUAGCCAUAAAACAUUCUAGGGUAUGUCUACCCUAAAAAUUGGGCAUGAUGCUUGCCACUUGAGCAUACAACAAGUAAGAACAAAUCAAGCAUACUUGUAAGCUCUCAAACUCUCUUAUACACACUUUUAUGAAUAAUAUACUUUCUCUUUGGCUAUAUUGCUCUCUCUUCUCUCUAGUUUUUUCGCAAGCAUCAUACCUUAGUUAGUCGAAAAGUUCAAGGCUUACUUUAUAGCUAUCUCACAAAAGUUGUUUAAGUACCACAUGGAUUUGCUGUGUAAAAUACUCAUCACAUGACAUUAGCUAAAUAGAUUUGUUUGAAAGCCACUUACCCAAACUAUUAAACGAAUAUUAACUUUUGUCUUAAUUUUCUAUCACCUAUGAUAAAAUUUAUAAUUAAAAAUUGAAAAAAUUAAUAACUAUUAGAUAGAGCAUUCUUUACUGUUAAAAGAAAUCUAUAUAGAUAGAUAGAUGGUAAUAUAAAAACUUACUUAUUGUAGUAUAAUGUUUUUAGUUUUUUGAAACAUAGAUUCUUACUUUUUUAAGAUAAAAUUCAAAGAAAACAAGUUAAAUGUUGUGGAAAAUCUUCCAGCCAUACAAGAAAUUGUGAUAGCUAAAUGCAAACCUAACUAAAGUAUUAGUUGUUUUAUUACAAUCUCCAAAAAGAUGAGCAAUUCCAAAAUAUUUUUUUGUAACAAUAAACACUAUAGGUCAGCAAUUAUCCAAGUCAAAAGCAAGCUACUCUAUUAAAAAAAAAAAAAACUUGUAGUGAAUCUGAAGAUAAACCAAUUUUACUAGCAAGUUGGAUACCAAAGAGUAGGGCUUCAGCCUCAAUUACUCAAUGUACCAACAACACAGUCUCGGUGAGUUAAAAUCAACUUCUACCACUCUUUUACUUGCUGAUAGAUCGAUUAAGGUACCAAAAGGAAUAAUCGAAGAUGUAUUAGUUCGAGUUGAUAAAUUCAUAUAUCCUGUGGAUUUUAUUGUUUUGGAAACUGAACCAAUUGCUAAUGAAUGCAAACAAAUUCCUGUUACAUUGGGUCGUCCAUUUUUAGCUACUGCUAAUGCAUUGAUUAAUUGCUGGAAUGGAGUAAUGAGUUUAUCUUUCGGCAACAUGACAUUGGAACUCAAUGUGUUCAACAUAUGUAAACAACCUCACCACCAGGAAGAUGAUGAUAAUGAGAAUGAGGAGAUUGAUUUCAUCGAGCCAAUCAUUGAUGAACACAUUCAGAAUAAGAAUUUUACAAACUCAGUGGAAAUUUAUUCUGCUCGUUCUUUUGAAUCGAGUAAGAAAUUAGAUUACGAUACUGAUAACAUAUACCCUACACUUGAUUCUAUGCAGGUACUUGCUGACGGUGACCAAUCAAACUUUAAAAAUACAGAACAAUCUAAAGAACCAAACGAAGAGGAAGUACCAGAGCUCGAAUUAAAGCCCUUACCGGAAGAAUUGAAGUAUGCCUAUCUUGGAGAAUAACAAACUUAUCCGGUGGUAAUUUCUUCCCAACUCACGCAUGAUCAAGAAGGUAAGUUGUUGUCUGUACUAAAAAGGCAUAAAACUGCAUUUGGUUGGACCUUAAAAGACAUAAAAAGUAUUAAUCCUUUAAUCUGCACACACCGAAUACACUUAAAGGAAAAUACCAGAACAACCCGUUAACAUCGACAUUAUCAGUGUAAACAUUAAAUACCAAAAUCAACCCCAAAAACUAUAACUAAACUAUCAUGACUAAAAUAAAGUUUUUUUUUUUUAGAUAUUCGUUGUAGUAUCUCUUUAGAUGACAAACAAGAGAUAAAAUACAUAAAUAUUUGCUGUGUAAAUAAAAAUAAAUAAUUUUUUUGAACUGAAAAAUAUUCUCAAAAACUAAAUAGUUCAAACUUUUUUUAACAUUAUCGGUUCUGGACCUGAACCGAACCGUGAACCGUAAACUGCCCACCCUUACGUAGUUGUUUCCGUUAACCGAUGUUGUAUUGCUGGUAUAAAAUUGUUCAAAUGUUCAAAUCACAGUCUCCCGCUCUCAGCUCAGUCAGAGUUUCAGGUCCAGAGACUUCCCGCUGACUGAGAGCUUUUUUGUAGCAGUUCUACAAAUAAUGGAGUAGAGCUGAUUUUAUGAUUAAUUUAUUUCCUUUUUCAAUUUCUUAUGAUUGCGAUUUAAUCUGGAAAGUUAAACGUGAAUUGUUUAGUGCGGAUUAAAUGUUCGACGAAUUUCCCGCAAGAGUAUUAAGUUAAAGAGAAAAAAGAAAACAAUUGAGCGUGAGCGUGAGCGUGAGCGAGAAUGGUGUUUGGGCAAGUGGUGAUUGGUCCGCCCGGCUCGGGAAAGACCACUUACUGCAAUGGCAUAACUCAGUUUCUCAGCCUUGUUGGCAGGUAACUUCGUUUCUUGAUUUCAAGCAGCUUUAUCUUUGAUGACCAAAAAAAUUGAUUUGGGCUUUGCCCAUUAAAUGAAUGUAAGAGCGGUAGGGAAUAACUGAGUUAUAGGAUUAGCUUUAAGUGAACAUUGAUGGUAACAUGCGCGUGAAGGUUGUAUGUGUUCAGUGGCAAGCUGUAUGCCAAUUUGGUCUAUAUGGUUGCUUAGGUAGUAACUUAUUAAUUUUUACGCAGGAAGGUUGCAGUCAUCAAUUUAGAUCCUGCUAAUGAUAGUUUGCCGCAUACUUUGUCAUUGAACUUUCUUACAAAUGCUGUGGUUUGUUGUAGUAUAAUUAGUUCAAUUGGAAACUUCCUUGAUGUUAAUAUAGAAAUGAGUGUGCUGUGAAUAUUGAGGACCUCAUUAGACUAAGUGAUGUGAUGAUGGAGUAUUCACUUGGUCCCAAUGGAGGUUAGUCAGCCUAUUGUUGUUUACUCUUUCUUGCUUUAUCACGCAAUGAUAUUCCUUUGCUUUACAACAAAUUUCGUGAAAUUAACUUCAAUCAAGUGGCAAUGUUCAUAUGCUGUUGAGAUUUUAUGGACAAUGAUUGGUAGACUUUAUAUGCCGUCUUCUUUCUUUUUGCAGUGAUAUGCUUGUAUUCAAUGAGCAUGUACUUAUUCUAUGGUUUCUAAAGUAGGUGUUUUUAUGAUAAACUAGGUCUUGUGUAUUGUAUGGACUAUCUAGAGAAGAAUAUUGACUGGCUGCAGUCGAAAUUAGAACCACUUUUGAAAGGUAAGAAGAGGCCAUUUUCCUUCAUUCUAAUGCCAAUAAUGCUGUCAUGAGACUCAUAAAAAUGUUAAAACGUUAAUGUUUUUGGUAUUUUGCAGAUCAUUAUCUUCUGUUUGAUUUUCCUGGCCAAGUUGAAUUAUUUUUUCUUCAUUCCAAUGCCAAGACUGUUAUAAUGAGACUCAUAAAGAAGUUAAAUCUCAGGGUAUUGUUACAUCUUACAUCUAUGAAGGGACUCAAAGAGUUGAGAUGAAUUCAUCUUUGUUAUUUUGAUGCCAGAAUUGUGCAAUUCUCAGUUGGUUCCUUGCACAUGCAGUUGACUGCAGUGCAUCUAGUUGAUGUGCAUCUUUGCAGUGACCCCGGGAAGUAUGUUAGUGCUUUGCUUCUCUCAUUGUCUACGAUGCUACAUCUGGAACUUCCCCAUGUCAAUGUCUUGUCUAAUCGAUCUGAUUGAGAAUCAUGGAAAGCUAGGUGUGGUUUUAAGUGUAUCUCUCCUACUUGUUUGUUUAGUUUGAAAUAUCAGAUAUUGUCACAAGCUCCUAUUUGCUACAUUUCCUCACCAAUCAAUUACUUUGGGUAUGUUGCAGCUUUUAAUCUCGAGUACUAUACAGAUGUGCAAGAUUUGUCAUAUUUACAGCAUGCUCUCGGUCAGGACCCUCAUUCUGCUAAGUACAGGUUUGAAUUCUAGCUGAAUCAAUGAUGCAAAUUAUGUUCAUUGCUAUUUCUGCUGUUGUUUCUAUCAUUUUCAAUUGUUACCUCCCCUUGCCAUCUACUGCCACACUGCAAUGCCUACACAAAUGUUAUGAAAUUUGUCAAUGGCAAUGCCAUCCUGUUUGUCCAGAGACAGCUCUUAGAUGCAAGUGAACAAUUUUUGGCUUUGGCCGUAGUACAGCCUUAGAUUUCAACUUGCCAUAUCUUGUCUCGGAAGUCAAAAGAAAGCGUAUAUGUUAGCCAAAUUUUAUUUGAAUUUAUUAAGUAACAAUGAAUGGGUCAGAAAAACAGUUCCUCUUUUGUUUUGAUCAGACUCAAUGAAUAAGUGUUUAAAAUGUGCCUGUCCUAAAAAUAUAGAUGUGUGGUUUCACAAAAUUUUCUUGAUCUUAAGAAAGAGUUAUCUUGAAAAGAAGAUAACAUGGAGAAUUCAGCAACUAUACAGUCAUAUUGAUGUCUGUCAACUUGGGUCAGAUGGUGUCGUUUGGAUGGAGAUGUUAGGUCCCAGAUGGUAUGCUUGUUAUCAAAUUCCAGUCUAAUUCAUUCAUGCUUUGAUGACAUAUGCGGUGCAGCUUCUUAUCUAAGACCUGUAUAUGUUCAGUCAUCAUUCAGUUCUGUAUUUGGCUGUCAUUCUUUCAAUGAAUUCAAACCACUUUCUGAAUACUUGCAAGGGAAAUUAUCAUUCGUAUACCCUAUAUUUACUCUGUUAUCAAAAAUACUACAACACUUUGAGGGUGUAUCAAUCGUCCACCAUAAGUUGACAAAAUGUAUCAACCGACCACCAAACCGUUAAUUGUCGUUUGAAAGUUAACGGAAUUACAGUGAAUUGACGAUUUUACCCUUGAAAAUUAUCACUUGUAUACCCAUAAAAUUCUCUUUUUAGCACUUGUAUACCCUUAAAUUAUCACUUGUAUCAUAUGAAAAGACCAAAUUACCCUUCUGAUGUUAUCAUAUUUAAACGGCAACUAACGGUUUGGUGGUCGGCUGAUACAUUUUGUCAACUUAGGGUGGACGAUUGAUACACCCUCAAAGUGUUGUAGUAUUUUUGAUAAUUGAGUAAACUAAGGGUAUACAAGUGAUAAUUUCCCUACUUGCAAAUUCAUCCAGUGUUGUCAUUGAGAUGCCAAUAUGUAAAGGAGCAAUAGUUGCCCUUGAUAGUAUGCUUAUUGAUUGCCUCUUGCCUCACUCAGCCUAAGGAAUCUGGUUGUAUGGUGUUCUUGUAAUUUCAUUUGGAGAUAAGUAAUAUCUGUUGUUCAAAUGUAUUUUAUAUACAACCAGUUCAUAAUUCUGCUUGCAGAAAGCUUACAAAGGAGCUGUGUGAUGUAAUAGAAGACUACAGUCUGGUCAAUUUUUCAACUUUAGAUAUUCAGGUCAUCAGUUUCUCUUGAAUUCUUUCUUGAGUUUCUUUGAAUUAUUUGUGAAUAAGAUCUUAGUUGGCUGCUCCUCUUCAGGAUAAGGAAAGUGUGGCAAAACUCGUGAAGCUGAUAGAUGAAAGCAAUGGGUACAUCUAUGCUGGCAUGGAUGCCAGGGCAGUUGAAUUCAGCAAGAUUGCCGUUCGCGAUGUUGAUUGGGAUUAUUUCGGAUAUCCUUCUUUUCACCUAUUUUCAAUCUUGUUAUUCUCAUAUUCAUAAAACAUUUUGGUUAUUUAAUUAUGGUUCAUCAUAUGCAUCUGCAUCUUCUAACUUGUUCGUUUGAGAAACUAAUUUUGCCGUUAGGUAGGCUUCAAGCUUGAUUCAUGCUUUUUUCAAAAAUGUACCAAAAUCAUGGAAACUUCUUUUUCCCAGAUAUUGUAUCCACACUUUUCCCAUAUAAUUGGGUCAGACAAGUUUUGCUUAACAAAGAUAUCUACAGUAGCCGAAGUGCAGGAGAAGUACAUUAAGGAUGAUGACGAUGUUAACUAAAAUGGGACGUGAAGAUAUGUGGUGUGCAAACCGUAAGCCUGCCUCUUAUUUUUGUGCAUGUUUACUUGCUUGUGAUUCACGUUUGUUAAUCUAUUUUGCUCUCUUGCAGGAGUUAUAAAGUUUUCAAUCAAUCAAACAUUUAACUCAAGUCCUUAGCUCUUCACGGCUUGAAUGGGUCAGAUAGGACAAGCGCCGAAGAGGUGGUUUUAAUCAAACCCCUCCUAAUUAUGAUGUAUGGUCCAAAUCUCGGACUUUCUGUACAAUAUCGAGCGAUUCGGACCUUUCAAGUCGAAUAUUGAUUUUUCUCCAGUAUUGUUUGUAAUUACAAGAAACGAAGUAAUGAAAUUUAUCACUGCGUUCAUAGUUAUGCUUAAGCUCAAAGAUUACCGUCAAGAUCAUUUUGGGCCCUCAAAGAAACAUGAUGUUGACACAUGUAAAAUUAUGAAGCUUGUGAUUAAAAUACUUUUGACAUAUAUAUGUUAAGUACUAUUAAUAAUUAAACAUAUGAAUAAAUAUGGUCAAUGAGGAGAGGAUAAAAUAAAAUGGUUUCAUUUUUUGAAUUACUCAACCGCUUCAAACUUCUAAGAAGUAGAUAUACAAUGAGUGGAAUACUGAAUUGAGUGCGAGCUGCGGAUAACUUAUAAAAUUGGGAUGCAAGCUUCAAGGAAAGUGUAUUGCUAUUCAAAUGUAGAUUUCAAAUUAGGAAGAUAUGCCAGCAAAUUGUAUAAAAAUGUAUAAAUUGAUCAGUAACAUUAAUUCCAAAUGAUGAAAUGAGUUAUCUUGAUCAAAAGGUCAAGAACCUACCUUACUUCUCUUAGAGAUAACUUGCAUCAACCGUUGUGGUAUUCAUACUUGUCUUCAGCUAGUAAAAGUGAAAGUUUCACAAUUGAAAUAAAGCUAAGGGAAGAUGCUAUGCUGCAUUUAUUAUUAUUAUUAUUGAUGUGGUCGAGAAGUAAAGCCAUGCAUAUGAUGAAGUAUAAAUAAGAAUGCAAUAGCCCGGAAUUCAUUUUCACAAACACUUCAAUAUCCUUUUGAUCACUUUUGCAAACAUCAAUUUGUCUCCUCUUGUAUUCACCAUGGUUGAUGCCGUCAUUUCCCCUCUCGUGGAGCAGCUGACUUCCUUCGCUGCUAAAGAGAUAAUACAACAGGUGAUCGAAGUUAAACCCCCCAUAUUAUAAAUACUUCUAAUGAUUUUAAUUGGUUUUGUUUUUAUCGAAAACAUUAACUUUGCUUUAUUUUACUUAUUUAGGCAUUUUAAAUUUUGAAAUUUGAAUUGAAUUUAAUUAAAAUGUGAUGUAGUUAGUAACCACUUUUUUUUAUUUCAUUUAAAUUCUCAAUAACUACCUAUAUUUUGGUAACUUACUGUAACCCCCGUAUCUAAGAAAUGAUCAAAACCCACAAUUUUAACUCCACAUAAAUAUUCCAUGUUGAGCUAAGUUCGAUGUUGAGGUAAGUUUUUGCAUAACAUUCAAGUUUGUCAAAUAGUCAUUAAUUAAAUGUUUAGUAAAAACUUAUCUCUGAAAAAUUUCAUAAUUUUCUUACAUUCUUUGAGUUUGGUAAGUGACUUCAUAUAAUUUCCUUUCAAUUUAAAUUUUAAUUUGGUUUCUGAUAUAGUCUCUUUACUGAAUUUAUAUCUUUUAUGAUUCUUGGAUUUGGGGCUCCAACUUUUUAGGAUUUGAUAGUCACAUUUUAUGGCAUGCUUAGAUUGAUUUUCAUGAUUUUUAGUACUCGUUAAGUGACUGAGAAUUUGACAAAAGUUUGAAAGGAAAUCCGUUUCACGAUUCUUAUGUGGAAGGUUCAUAAAAUCAUUAAAUUUGGAUAGGAUUCAUUAGCAAUAUGUACAAGACUCUCCAUGAAGUUUCGUAAUUUUUCAUUCGGUCUGGGGUGGUACAGGUAAAGCUUGUGGUUGGUGUUGAAAAAGAAGUGAAAAGCCUUACCAGCCACCUUCAAGCCAUUCAAGCUGUUAGCGAUGAUGCAGAGGAAAAGCAAGUGAAGGACAAAGCUAUUAGACUUUGGCUGGGUAGGCUCAAGUACGCAUCCUACGACAUUGAAGAUGUGUUGGAUGAAUGGAUCACGGCAAGAGGCAAAUUGCAAAUUAAGGGUGGCGCUGAUAAGAAAAAGAAGGUUUGUUUCUGCUUUCCCGCCUCUUGUUUUGGAUUCAAACAAGUCUUUCUACGUCAUGACAUUGCCAACAAGAUCAAAGAAGUCAGUGAAGAGCUACAUGAUAUUGCCACCCAAAAAGACAUGUUUAAAUUUGAGAGUAGCAGUAAAAGUAGUGAAAGACCAAGGCGUGUGCAGAGUACCUCCUUGAUUGAUGAGGAAGAGAUUUGUGGUAGAGUUGGUGAGAGGAAUGCACUCUUAAGCAUGCUGUUGUGUGAGAGCAGUGAGCAACAAAAAGGCCUUCAUAUCAUCUCAAUUGUUGGUAUGGGAGGCAUCGGGAAAACAACUCUUGCACAACUAGCAUGUAAUCAUGUUGAGGUAAAGAGAGAGUUUGACAAAAUUUUAUGGGUGUGUGUAUCAGAAACUUUUGACGAGUUUAGGAUUGCCAAAGCGAUGCUUGAAGCUUUGACUGGUUCAACUUCUAAUUUAGAUGCAUUGCAAUCUCUUCUUAUAAGUAUUGAUGAAUCUAUUGCGGGAAAGAGAUUUCUUCUUGUCUUAGAUGACGUGUGGGACGGAGAUUACAUUAAAUGGGAACCAUUCUACCGUUGCCUAAAGAAAGGUCUCCAUGGAAGUAAAAUUUUAAUUACGACACGUAAGGAGUCAAUUGUGAGCAUGAUGAGAUCCACAGAUAUUAUCUCUAUCAAGGAAUUGGCUGAAGAAGAAUGUUGGGCAUUGUUUAAGCGGUUAGCAUUUUUCGGUCGUUCCACUGAGGAGUGUGAAAAAUUGGAACAAACUGGUCAAAGAAUUGCAAGAAAGUGUAAAGGUUUACCUCUUGCUGCAAAGACAAUGGGAAGUCUCAUGAGCUCUAAAAAAAUUGAAGAAGAGUGGAAAAGAAUUUUAAAUAGUGAUUUAUGGAAGGUAGAAGAGAUCGAGAAAGGUGUUCUAACCCCUUUGUGGUUGAGUUAUAACGAUUUGCCAUCUAGAGUAAAAAGAUGUUUCUCGUAUUGUGCUGUCUUUCCAAAAGACUACAAUAUAGAAAAAGACAAACUAAUUACUUUGUGGAUGGCUCAAGGUUAUCUUAGUGCAGAAGCAGCAGAACAAGAUGAGGAGUUGGAGACUAUAGGUGAAGAGUAUUUUGGCAUCUUAGCUUCUCGCUCUUUCUUUCAAGAGUUUGAGAAACGUUAUGAUAAUCGUAUUAUAGCGUGCAAGAUGCAUGAUAUGGUACAUGAUUUUGCCCAAUUUGUUAGUCAAAAUGAAUGUUUUUCGUUGGAAGUUAAUGGUAGUGAGGAACUAAACGUCACAAACUCUACAAACUCUCUUGAUGAGAAGGUCCGUCAUUUAAUGUUAAUCUUUAGUAAAGGGGCUUCAUUACCGGUUUCCACUCUUAGAGUUAAAAGAAUGCGUACCCUCUUAAUUAACGAUAGUAGAUCUGAUCAUUCAUUAUUAAAUGGUGAGAUCCUAGAAGAAUUAUUUAGGGAGUUGACAAGUUUAAGGGCAUUAGAUUUUGGCAAAUCGUAUAACUCAAGUUGGUAUUCGACUCUGGAGAUUCCGAGAAACAUAGAAAAGCUGGUACAUUUAAGAUACCUUAAUUUGUUUUAUCAGGGAAUAAAGAAACUACCGGAGACAUUAUGCGAGUUGUAUAAUCUAGAAAAGUUAGAUAUUAGUUUAUGUUUUAAUCUUAAAGAAUUACCUGAAGGGAUUGGGAAGUUAAUAAACAUGAAGCAUUUACGAAAUAGAGGUACUAGUUCUUUAAGGUACAUGCCAGUAGGGAUUGGGAGAUUAACGGGUCUCAGGACCUUGGAUGAGUUCCACGUGAGUGGAGGAGGAGGUGUUGAUUGUAGGAAAGCAUGUAGGCUUGAAUCUCUCAAAAACUUGGAAAACCUUCGAGUGUGUGGUAUAUGUAGACUGGGUGAUGUAUCAGAAGUGGGCGAGGCUAAGCGAUUAGAACUUGACAAAAAGAAAUACCUCUCUUGUUUGAGACUUCGGUUUGAUAAGAAGAAAGAAGAAGGAGAAAGGAGGAAGAACGAGUACGAUCAACUUCUUCUUGAAGCCCUACAACCACCUCUCAAUUUAAAGGAAUUAGAGAUAGAGUACUACCGAGGCAACACUGUUUUCCCCAGCUGGAUGACGUCAUUAACCAACUUAAAGAGUUUAGAUCUCUCUUCCUGUGAAAAUUGCGAGCAGCUGCCUCCUUUGGGAAAAUUGCCAUCCCUUGAAAAUCUCCACAUAUAUCGCAUGGAGAGUGUGAAAAGAGUGGGUGAUGAAUUUUUGGGGAUAGAAAGUGAUCAUCAUGGCUCAUCUUCAUCGGUUAUUAUUGCCUUCCCCAAAUUGAAAUCACUCACAAUUUCUUUGAUGCUGGAAUUGGAGGAGUGGGAUUAUGGGAUUACAAGAACGGGAAACACCGUCAUCAUCAUCAUGCCACGUCUUUCUUCCUUGACAAUUGGGAAUAGUCCCAAAUUAAAGGCACUGCCCAACCACAUUCAUCAAACGACAACAUUGAAGACAUUGCGCAUUUGGAGGUGUGACCUUCUGGAAGAACGUUACCGCAAGGGGGAAGGAGAAGACUGGCCUAAGAUAUCACACAUUCCCAAUCUCCAUUUUGGGCUUUGACAAGUAAUUUCUUCUCUUACUCUGAUUUGCUUUGUUGUUGUUUUUAAUCUAAUUAAGAAGCGUAAAUAGCAUUUUGAAUCAAACUCUAUAUCAGAAAUCUGCAAUACUUACUUUCUAAUAUUCUGAUUUUCAUAUCCUAUGAAUAUACGAUUUUUAAUUUGUGGGAUGGGUAACGUUACUGUAAAAGAUUAUUAAUGCAAUAUGAGUAAUUCUUUUGCAGGACAAGUGGCCUACAUUUAGUUUGGCUUUGGAGUUGAAUAAUAACCUUUCGAGGUCCCGACAACCAAAAAACGAAACUUAAUUUGCCACAGAUUGCACGUAUUGCCAUUAUUGACAAUUUUCUGCACAAGCUUAGGUUGAUGUCAAAAGAGGUAAAUUAUUGGCAUGCCUGACUAUUUUGACCAUUACAUGAUUCAUAAGUUUACAUUAAUUUUGAUUUUGAGUUGAGUGAUUAAUUUUCUAGGUUUGCUUACUUUAACUGGGUGACCAAUUUCUUGUAACCAAAUGUAUGAUGUGAUGCAGGAAGCAGGGCAGGACAUGAAAAGAGAAGCUUAUUAGAGGAAGGAUUGCCAGUAACAGAAUCCAAAGAAAAAGAAACCAUUUCGAGGCAGCAGUUGGCAGUUGGCAGUGAAUGGAGCCCCUUGAAAAAACCCCCAAGCGGUUGCACUGCAAUUACGAUCAUCCUCGGCCUCAGGUAAUUUCUUCUCCUGCAUUUUUGUUAUUUGCUAUCAAGUGACUAUUUUAAGUAUGAUUGCAUUAAGCUGCUGCUGGGAAAUUUGAGGUUUUGAUGACUGCCCAUGCUAUUGUAAGAAGCUGCGGUUCUUUUCAUCAGCCUGAACCUGGACCUGCCGCUAUGGAUAACUCAGUUUUUCUUUUUUUUAAUCAACUGCCAUCUUUUCCACUGUUUAGAAACUCUUUAAGAUUAAACUUUAGUAAAGUUGUUUUAGUUAUUCAUGUAAUCAGGCUGAGGAUACUUAGCUGCCUAUUUAGGCAAAUGUCAGAAUUUAGUUUGUUCGCUGGGUACUGGUGGGGACUGGCAAAGGAUGAUGAGAUAGUUUUUUGAGUGAGUAAAUUUUGGGAGCUUGAGUGUAUUGGGAUUUGCAAUUACAAUCAUCGUCUGCCUCAGGUGAUUCUUUUUCCUGCUCUGUCAUUGUUUGUUCUCUAAUUCAAAAGCAUAAAAUAUUUCAAUCAAUUUUUAUGCCAGGAAUAUGCAAAAGUUUCUAAUAUUUUAUUUCCAUCUGUUACAAGAUCAAACUGAAGCAGAACUCAAACAAAAGUAUGCUACUUCUUGCGGAAAUCUUGCCUUUGUUCAGAUUAUGAAACCAUUUCCAUGCAGCAAAUUCAUCCAAAAGUUUGAAUAAGUUUCACGGUUGGACACUGUUGGCUUCUUUUUCUUCUGGGGUGCAUUUAGGUGCUAUCAAGUGACAGCUGUAAGUAUGAUUGCACUAAGCUGCUGCUGGGAAAUUUGAGGUUUUGAUGGCUGCCCAUGUUAUUUUCAAUAAACUAUUGAUGUAAGAAGCUGUGGUUCUUUUCAUCAGCUUGAACCUGAAACUGUCGCUAUGGAUAACUCAGGUUUUUGUUAUCAACUAUAUCAUCUUUUUCACUAUUUUGAAACUCUUAAGAUUAAACUUUAGUAAAGUUGUUUCAGCUAUUCAAAUGAAAAACUCAUUGAUUUGAGAAUUCCUUCAUUAUUGUUUCUAAUUACAAUGCUAACGAUCCAGAUAAAAUAAUAUUUAAUCGGCGAAGGUGUCCCUUGGAAGUACAUCCUUCUUUUUCUUUUAUUAUAUCAAUUCUUGCAAUGAGCUUAGUGAAGCUGUUGUGCUAAUCAUGCCACUGCAUAAUUUGGCCCCUAAUGUGGGUACUCUGUUACAUUGUUCUGCAAAUUCUCCAGAAGUUAAAAUCAAUAAAUUUUCUAUUAGCUCUAGUGCUUUGACCUAAAUGCUAUUCUAUAUUCUGAUUACAAUGUUUUAACCUUUAAAUUAACUACCCCUAGAUGUUGGAUUUUCUAGAACUUCAAAAUGAUUAAUGGAGAAAGAUCCCAUUAUCGUUAUUGCUAUAAGAAAUUGAUUUAUGCAUCCAAAGAUACAUUAUAUAUUUCUGUGUCUCUAUUUAUAGAUGACAUUUAAGCAUCCAUAAACCGUCAGACAGAGGAAGGGGGUUCAGUGCAAAGAUUCUGUUGACCUAGGGUUGACUGCAUAUGUCACUUGUUCGCAAUCUAUUAUUUAUUUUAUAUUUUGAAGAAUUUAAUGGGUAAUCCUAAUUGUUUGUUUUGGCAGGUAUGUGUUGUUAUCUCCUUCUAUCUAACAGUCGUACCUAAAUAGCAUAGUUUCAUCUGUGUUACCAUGUGAUGUACAUAAUUUCACAUUUGCCUCAGAUUAAGCUUAAUUUCCCACAGAAUAGAGCUGUCGCGACUGGACUUAGGUUGAUGUCCAAAGAGGUAAAUUAUUGGUAUGCCUAGAUAAUUUGGCCAUUUCCUAAUUCAUAAGUCUACAUUAAUUUUGAUUUUGAGUUGACUGAUUUCUUUUCAAGGUCUGCUUCCUUAACGGAGUGACCAAUGUUUUUCAACUAAAUUUAUCAUAUGAUGCAGGAAGCAGGGCAGGAUAUGCAAUGAGAAUCUCAUUGGUGGAAGUAUUGCCAGUAACAGAACCCAAAGAAAAUGAAACUGUUUCAAGGCAGCAGUUGGCAGUUGCAAGUGAAUGGAGGCCCUUGACAAAAUUCUCAAGCGGUUGCAAUGCAAUUACGAUCAUCCUCAGCCUCAGGUAAUUUCUUCUCCUGCUUUGUAUUUAUUUGUUAUCUAAUUAGGAAGCGUAAAGUAUCUUGAAUCAUUUUCUGUAUCUGGAAUAUAUGCAAGAGUUUCUAAAAUUUUGAUAUGAGUGUGAUGAUGGUAAUUUCUGUUUUCUGUCUGUCUUCAAAUGUUAGAAAACUUUCAUUGAGACGCUUGAACCGAGUCAUUUUUGACAAGUGAAGUGCUGAAGAGUGAAGAGUAAGAAUGGUGCUAGAUUGGGGAAUAAAGCAAAAGGAGGUAAAUUAUUGGCAGCUUCUUCAGCCUUAUUUUCUUUGGACCAGUGCCUAACUCACAAGUCUCCAUAAUUCGGCUUUUGACCAGUUGAUAGAUAAAAUUUUAAUUUCAUUGGUGCUAAUGUACCCGUGAAGCAGGCAGAGAAGGACUGUGGAAAAGAGAAGGUUUUUAGUGAAAGCUUAAACUCAGGUAAUUCUAAAAAUUAUAUGUUUUGGCUGAUUUAUCUAAAUCAGGAAAUUUUAUUUCCAUCUGUUACAAUAAAACAGAAACAGAACACAAAGAAAAAUAUUCUACUUCUUGUGGCAAUCUUGCCUUCAUUCAGACUAUGAAACCAUUUCCUUUCACCAAUUUCUUCCAAAAUUUUGAACACGUUUCAUGGUUGGACAUAGUUAUCUUCUUUUUCUUUUGGUGCAUUUAGGUACUAUCAAGUGACAGCCAUAAGUAUGAUUGCAUUGUUGGGAAAUUUUAGGUUUUGAUGGCUCCCCAUGUUAUUGCCAAGAAAUUUUAAGUCCUCAUGUCAGAAGCUGCGUUUCUUUUCAUCAGCCUGAACCCGAACCUGUCACUAUGGAUAACUGAGGUUUUUGUCAUCAACUAUAUCAUCUUUUUCACUGUUUUGAAACUCUUAAGAUUAAACUGUUGAGAAGUCAAUAUUAGCCCAAAUAAGUCCACACCUAAAUUAAUUUGAUGUCAUUGCUUACAUCAAUUUAGUUAGGUGAAUAUUAGCCCAAAUAAGUCCACACCUAAAUUAAUUUGAUGUCAUUGCUUACAUCAAUUUAGUUAGGUGAAAAUUAGGUAUUUUUCCCAUGUUUAAUUUCAAUGGUUUAAAUUAGUUUGUGGUUAUUUUAAUGAGUGGUUUAGAUUGUUUCUUGUAACCUAUAAAUACCUCAUUUGUAUUUGAGUUUUAUUAUUCAACAAUAAAAAGCUUUAUUAUAAGCAUUUGAAAGCUUUCUUAAGAGUUCUUCUCUUUUUGCAAUUUUGUGAGAUUAUUCUAAAGAGAGUUUUUCUUCUUCUUGAUCAAUUAGAGUUUUUACUCUAUUUUGAUUCAACAUUUGGUAUCAGAGCAUUGGUUGUAAAGUCUCUUGAAAUUCCGAGUAUGCUCUGUGGUUGCAGUUUUGACUGAUCUUCCACAUCAGAAAAGAUUUCUUGAGAUUAUUGCUGGGGUUAUCACAAACCUUGAGAGGGAGCUUCUUUGUGUCAAGAGUAGUGUAUUAUUCUGCACGGUAGUCACUCAAGAUUGUUCGGUGUAGUCAAAGUCUUGUCGAUACGAUGGGUGAUCUUCAAGUUGUUGGAGGAAUCAAGAAGCUCAACAACCAAAACUAUAACACGUGGGCAACGUGUAUAGAAUCUUACCUUCAAGGUCAAGACUUGUGGGAGGUUGUCGGUGGUAGUGAAGUUACACAACCGGCAGCGGAAGAUGCUAACGGCGUCUUGCGGAAGUGGAAAAUUAAAGCAGGCAAAGCAAUGUUUGCUUUAAAGACCACAAUAGAAGAAGAAAUGUUGGAGCACAUUCGGGAUGCUAAAUCACCGAAGGAAGCGUGGGACACCUUCGCUACACUCUUUUCGAAGAGGAACGAUACAAAAUUGCAACUUCUCGAGAAUGAACUUCUAUCAAUGGUGCAACGCGACAUGGCGGUUGCCCAAUACUUUCACAAGGUGAAGUCGAUAUGCCGUGAAAUUUCAGAAUUAGAUCCGACAGCUGCUAUUGGGGAAGCCAGGAUAAAAAGAAUAAUUGUCCAUGGCUUGAGACCCGAAUACCGAAGCUUUGUAGCCGCUGUACAAGGAUGGCCGACACAACCAUCACUUGUUGAGUUUGAAAAUUUGCUGACAGGCCAAGAAACUAUGGCCAAGAAAAUGGGAGGAGUCUCACUAAAGGGUGAAGAGGAAGCGCUUUACACCAACCAAAGCAGAGGUGGUUCAAGACAGCACAACAAAGGCGGAUCUAGAAAGACUGGUGAACAGACAAAAAGUCAUCAGGGAGGGAAUGGCUCUCGUCCAGGGGGAGCUUCGAAGAAUCGUGACAGUAAUAGAAAGUUCGAUGGCGAAUGUUACAAUUGCGGGAAGAAGGGCCACAUGAAGAGAGAUUGUUGGUCCAAAAAGAAGUCUACCGAAAGCAAUAUUGCUACUUCUAGUUCUAAAGAAGAUAGUGAAGAUAGCUGGGAUGCCGAAGCAUUACUCGCUAUGGAGGAAGAAGAAUUAGCUCUCACGGUAACAACACCAGAAAAGAUUAACUACGAGAAUGAUUGGAUCGUAGACUCAGGCUGCUCAAAUCACAUGACGGGUGAUAGACAGAAGUUGCAAAACUGUUCUGAGUACAAGGGAAAUCGUGUGGUGGUAACAGCUGACAACUCAAGGUUACCGAUAGCUCACAUCGGUAAAGCGAUCGUUACACCUCGAUAUAGUCCCAACCAAGUGCCACUUCAAGAUGUCUACCAUGUUCCAGGAAUGAAGAAAAAUUUGCUAUCCGUAGCUCAAUUGACAUCAUCAGGCCACUAUGUCUUGUUUGGUCCACAAAAUGUGAAGGUAUUUCGAGACCUGAAGAUCUCAGAAAACCCUACGAUGGAGGGACGACGAUUGGAGUCAGUUUAUGUGAUGUCAGCUGAGUCUGCAUACGUAGACAAGACAAGAAGGAAUGAGACGGCAGAUCUGUGGCACAUGCGGCUAGGUCAUGUUAGUUAUUCCAAGCUAAGUGUGAUGGUGAAGAAGUCGAUGCUUAAGGGACUUCCACAACUUGACGUGAGAACAAAUACUGUUUGCGCGGGAUGUCAAUAUGGUAAAGCACAUCAAUUGCCAUACGAGGAGUCGAAGUUUAAAGCAAAGAAACCAUUAGAGUUAAUUCACUCUGAUGUGUUUGGACCAGUUAAGCAACCAUCAAUUGGCGGAAUGCGGUAUAUGGUUACGUUCAUUGAUGAUUUCUCCAGAUAUGUAUGGGCUUUCUUCAUGAAAGAAAAAUCUGAAGCAUUCUCAAAGUUCAAAGAGUUCAAAGAGAUAGUCGAAGGAGAAGUGGAGCAAAAGAUUCGUUGCUUGCGCACAGACAACGGGGGUGAGUAUAGCUCGAGAGAGUUUUCUCAAUACCUACGGGAAUGCCAAAUACGUCAUCAGUAUACUUGUGCCAAUACGCCACAACAAAAUGGUGUAGCAGAGAGGAAGAAUCGGCACCUUGCUGAAAUUUGCCGGAGUAUGCUACAUGCGAAGAAUGUACCUGGAAGAUUUUGGGCCGAAGGUAUGAGAACUGCAGCUCAUGUCAUCAACAAGCUUCCUCAACCAAGGUUGGAGUUUGUUUCACCCUUUGAGAAAUUGUGGAACAAGAAACCUACAGUUAGCUAUUUUCGAGUAUUCGGUUGUGUAUGCUAUGUAUUUGUUCCUGACCAUCUACGUAGCAAGAUCGAUAAGAAAGCAGUCAGAUGUAUCUUUGUGGGAUACGACAAUCAGCGAAAAGGGUGGAAGUGUUGUGAUCCAGUAGAUGGAAGGUGCUACACAUCACGAGAUGUGGUGUUUGAUGAAGCAUCCUCAUGGUGGACCUCAGAAAAAGAAGUGCUGCCAGACUCGAAAGAAUUCGGAGACAUGCUACAACAAAAGAUGGGGGAGCAUACUGUCCAAAUUCAUCUAAGCUCAGCUGGGGAUCUAUGCGAUAGUGAUAGCGAACGAAGAGUAACUCUAAAUCCUUGGCAAUCUGGGGUGUAUCGACAACCAGAUGAAGAAGGUGUGCCUAGUGAAACAGAAGAAUCAACUCCAUUACGAAGGUCAACAAGAACCCGAAGGCCAAAUCCCAAAUACGCUAAUGCAGCCAUAGUUGAAGAAGCAACUGGAAUAGAACCUGAGACGUUCGAAGAAGCGUCACAGAGUUCUGAGUGGAUGACAGCUAUGAAAGACGAGAUCACUGCACUUGAGCAAAAUCAGACCUGGGAACUCGUGCCAAAGCCAAAAGAUGUGAAACCCAUAUCCUGCAGAUGGGUUUACAAAAUAAAGCACUGUCCAGAUGGGUCAAUCGAGAGGUACAAGGCUCGAUUGGUAGCUCGUGGUUUCUCUCAACAAUAUGGACUAGAUUAUGACGAAACGUUUAGUCCAGUGGCAAAACUUACAACCGUCCGAGUCUUACUUGCACUUGCAGCCAACAAAAGCUGGAACUUGUGGCAGAUGGACGUGAAGAAUGCCUUUCUCCAUGGAGAGCUGGAUAGAGAGAUCUACAUGAUUCAACCGAUGGGUUUUCAGAACCGAGGUCACCCUGAGUAUGUGUGUAAACUGCGAAAGGCUCUCUACGGACUAAAACAAGCACCCAGGGCGUGGUAUGGCAAGAUUGCUGAAUUUCUAACUCAAAGUGGGUAUUCAGUAACAUCUGCAGACUCCAGCUUGUUUGCUAAAGCUAAUGGAGAAAGGAUAGCUAUUGUGCUCGUGUACGUAGAUGAUCUAAUCAUCACUGGAGAUGAUGUUGAAGAAAUUUUCCGAACAAAGGAGAACUUGUCAGUUCGUUUUCAAAUGAAAGAACUUGGACAACUUAAGCAUUUCCUUGGGCUAGAGGUUGAUCAGACGAAAGAAGGGAUAUUUCUUUGUCAACAGAAAUAUGCCAAAGAUUUGUUGAAGAAGUUUGGGAUGCUAGAAUGUAAGCCGAUCUCAACACCGAUGGAACCAAAUGCCAAGAUGUGUGCACAUGAAGGCAAAGACCUGGAAGAUGCAUCGAUGUAUCGACAAUUAGUGGGUAGUCUAAUCUACUUAACCUUGACUCGACCUGACAUUUCUUAUGCAGUUGGCGUGAUGAGUCGAUACAUGCAAAAUCCGAAGAAGUCUCAUUUAGAAGCGGUUCGGCGAGUACUCAGAUAUGUGAAGAGUACAAUAGACUAUGGUCUUUUAUACAAGAAAGGUGGAAAUUGCAAACUAGUUGGCUACUGUGAUGCUGACUAUGCAGGAGAUCACGAUACUCGCAGAUCAACUACUGGGUAUAUGUUUACCCUUGGAUCUGGAACGAUUUCUUGGUGUAGCAAGAGACAACCGACUGUGUCCAUGUCAACUACGGAAGCAGAGUAUCGAGCAGCAGCAAUGGCAGCUCAAGAAAGCACGUGGCUGAUACAACUAAUGAAUGAUCUACAUCAACCACUAGAUUAUACAGUUCUGUUGUACUGUGACAACCAAUCGGCAAUUCGGCUGGCGGAGAAUCCUGUUUUUCAUGCAAGAACUAAACAUGUGGAAGUGCAUUACCACUUUGUUAGGGAAAAAGUUCUGCAAGAAGAGAUUGAGAUGAGGCAAGUCAAGACAGAUGAACAAAUUGCUGACUUGUUUACAAAAAGCUUGAGUGUUGGAAAGUUUGAACAUUUCCGUCGUCAGCUUGGCAUGAUUCAAAGAAUGGGGGCUAACAUUGAGGGGGAGUGUUGAGAAGUCAAUAUUAGCCCAAAUAAGUCCACACCUAAAUUAAUUUGAUGUCAUUGCUUACAUCAAUUUAGUUAGGUGAAUAUUAGCCCAAAUAAGUCCACACCUAAAUUAAUUUGAUGUCAUUGCUUACAUCAAUUUAGUUAGGUGAAAAUUAGGUAUUUUUCCCAUGUUUAAUUUCAAUGGUUUAAAUUAGUUUGUGGUUAUUUUAAUGAGUGGUUUAGAUUGUUUCUUGUAACCUAUAAAUACCUCAUUUGUAUUUGAGUUUUAUUAUUCAACAAUAAAAAGCUUUAUUAUAAGCAUUUGAAAGCUUUCUUAAGAGUUCUUCUCUUUUUGCAAUUUUGUGAGAUUAUUCUAAAGAGAGUUUUUCUUCUUCUUGAUCAAUUAGAGUUUUUACUCUAUUUUGAUUCAACAUAAACUUCAGUAAAGUUGUUUCAGUUAUCUAUGUAAUCAGGCUAAGGAUAUUUAGCAGCUUAUUUAGGCAACUGCCAGAAUUCAGUUUGUUCGCUCGAAACUUGUAUGGUGACAAGGAUACUGGCAAGGAUAGUGAGAUAGUUUUUUGUGCGAGUGAAUUUUGAAAGCUUGGGUGUUCUGGGAUUUGCAAUUGCAAUCAUCCUCUGCUUUAGGUGAUUUCUUCUCCUCUUCUGUCUUUAUUUUCUCUCUAAUUGAAAGCAUAAAGUAUUUCAAUCAAAUUCUGUACCAGGAAUACGAAAAAUUUACUAAUAUUUUAUUUCCAUCUGUUUGCAUUGAUAACUUGGCCGCUUAUGUACUAGUUAAAGAACAAACAGAAGCAGAGUUCAGGAAAAAGUUUCUUCGGCCACCAUAUUUUAAAAUGAAACCAUUUCCAGGAAGCAGUUGGCAGCAAAUUCAUAGAAAGUAUAGACAAUGAUGAGCAAAAAGGUGAUUCGCAAUUUCAUUUUUUUAAAAUGAAAUUAUUUGUUAAGUUGGAGCUGAUAUUGUUAGAAGGCCAUUGAGCUAACCUAUGACACUGCUUGCCUAGAUUGCAGGAGGUCAAGACUCAAAAGAUGCACUGAAUUUUAAAAGGCAUGCAAUAAUUCUUAUGGCCAUUUGUCAAUGGUGGAAUGCUUUUAGCUUCUUUUCCUUUCGUGCAUUUUGGGGUUCUAUCAAGCGACAGCCGUAUGUAUGGACGGAUAUAGCUGCUGCGUUGAUUUCUAAUGCGUUGUAUGAUGUUAUAGCAACUAUCUAUCUGGUCAAUGUUUCAAAAGAAUAAGACACAGGGAAAAAGAGAAAGCAAGUGGCCAAUCAAGUAUUCAUGUCCCAAAGAAAAGAAUGAUUCGACAAUAGCAUUAAGGGUUAAUUGGACACAACAGAAGUGUUUUAACCACUUCAAGGAAUGUAAAUGUAAUUUUCCAUUCUAAAGAAAAAGUAAAUAUAUGCACUGUCAAUUAAUCUUUGGUCAACCAGCAACAUUCAUAAUUUCGUGUAAGUUUCAUUUCUGUUUGUUGGAAAUAGCAGUGUAUUUCUGAGAGUUUGUUCAAAAUGGAAAGAUUUUAAAAUAUAAAUUUCACAUCUGUUUAUUACUGUUGUUUGGUCUAAUUUCUUAUGUAGAAUUUUCAGAAUCUGUCGGACAUUAGUUUAUAAUUUUGAGAUUUUGCAGCCAUAAAUUUUUUUUUUUUUUGGUUGCCAUUUUAUUUUGCUCCUUUAUCUAUGUGCAUGUUGACUGGCUGCAGUGAGUGAAAAUUUACCCAUAUUUGCUGGCUAUUCUUGGACAAUAUUAGAGAAAAUAAUCAUAUUAUUUCGCGUGAAGUGAACUUCCAUAACUUAUCAAUUGAAUUGCUGUAAAAUAUUAAAUAGUUUUAUUUUUCUUUUAUCGUGUAACUUGGACCAAAAAAGGAAAUGAGUUUAACAUGACCCUCAUUCCGGCACUAUGCAUGUUUUUCUUGUAUUGAUGACAGUGCUCUUGGUGCUUCUCAUCUGCUUCUUGCUUUGGUUUCAAACAAGUCUUUCUCCGUCGAGACAUUUAUUGUAAUUUCAUUUGGAGACAUAUAUCUGUCGUUCAAAUAUAUUUCAUAUGCAAGCUGUUAAUAAUUCUGCUUGCAGAAAGCCUACAAAGCAGCUGUGUGAUGUAAUAGAAGACCAUAGUCUGGUCAAUUUUUCAGCAUUAGAUAUUCAGGUCAUCAGCUUCUCAUGAAUUCUUUCCUGAGUUUCUUUGAAUUAUUUGUGAUGUAAUAACUUGUGCAUUUGAGAAACUGUUCUCUUGAAUUCUUUCUUGAGUUUCUUUGAAUUAUUUGUGAAUAAGUUGUUAAUCGGCUGCUUCUCUUCAGGAUAAGGAAAGUGUUGCAAACUGGUGAAGCAGCUGAUAGAUAAAAGCAAUGGGUACAUCUUUGCUGGCAUGGAUCGAUGCCAGUGCGGUUGAAUUCAGCAAGACUGCCGUUCGUGAUGUUGUUGAUUGGGAUUAUUUUCAACCUUAUGAUUCUCAUAUCCAUAGAACCUUUUGGUUAUUUAAUCAUAUUUCAUCGUAUGCAUCCGCAUCUUCAUGUGCGUUUGAGAAACUGUUUUGCGGUUAGGCAGGUUUCAAUCUUGAUUCAUGCGUCUUUCAUAAAUGUACAAAAUUAUGGAAACUUCUUUUUCCCAGAUAUUAUAUCUGCACUUAUUCCCAUGUAAUCGAGUCAGACAAGUUUUGCUUAACAAAGAUGUCUACAGUCGCUGAAGUGCAGGAGGAGUACAUUAAGGGUGAUGACAACAUUGAUUAACCCAACCCAACCUGUAAAAAAUCACACCGGUUAGGUUGGUUUCACGGAUUGGGCGGGUUGGUGCCCACCCAUAAAUAUAACCUCCAUUUCAGUACAAUGCAUGUUAAUUGUUCUCCAAGGACUUCUCUUGUUUCCCAUUCCCAACCUCCAUGCUCUCGAGAGGAAUUUGGCACCCAUCAAUUUUUAUUUUUGAAAACUCGUAAUGGUCUGAUAAAAUUAAACAACAUCAAUAACGUUACCAGUCUUUAAAUAGUAAUUAAUUUAUUUAAUUUGCCACCUAAAAGAAUCCUGCUGGAAAUAGAGGUUAAAAAUUUUAUUAGAUCUGCUUACCUUUGUUCAUUCAGCAAAAACACUUACAAUUCAUAGCUAGAGAAUCUAUCCAUUGACAAUUGUGGAUUAAAAUUAUAACACCUGAAUUCAAACAUAUCCUUAUGAAGUUAUGAAUUUGUUCAUACUUCAAAUGAUUUUUUUUUCCCCAAGCUAAUAAAGCGACCACUUUGAUCAAACAACGAUGUUGAAGGAAUUGCGUAUUUUCAAUGUCCUUUUCCAGACAGACGUUCGAGAGAGGGAAAGGAGAAGACUGGCCUAAUUAAGAUAUCUCACAAAGAUUAUUAUUGAGUUAAAAUGUUAUUGUAAAAGAUGUUUAAUACAAUAAUAGUACUUCUUUUGCAUUGUUAUAAUGAGGCUGGUGGGUUUCCUCAGAGGAUGGAUCUGGCUCGCUAGUAUGCAUUUGGGAAGCUGCUAAUUAUCGGCCAUAAAAAGUCAGGGGGUUGUGGCUGUUCCGUCGCCCAGAAAUUCCUAAACUCAUAUAUCAAAUUUCGGAUGAACUUGGGCAUUAUGUAAAUAUGUAUUUUUGAGAAUUAAACUAGUGCGUUAGAAAAAUUUUGAGCCACUGUAAUCAUUUGAUUUUGCUAAGAGAAAAUUUUACUCUGUGUUUCGCUUUGCCUUUUGUUUUUUCUGUGAUAAUAUGAUUCAUACGAAUGUGAUUACACACUAUCAUGCAUCUAUUUUCAUUUGCUUGUCAUGAAUGAUCAACAUGCUCGAAAUAUUUAUAUAGGUUGGAAAUAUUUAAAUCUAUUAAAAUACUAUACACACCCAUUUUAAAAUAAAAAUAUGAUUAUUAUAAUGAUCGCGAAGGUAACACGAUAUCAUAAAUAAAAUAAAAUAUUUCGCAAAAAAGAUAAGAUACGCUUGAAUACAUUGGUAUAAAAAAUAUUUUAGUGGAUUCAAGUAGCACUAAUGCUCCCUUAUCAAAAAAUAUAUAAAGAUAACUAAUCUGAUUGGGUAUACCGUGUGUGUGUGUGUAAUAUUUUUUGAUAUUAUUAUAUAAUAUUUUUUAAAAAGAAGAGAGAGUGGGCAAAGUUCAAAUCAAUUUUCUAAUCCCUAUCUCCUUUAGGAUUUAAACUUCGGUGUUUAGUGUCACGGGUCGCUCAAAUUUUCUAGUCAAAGAGGCUAAAUUGCACGAAAUUGUGCUAGCUUAUUUGAUUUUAAAAUUUUCCAAUGCACUGUAACACACUCUCAUGCUUGUACAUAGCUCGAAAAUCUCUAGAAUUUACCAGAGUAGUGUAGCAUGUAGCUUGUACAUAGGUUUUUCUGGAACACUCCAAGCAUUACUAAGCAUAAGAGCUUUGAGAACUCUCUAGACAUAAAACAUUCAAGGGUAGGCCUGCCCUAAAAAUAGGGCAUGAUGAUUGCCAUUUGAGCAUACAAGAAGUAAGAACAAAUCAAGUAUAUUUGUAAGCUCCCAAACUCUCUCGUACACACUCCUGUGAAUAUUAUGCUUUCUCUUUGACUAUAUUACUCUCUCUUCUCUCUAGUUUUUUUUCGCAAGUAUCAUAUCUUAGCUAGUCGAAAAGUUCAAGUAAGAAUGAUAAUUUUUCCUGAUGGGAUGGGAUGGGAUGGGAUCCUGUGGGAUCCCAUCUCAUUUAGGACGGGAUUGGGAUACAUUUUUAUCCCAUAAAAAAAUAUAGGGACGGGAGUAGAACUUUUUUUAUCCCACUUGUAUCUAUGGGACAGGACUGAGAUUAACAAAUCCAGUCUCGUCACGUCUCGUCUCAUUGCCAACUAGGGAUGGAAAUUUUUCCAAUUGAGAUGGGCUCUCACAGAAUCCCAUUUUUUUGGGGAUGCGAUUGAGACAUAUUUUUAUCCCAAAAAAAUAUAUCGACAGUGACACUUUUUUUUAUCCCACUUGCAUAUUCGGGACGAGACUGAGAUUAGUAAAUCCCACUCUAUCCCAUCACAUUGCCAACCCUAAGUUCAAGGCUUACUUUGCAACUAUCUCAUAAAAGUUGUUUUAAGUACCACAGGAGUUUGUUGUGCAAAAUACUCAUCCCGUGACAUUAGCUAAAUAAAAUUGUUUGAAAGCCACUUACCCAAACUAUUAAACAAAUAUUAUUCUUUUAAUAUGCAAUCUUUUAAUAUAAACUUUUGUCUUAAUUUUCUAUCUCCUACAAUAAAUUUUAUGAUUUUAAAAAUUGAAAAAAUUAAUAACUUUUAGAUAGAGCAUUCCUUACUGUUAAAAGAAAUAUGAAUGGUAAUAUAAAACUUACUUAUUAUAGUAUAAUGCUUUUAGUUUUUUGAAAUAAGGUUCUUAUUUUUUUCAAGAUAAAAUUCAAAGAAAACAAGUUAAAUGUUGUGGAAAAUCUUACGCCCAUACAAUAAAUUAUGACAGCUAAAUGCAAACCUGGCUGAAGUAUUAGUUGUUUUAUUACAAUCUCCAAAAAGAUGAGCACUUCCAAAAUCUUUCUUUGUAACAAUAAACACUACUGGUCAGCAACUAUCCAAGUCAAAAGUAACUCAAUGUGAGUCUUAGUGCACUUGCAGUGAAUCCCAAGAUAAACUAAUUUCACUAGCAAGUUGGAUACCAAAGAGUAAGGCUUCAGCCUCAAUUAUAUUAAAAUCUGAGUAAACAUUAAAUACCACAAUCAAACUCAGAAAUCAUAAUUAAACUAUCAUGAUUAAAAAUAAAGUUUUUUUUUUAGAUAUCCGUUUGUAGUAUCUCUUUAGAUGACAAAUAGGAGAUAAAAUAAAUAAAUAUUGGUUGCGUAAAUAAAAUAAAUAAUUUUUUUAACUGAAAAAAAUUCCUAAAAACUAAAUAGUUCAAACUUUUUUUAACAUGAAAUAAAUAUUAGAUGCGUAAAUAUAAAAAAAUUAACUGAAAAAAUUUCCCAAGAACUAAAUAGUUCAAACUUUUUGUUUAACAUCAUGGGUUUUGUAUAUUCAAUUGAACCGAACAACUAAAUUAAAUCGAAAUUACCCUGUUCGGUUCAAAUGAAUAGACGAAAACCGAACAGUUCAUAUUUUUUGAACUGAUGGUGCGUUUACUUCAUGAAAUGAAAAUAUGGUGGAAUGAGAAUGGGCUGGAAAUGAGAAUGUGUUGAAAUGAGAAUGAAGAAUGAGAAUGAGAUUCUAAUGUUUACUUAAUAAAAAUAAAGGGAAAUGAGAAUGUGCUGGAAUGUCAUUGAUGUGUUUAUUUGACAAAAUAAAUGGGAAUAAAGAAUGAGAAUGAGAAUUAAUUUACCAAAAUACCCAUAGUAUUAAAUAAUAUAAUUUUUAUUUUACUAGAUACAUGUAUAAAUAUUAUUAUAAAAAUAAUAUUAAUUAAAAUAAUAAAUGUUAAGAAUGAUAAUAUUAAUAAAAAUAAUAAUAACAAUAAUUAAUAAUAACUAAAAUAAUAAAGUUAAUAAAAAUAACAACAACAAUAAUAAUAAUAAUAAUAAAUGUUAAUGAUGAUGAUGAUGAUAAAUGUUAAUAAUGAUAAUAUUAGUAAAAAAAUAAUAACAGUAAUUAAUAAUAACUAAAAUAAUAAAGUUAAUAAUAAUAAUAAUAACAUUUAAAAUAAUAAAAUUAAUUGUGAUUUGAAUCAGAGUAAUUCGAAAAAUAUAAAAAAAUUAAAAUGAUACAAAAAUAAACAUAAAUUUUAUCCCCGUUCCCUCAUUUUCAUUCUCAAUUCCCCAUGAAAAUAGAAUUCCCAUUUCUUAUUUUCAAAUUACGGAAUCCCCAUAUUUUAUUAUCAUUCCCAAAUUAUAUUUUACCAAAUAAAUAUAAAUUUUAUUCAUAUUUUUUCAUUUCCAUUCUUUAAACCUUCAAGUAAACACAAUUUUCUUUUAAUUCGGGUUCUGGGCCUGAACCGAACCGUACCGUAAACUGCCCACCCUUACAGUAGUUUUCGGGGUUUUUAAUUAAAUAUGCCUUAAAAGUAGUGUAUUUAGUUAAAUAUACCCAUGUUUGAAAAUUAUCUAAGUAUGCCUUUUUAUGUGGUACAUUGUCUAAAAUAUCCCUAAAGAAAAAUAUAAAACACACACACAACUCACAACACUCUUUGCUUCUCACGUAUUUAUCAUCUAUACAAAAACUCACACCACACUCAAAAUCACUCACAAACAGCUAAUGCACUGAGUUUGUUUGCAGUUGGGUGUAUUAUUCAUCCCAUGAAUAAGGUAUUUGAAACUUUUUUUAUUUUAUUUUGGGCUAUCUAUUCAAUUUGUUGACAUUAUAUUAUUUUUAGGGUUUUGUUUGGUUUGUGAUAAACACUAAAGCAACUCAUAUUUUCAUUACAUUUGCAUCAUAUGACUGUUAUUUGAUGGAUUUUAUAACUACAUUCGUUAAAAUCUGAAGUUGUUGUCAAAUUUUUUUCUGCACCCGACAUACACGACAGCAGUCGUGUAUGUAUGUAUUUACAUGACUGUAGUCGUGAAAAUGUGCAAAAAAUUUCAAUUAUUAUGACACCUUAUUAUUCUAUUGGUUCAAAAAAUAUAUAUUUUUCACUAUAUAUAUCCUUUUACUAUUACUAUACUAUAGUCGUGUGUGUGAAUAAGUUACACGACUACUAACGUGUACGUAUAAACUUACAUACUAUAAUUGUUAAUAAGUUACACGACUACUAUGAACCUUAUAUACUUGUUAUUUUUUGUUGUUUUAAUUUUUUUAAUAUCUUUCAUAUUUAGUGAUAAAUUUUUACCUUUUUGUUUCGCAGAUGAAUAAACAUGUUUGUGUGACUUUCUAAGAACAAGUAUUGAAGGGAGGCGACCAGAGACUUAUAAAAUAUGGACUGAGUGUUUGGGUUGAAUAUGCCAAAAAUUUAUGAUGAAUGUUAAAUAACUUCUAUUAUAUUACGACUUAUUUACGAUUUCAAUAAUUAUUGGAUUUGUGUUAUUUGAUAGGCAAUCGAACUAUAGUUAGUUUCAUUUAUUUGAAGUUUGAUAUGUUUAAAAUCUAUAUUGAUUGUGUCAUCAAUAUAAUGAAUGAUUGAAAAGAAUUUUUAUUCUGUGCACAUACCCGAGUACAAUCGUGUAUUUUGGCUGUUACAAAACUAGUCAUGUUUAUUUCUAAAUACUCGACUACAGUCGUGUAUCUGUGCAAAUACUCGAUUAUCACAGAGAGUUUGUCAUAUUUAUUUCUAAAUACUCGACCAUAGUCGUGUAUCUAUGCAAAUACUCGACUACAGUCAAGUAUUUUGUCACAGAGAGCUUGUUAUUUUUAUUUGUAAAUACCCGACUACAGUCGUGUAUAUGUGCAAAUACCCAACUGCAGUCGAGUAUUUUGUCACAGAGCUUAUUAUGUUUAUUUCCAAAUACCCGACCGCAGUCGUGUAUCUGUGUAAAUACUCGACUGCAGUCGAGUAUUUUGUCACAGCUUAUUAUGUUUAUUUUUAAAUACCCGACCACAGUCGUGUAUCUGUGCAAAUACCCGACUACAGUCGAGUAUUUUGUCACAGAGCGUAUUAUGUUUAUUUCCAAAUACCCGACCGCAGUCGUGUAUUUGUGCAAAUACCUGACUGCAGUCAUGUAUUCUCUUACAGUGUAUUCCUUGUGUAUAUAUUGUGCAAACUAUCUUAUCUAUCAUUAAUAUAAAUAACAAAGAAAUAAAAUAUAUUAAUGCUGUCAAUUGUCUUUAAUGACAUCAAAUAUCAAUAACAUCCUCAUUACAACUAUUACAUCUCAUAAUCUAAAAAAUGACACUACAAAGUUUUUUUCCAUGACCUAUGCCCAAAUAAUUUUACAACCAAGGCUUGUCGAAAUUAUGUAACAUGAUUUUGUUGGCAUUAUGAAUUGACAUCAAGUCCAUGGACUAGGACCUCCAAGUACCGCAACAAAAAUGCUCCACAUUCACCACUAAAAAAAUUCAUAUAAAUCAAUUGUUAAAAAUCAUCAUUCUUAUUAUUAUGUUCAAAACACAUUAUAUAUAUAGUACAUACCCUGAUUUUUGUUGCGGGAUGUCACGCACUCGCACGAUGGGCCAAGGAAUUUUCGAAAUAACCUCACUACAGUCUGGAUGUGUUUCGUGAUAUGCUAUCUUCUGAAGUACUAGAGGUAUCAUGUCUGCAACAGGCAGCAAUUGUCUCACCAAAACUGAAUCCUUUGUUAAGUCUAUCAUGGAGUCAUAAAUAGAAAUCUUGCCCCCAAGUAUAUCGACCACACCGAGAACCCAAUGAUCAUUCAUGAAUAUUGGCAAAUACACCUACGAAAUACAGACAAUAUUCUUAACAAGUAACGGCAAAUAUAUCUACGAAAUGCUGUAACUGUUUUUAUCUACUUGCAGUUGAUUUAUUAAUAGUAUACUAUCAAUAGUUUUAUGCUAAAACAAAUAGCAAAUUGUUAAUAAAUUAGAAUUGUAAAAUAAAGGUUCUACAACAAAUAAUAGAGAAAACCCAGAUUGUAGCAUAAUGAAUGCAUACGCAGUUGAAGAAAAUUGAUAUAUAAUUCCCAUGGAUGAAGUUCAACUACAAACAAUAAGUAAAAUUAUAUAAAGAUCUAAUGCAUAAACUAGUGUAGCCAUAACCGAAAAUUCAUAAGGAUAAUAUUUAAUUAGGAACUCCCACAACCAUUAUUAAAGAGCUAUUAAUUCACUCUCUUCAAUUUCAAAUUCACAAGUUAAAGAAGCUUCAUUACAUUACCAACAAGAAAGAUUAUCAGUAAAUAAGCAAGAUAAUGACCAAAAUCAUGUGGGUAAUUUGUUUUUUAAAACCCUAUUGCAUAUAACCCUAACAAUUAUGCACCAUAAAUUCUCUUUAUAAAGUAAAAAAUAAGUGUAAAUGUGGUUAAUGACCUUUAGUUCGGUGAAUUUCCAGCCUUUAAUUCGGUGAUUUUGUAGCCUUUAAUGUGGUGGAUGAACUUGCAGCAGCAGGAGCAUGAACUUGCAGCAGCAGGAGCAUGAACUUGCAGCAGCAGGACAAGCGUUGUGUAUGGUAGCUCGUGAAUGCAGAUUUUGAAAUUUGAAGAAUUAAAUUGGGGUAAUUUUAUAAUUGCACAUUGAAAAAGGUAUAUAAAAAAAAUUUUGAAUUAUGGGGGUAUAGUUGGAUAAAUACCUAACCUUUAGGGUAUAGCGGGGACAAAUCCCUGGUAGUUUUCAUUAACCGACGUUGUACUGCUGGUAUGAAGUUGUUCAAAUGUUCAAAUCAGUCUCUCGCUUUCAGCUCAGUCAGAGUUUCCAGGUCCAGAGACUUCCCGCUGACUGAGAGCUUUUUUAGUAGCAGGUCUACAAAUAAAGGAAUAGAGCUGAUUUAAUGAUUAAUUUAUUUCCUUUUUCAAUUUCUUUUGAUUGCCAUUUAAUCUGGAUAAGUUAAACGUGAAUUAUUUAGUGCAGAUUAAAUGUUCGACGAAUUUCCCGCAAGAAUAUUAAGCUAAAGAGAAAAAAAGAAAACAAUUGAGCGUGAGCGGGAAUGGUGUUUGGCCAAGUGGUGAUUGGUCCGCUCGGCUCGGGAAAGACCACUUACUGCAAUGGCAUGUCUCAGUUUCUCCGCCUUGUUGGCAGGUAACUCCGUUUCUUGAUUUCAAGCAGCUUUAUCUUUGAUGGCCAAAAAAAUUGAUUUGGGCUUUGCCCAUUAAAUGAAUGUAAGAGCGGUAGGGAAUAACUGAGUUAUAGGAUUAGCUUUAAGUGAACAUUGAUGGUAACAUGCAUGUGAAUGUUGUAUGUGUUCAGCGGCAAGCUGUAUGCCAAUUUGGUCUAUAUGGUUGCUUCGGUGGUAACUUAUUAAUUUUUAUGCAGGAAGGUUGCAGUCAUCAAUUUCGAUCCUGCUAAUGAUAGUUUGCCAUAUCCUUUGUCGUUGAACUUUCUUACAAAUGCUGUGGUUUGUUGUAGUACAAUUAGUUCAAUCAGAAACUUCCUUGAUGUUAAUAUAGAUAUGAGUGUGCUGUGAAUAUUGAGGACUUCAUUAGACUAAGUGAUGUGAUGAUGGAGCAUUCACUUGGUCCCAAUGGAGGUUAGUCAGCCCAUUGUUGUUUACUCUUUCUUGCUUUAUCACGCAAUGAUAUUCCUUUGCUUUACAACAAAUUUCGUGAAAUUAACUUCAAUCAAGUGGCUAUGUUCAUACGCUGUUGAGAUUUUAUGGACAAAGAUUUGGUAGACUUUAUAUGCCGUCUUCUUUCUUUUUGCAGUGAUAUGUUUGUCUUCAAUGCACUUGUACUUGUUCUAUGGUUUCUAAAGUAGGUGUUUUUAUGAUAAACUAGGUCUUGUGUAUUGUAUGGACUAUCUAGAGAAGAAUAUUGACUGGUUGCAGUCGAAAUUGGAACCACUUUUGAAAGGUAAGAAGUGGCCAUUUUCCUUCAUUCUAAUGCCAAUAAUGCUGUCAUGAGACUCAUAAAAAUUGUUAAAAUGUUAAUGUUUUUGGUAUUUUGCAGAUCAUUAGCUUCUGUUUGAUUUUCCUGGCCAAGUUGAAUUAUUUUUUCUUCAUUCCAAUGCCAAGAAUUUUAUAAUGAGACUCAUAAAGAAGUUAAAUCUCAGUGUAUUGUUACAUCUUACGUCUAUGAAGGCACUCAAAGAGUUGAGAUGAAUUCAUCAUUGUUAUUUUGAUGCCAGAAUUGUGCAAUUCUCAGUUGCUUCCUUUCACAUGCAGUUGACUGCAGUGCAUCUAGUUGAUGCGCAUCUUGGCAGUGACCCCGGGAAGUAUGUUAGUGCUUUGCUUCUCUCAUUGUCUACGAUGCUCCAUCUGGAACUUCCCCAUGUCAAUGUCUUUUCUAAGAUCGACCUGAUUGAGAAUUAUGGAAAGCUAGGUGUGGUUUUAAGUGUAGCUCUCCUACUUGUUUGUUUAGUUUGAAAUAUCAGAUAUUGUCACAAGCUCCUAUCUGCUACGUUUCCUCACCAUUCAUUUACUUUGGGUAUGUUGCAGCUUUUAAUCUCGAGUACUAUAUGGAUGUGCAAGAUUUGUCAUAUUUACAGCAUGCCUUGGGUCAGGACCCUCGUUCUGCUAAGUACAGGUUUGAAUUCUAGCUGAAUCAAUGAUGCAAAUUAUGUCCAUUGCUAUUUCUGACUAUUGUUUCUAUCAUUUUCAAUUGUUACCUCCCCUUUCCAUCUACUGCCACACUACAAUGCCCACACAAAUAUCAUGAAAUUUUUCAAUGGAAAUGCCUUUCUGUUUGUCCAGAGACAGCUCUUAGAUGCAAGUGACCAAUUUUUGGCUUUGGCCAUGUUACAGCCUUAGAUUUCAAUUUGCCAUAUCUUGUCUCGGAAGUCAAAAGAAAGCAUAUUUGUUAGCCAAAUUUUAUUUGAAUUUCUUGUGUAACAAUGAAUGGGGGAAAAAAAAAAGUUCCUCUUUUGUUUUGAUCAGACUCAAUGAAUAAGUGGUUAAAAUGUGCCUGUACUAGAAAUAUAGAUGUGAGGUUUCAUAAAAUUUUCUUAAUCUUAAGAAAGAGUUAUCUUGAAAAGAAGAUAACAUGGAGAAUUCAACAACUAUACAGUCAUAUUGAUGUCUGUCAACUUGGGUCAUAUGGUGUUGUUUGGAUGGAGAUGUUAGGUCCCAGAUGGUAUACUUGUUAUCAAAUUCCAGUCUACUUCAUUCAUGCUUUGAUGACAUAUGCGGUGCAGCUUCUUAUCUAAGACCUGCAUAUGUUACAGUCAACAUUCUGUUCUGUAACUCAACCUCAGGAAUCUGCUUGUAUGGUGUUCUUCUAAUUUCAAAUGGAGAUAAGUAAUAUCUGUUGUUCAAAUAUAUUUUAUUUACAAGCUGUUAAUAAGUCUGCUUGCAGAAAGCUUACAAAGGAGCUGUGUGAUGUAAUAGAAGUCUACAGUCUGGUCAAUUUUUCAACCUUAGAUAUUCAGGUCAUCAGUUUCUCUUGAAUUCUUUCUUGAGUUUCUUUGAAUUAUUUGUGAAUAAGAUCUUAGUUGGCUGCUUCUCUUCAGGAUAAGGAAAGUGUGGCAAAACCUGUGAAGCUGAUAGGUAAAAGCAAUGGGUACAUCUUUGCUGGCAUGGAUGCCAGUGCAGUUGAAUUCAGCAAGAUUGCCAUUCGCGAUGUUGAUUGGGAUUAUUUCAGAUAUCCUUCUGUUCACUUAUUUUGAAUCUUGUUAUUCUCAUAUUCAUAAAACUUUUUGGUUAUUAUUAUGGUUCAUCAUAUGCAUCUACAUCUUCUAACUUGUUCGUUUGAGAAACUAAUUUUGCCGUUAGGUAGGCUUCAAGCUUGAUUCAUGCUUUUUUCAAAAAUGUACCAAAAUCAUGGAAACUUCUUUUUCCCAGAUAUUGUAUCCACACUUUUCCCAUAUAAUUGGGUCAGACAAGUUUUGCUUAACAAAGAUAUCUACAGUAGCCGAAGUGCUGGAGAAGUACAUUAAGGAUGAUGACGAUGUUAACUAAAAUGGGACGUGAAGAUAUGUGGUGUGCAAACCGUAAGCCUGCCUCUUAUUUUUGUGCAUGUUUACUUGCUUGUGAUUCACGUUUGUUAAUCUAUUUUGCUCUCUUGCAGGAGUUAUAAAGUUUUCAAUCAAUCAAACAUUUUAACUUAAGUCCUUAGCUCUUCACGGCUUGAAUGGGUCAGAUAGGACAAGCGCCGAAGAGGUGGUUUUAAUCAAACCCCUCCUAAUUAUGAUGUAUGGCCCGAAUCUCGGACUUUUUUUACAAUAUCAAGCGAUUUUUUUUAGUUGAAUCGGCUAGUGUACACAAAUGUCGAUUAUUGAUUUUUCUUUAGUAUUGUUUGUAAUUACAAGAAACGAAGUAAUGAAAUUUAUCAGUGCGUUCAUAGUUACGCUUAAGCUCAAAGAUUACCGUCAAGAUCAUCAACCUGCUGAUGAUCUGAAGCUUCCAUAGAAAAAGGAACCGGACAAAACCCAAGAGAGAGAACAAAAAUAAAUUAAUUAAAAAAAAAGAAGAAAAAUUGCCAAAGCUACUGGUCAGUUGACAUCAAUCUUUUGCACGUGGGAUGGAAAUGGAACACUGGGCACUUUGGAUGACUCAUAACUCACAAGAGAGCAUCGAAUUUAGGCCGAAUCAUAUAAAGUACGCUAAGCCUUAGUGCGUGCGCUGUUGCGUUGCUGUGUCUGCCGGUGAGAAUAAUUUUUCGUUUUUAAGGUAAUUUUCAUUUAUUUAUUUAUUUUUUUGGUGCAUAUGGUCGAACACUUGGUGGGCACCUCAGUUUUUGGAAUGUUCUCUUCAAUGAAUACAGGGAAAAAGGGACAAAAAUUAAGAACUUUAUUUUGUUCGCGUGGAAUCGAUAUCUGGAUUGGGAUUGUAUGUCGUGUUUAAUUUGAAUUGGUUGAUUCCUCUAAUGAAUUAUUUGAUAAAUUUAGUAGCAGUAUUUGGUGGCAAAAGUAUCAUUAAUUUUUGGAAAUAUGAUUAUAUUAUUAAUUAUUUUAGCAUUCUAAAAAGUCAAUGGUUAUGUUGGAAAUACUCUAAGGUAGACUAGAGUACAAAUCACAAUCACACAUAAAAAGUGAUAAAUAAUAAAAAAUAUAUUAUAUUUUUGAUCAUAUGAUUAUGAAGAUGUAUUUUACCUUAAAGAAGUUAUAAUAAGCGAAUUCUUUUAAAAAAGAAUAAAAUUUCUUUUUUAUCAUACUCAACCGCUUCAAACUUCUAAGAAGUAGAUAUACAAUGAGUGGAAUACUGAAUUGAGUGCGAGCUGCGGAUAACAUAUAAAAUUGGGAUACAAGCUUCAAAGAAAGUGUAUUGCUAUUCAAAUGUAGAUUUCAAAUUAAGAAGAUAUGCCAGCAAAUUGUAUAAAAAUGUAUAAAUUGAUCAGUAACAUUAAUUCCAAAUGAUGAAAUGAGUUAUCUUGAUCAAAAGGUCAAGAACCUACCUUACUUCUCUUAGAGAUAACUUGCAUCAACCGUUGUGGUAUUGAUACUUGUCUUCAGCUAGUAAAAGUGAAAGUUUCACAAUUGAAAUAAAGCUAAGGGAAGAUGCUAUGCUCCAUUUAUUAUUAUUAUUAUUGACGUGGUCGAGAAGUAAAGCCGUGCAUAUGAUGAAGUAUAAAUAAGAAUGCAAUAGCCCGGAAUUCAUUUACACAAACACUUCAAUAUCCUUUUGAUCACUUUUGCAAACAUCAAUUUGUCUCCUCUUGUAUUCACCAUGGUUGAUGCCAUCGUUUCCACUGUCUUGGAGCAGCUGAUUUCCUUCGCUGCUAAAGAGAUAAAGCAACAGGUGAUCGAAGUUACACCCGCAUAUUAUAAACACUUCUAAUGAUUUUAGUUGGUUUCCUUUUUAUCGAAAACAUUAUUUUUGCUUUAUUUUAUUUAUUUGGCAAUUUUAAAUUUGGAAAUUUGAAUUGAAUUUAAUUAAAAUGUGAUGUAGUUAGUAACCACUUAUUUUUAUUUUAUUUCAUUUAUAUUCUCAAUAACUACUCAUAUUUUGGUAACUUACUAUAACUUCCAUAUCUAAGAAAUUAUCAAAACCCACAAUUUUAACUCAGCACGAAUAUUCAAUGGUGAUCUAAGCUUUUGCAGAACACUCAAGUUUGUCAAACAUUCAUUAAUUCAAUGUUUAGUGAAAAAAACUCUUCUCAGCACAGAAUUCCAUGUCCAUUACUUAGGCUCUCUGAAAAAUUUCAUAAUUUUCAUACAUUCUUUGAGUUUGGUAAGUGAUUUCAUAUAAUUUCUUUUCAAGUUAAAUUUUAAUUUGGCUUCUGAUAUAGUCUCUUUGUUGAAUUUGUAUCUCUUAUGAUUCUUAGAUUUUGGGCUCCAACUUUUGAGGAUAUGAUAGUCACAUUUUAUGCUAUGCUCAGAUUGAUUUUUAUGAUUUUUUGUUCCCGUUAAGUGACUUAGAAUUUGACAAAAGUUUGAUAGGAAAUCUGUUUCACGAUUUUGUUUUAAUUGACCUUUUAGUGGAAAUAAGAUGCUUAUAACUUAAUGUGGAUGGUUUGUAAAAUCAUGAAAUUUGGAUAAUAUAAAUUUGUACGAGACUCUCCAUAAUAUUUCAUGAUUUUUCAUUAGCUCUGGGGUGUUACAGGUGCUACUUGUGACUGGUGUCAAAAAAGAAGUGAAAAAAAUUACCAACCACCUUCAAGCCAUUCAAGCUGUGCUCGAGGAUGCAGAGGAAAAGCAAGUGACGGAAACAGCUGUCAGACUUUGGCUGGGUAGGCUCAAGUCCGCAUCCUACGACAUUGAAGAUGUGUUGGAUGAGUGGAUCACAGCAAGAGGCAAAUUGCAAAUUAAGGGCAGCGUUUAUGACAAUGCUCUUGUUGCUCCUAAUCAGAAGAAGAAGGUAUGUUCCUGCUUUCCUGCCUCUUGCUUUGGUUUCAAACAAGUCAUUUUGCAUCGUGACGUAGCUGUCAAGAUCAAAGAAAUCAAUGAAGAGCUGGACGAUAUUGCCACUCAAAAAGACAUGUUUAAAUUUGUUGGGAGUGUCAGUAAAAGUAGUGAAAGACCAAGACGUGUGCAGAGUACCUCCUUGAUUGAUGAGGAAGAGAUUUGUGGUAGAGUUGGUGAGAGGGAUGCACUCUUAAGCAUGCUGUUGUGUGAGAGCAGUGAGCAACAAAAAGGCCUUCAUAUCAUCUCAAUUGUUGGUAUGGGAGGCAUCGGGAAAACUACUCUUGCACAACUAGCUUGUAAUCAUGACAAGGUGAAGAGUCAGUUCGACAAAAUUUUAUGGGUGUGUGUAUCAGAAACUUUUGAUGAGUUUAGGAUUGCCAAAGCGAUGCUUGAAGCUUUGACUGGUUCAACUUCUAAUUUAGAUGCAUUGCAAUCUCUUCUUAUAAGUAUUGACGAAUCUAUUGCGGGAAAGAGGUUUCUUCUUGUCUUAGAUGAUGUGUGGGACGGAGAUUACAUUAAAUGGGAACCAUUCUACCGUUGCCUAAAGAAAGGUCUCCAUGGAAGUAAAAUUGUAAUUACCACACGUAAUGAGUCAAUUGCCAGCAUGAUGAGAUCCGCAGAUAUUAUCUCUAUCAAGGAAUUGGCUGAAGAAGAAUGUUGGGCAUUGUUUAAGCAGUUAGCAUUUUUCGGUCGAUCCACUGAGGAGUGUGAAAAAUUGGAACAAAUUGGUCAAAGAAUUGCAAGAAAGUGUAAAGGUUUACCUCUUGCUGCAAAGACAAUGGGAAGUCUCAUGAGCUCUAAAAAAACUGAAGAAGAGUGGAAAAGAAUUUUAAAUAGUGAUUUAUGGAAGGUAGAAGAGAUUGAGAAAGGUGUUCUAACCCCUUUGUGGUUGAGUUAUAACGAUUUGCCAUCUAGAGUAAAAAGAUGUUUCUCGUAUUGUGCUGUCUUUCCAAAAGACUACAAUAUAGAAAAAGACAAACUAAUUACUUUGUGGAUGGCUCAAGGUUAUCUUAGUGCAGAAGCAGCAGAACAAGAUGAGGAGUUGGAGACUAUAGGUGAAGAGUAUUUUGGCAUCUUAGCUUCUCGCUCUUUCUUUCAAGAGUUUGAGAAACGUUAUGAUAAUCGUAUUAUAGCGUGCAAGAUGCAUGAUAUGGUACAUGAUUUUGCCCAAUUUGUUAGUCAAAAUGAAUGUUUUUCGUUGGAAGUUAAUGGUAGUGAGGAACUAAACGUCACAAACUCUACAAACUCUCUUGAUGAGAAGGUCCGUCAUUUAAUGUUAAUCUUUAGUAAAGGGACUUCAUUACCUGUUUCCACUCGUAGAGUUAAAAGAAUGCGUACCCUCUUAAUUAACGAUAGUAGAUCUGAUCAUUCAUUAUUAAAUGGUGAGAUCCUAGAAGAAUUAUUUAGGGAAUUGACAAGUUUAAGGGCAUUAGAUUUUGGCAAAUCGUAUAACUCAAGUUGGUCUUCGACUGUGGAGAUUCCGAGAACCAUAGAAAAGCUGGUACAUUUAAGGUACCUGAAUUUGUUUUAUCAGGGAAUAAAGAAACUACCGGAGACAUUAUGCGAGUUGUAUAAUCUAGAAAAGUUAGAUAUUAGUAUAUGUUUUAAUCUUAAAGAAUUACCUGAAGGGAUUGGGAAGUUAAUAAACAUGAAGCAUUUACGAAAUAGAGGUACUAGUUCUUUAAGGUACAUGCCAGUAGGGAUUGGGAGAUUAACGGGUCUCAGGACCUUGGAUGAGUUCCACGUGAGUGGAGGAGGAGGUGUUGAUUGUAGGAAAGCAUGUAGGCUUGAAUCUCUCAAAAACUUGGAAAACCUUCGAGUGUGUGGUAUACGUAGACUGGGUGAUGUAUCAGAUGUGGGCGAGGCUAAGCGAUUAGAACUUGACAAAAAGAAAUACCUCUCUUGUUUGAGACUUCGGUUUGAUAAGAAGGAGGAAGAAGAAGGAGAAAGAAGGAAGAACGAGGACGAUCAACUUCUUCUUGAAGCCCUACAACCACCUCUCAAUUUAAAGGAAUUAGAGAUAGAGUACUACCGAGGCAACACUGUUUUCCCCAGCUGGAUGACGUCAUUAACCAACUUAAAGAGUUUAGAUCUCUCUUCCUGCGAAAAUUGCGAGCAGCUGCCUCCUUUGGGAAAAUUGCCAUCCCUUGAAGCACUCAGCCUAUGGGACAUGAAGUGUGUGGAAAGAGUGGGUGAUGAAUUUUUGGGGAUAGAAAGUGAUCAUCAUGGCUCAUCUUCAUCGGUUAUUAUUGCCUUCCCCAAAUUGAAAUCACUUUCAAUUGAGUUUCUGCGCGAAUUGGAGGAGUGGGAUUAUGGGAUUACAAGAACGGGAAACACCGUCAUCAACAUCAUGCCACGUCUUUCUUCCUUGACAAUUGCUCAUUGCCCCAAAUUAAUGGCACUGCCCGACCACUUUCAUCAAACAACAACAUUGAAGGAAUUGCACAUUUGGGAGUGCAGGCUUCUGGAAGAACGUUACCGCAAAGGGGAAGGAGAAGACUGGCCUAAGAUAUCACACAUUCCCAACCUCCGUAUUGGGCUUUGACAAGUAAUUUCUUCUCUUACUCUGAUUUGCUUUGUUGUUGUUUUUAAUCUAAUUAAGAAGCGUAAAUAGCAUUUUGAAUCAAACUCUAUAUCAGAAAUCUGCAAUACUUACUUUCUAAUAUUCUGAUUUUCAUAUCCUAUGAAUAUACAAUUUUUAAUUUGUGAGAUGGGUAACGUUACUGUAAAAGAUUAUUAAUGCAAUAUGAGUAAUUCUUUUGCAGGACAAGUGACCUACAUUUAGUUUGGCUUUGGAGUUGAAUAAUAACCUUUCGAGGUCCCGACAACCAAAAAACGAAGCUUAAUUUGCCACAGAUUGCACGUAUUGCCAUUAUUGACAAUUUUCUGCACAAGCUUAGGUUGAUUUCAAAAGAGGUAAAUUAUUGGCAUGCCUGACUAUUUUGACCAUUACAUGAUUCAUAAGUUUACAUUAAUUUUGAUUUUGAGUUGAGUGAUUAGUUUUUAUACCCGGAAUAUGCAAAAGUUUCUAAUAUUUUAUUUCCAUCUGUUACAAGAUCAAACUGAAGUAGAACUCAAACAAAAGUAUGCUACUUCUUGCGGAAAUCUUGCCUUUGUUCAGAUUAUGAAACCAUUUCCAUGCAGCAAAUUCAUCCAAAAGUUUGAAUAAGUUUCAUGGUUGGACACUGUUGGCUUCUUUUUCUUCUGGGGUGCAUUUAGGUGCUAUCAAGUGACAGCUAAGUAUGAUUGCACUAAGCUGCCGCUGGGAAAUUUGAGGUUUUGAUGGCUGCCCAUGUUAUUUUCAAGAAACUAUUGAUGUAAGAAGCUGUGGUUCUUUUCAUCAGCUUGAACCUGAAACUGUCGCUAUGGAUAACUCAGGUUUUUGUUAUCAACUAUGUUGAUGCGAGAUUCCGGUUCUCCUCGUUCUACGACCAGGAUCUCUGCUCGAUCAACUUCACCACGACCAGGAGGUCUCCUAGUAAUGCUUCUUCUCCAGAUGUCCCUGCACACACAGACAAGUCAGAGUACGCCGGUUGUUCUCCCGGCGCAAACCCUCCGACGCUCAAGUCAGAUAUGAAGGUUCGGGGAACGCUUGCCACAGGUCUUAUGGCUUUUUCGUGGUUUUCUCUUUUAUCUCAAAAAUGCUAACCCUUUUACCUUCGUUGGCUACCUUUUUAUAGGCUUCCUCUGAAUCCCAGUUUUCCGCUUUUUUCGAGACGGUCUGGGGCUCUGACUGCUGCGUUAUGGGCAAACGUGGGAUCUUGCGUGUUACGCCACGGUUCAGGGGAAAGCGUGGCUGUCGUGGUUCUGUGAGAUCUUGUGUGUUACGCCACGGUUCAGGGGAAAGCGUGGCUGUCGUGGUUCUGUGAGAUCUUGCGUGUUACGCCACGGUUCAGGGGAAAGCGUGGCUGUCGUGGUUCUGUGAGAUCUUGCGUGUUACGCCACGGUUCAGGGGAAAGCGUGGCUGUCGUGCCUAGAUUCUUGGGCUGGAGAGUAUGUCUUGCCAACUGCCGUCGACCGGGUCUCCUCGCCUCUCGACCUCUAGCCGGAAUGGCCUUAUGCCUCUUAUAGGAAAUUGGCCUAGCGGAUGACAACAUCGUGGACGAGCAGGAUACUUCUGCUCCUGUUCUGAUGGCUGCCCAUGUUAUUAACACACCGGUUCACAGAACUCCGCUGUGGUUCUUUUCAUCAGCCUGGUCUCGUCGACGUAUUUAUGGAUAACUCAGGUUUUUGUUACAAACUAUAUCAUCUUUUUCACUAUUUUGAAACUCUUAAGAUUAAACUUUAGUAAAGUUGUUUCAGCUAUUCAAAUGAAAAACUCAUUGAUUUGAGACUUCCUUCAUUAUUGUUUCUAAUUACAGUGCUAACGAUCCAGAUAAAAUAAUAUUUAAUCGGCGAAGGUGUCCCUUGGAAGUACAUCCUUCUUUUUCUUUUAUUAUAUAAAUUCUUGCAAUGAGCUUAGUGAAGCUGUUGUGCUAAUCAUGCCACUGCAUAACUUGGCCCCUAAUGUGGGUACUCUGUUACAUUGUUCUGCAAAUUCUCCAGAAGUUAAAAUCAAUAAAUUUUCUAUUAGCUCUAGUGCUUUGACCUAAAUGCUAUUCUAUAUUCUGAUUACAAUGUUUUAACCUUUAAAUUAACUACCCCUAGAUGUUGGAUUUUCUAGAACUUCAAAAUGAUUAAUGGAGAAAGAUCCCAUUAUCGUUAUUGCUAUAAGAAAUUGAUUUAUGCAUCCAAAGAUACAUUAUAUAUUUCUGUGUCUCUAUUUAUGGAUGACAUUUAAUCAUCCAUAAACUGUCAGACAGAGGAAGGGGGUUCAGUGCAAAGAUUCUGUUGACCUAGGGUUGACUGCAUAUGUCACUUGUUCGCAAUCUAUUAUUUAUUUUAUAUUUUGAAGAAUUUAAUGGGUAAUCCUAAUUGUUUGUUUUGGCAGGUUUGUGUUGUUAUCUCCUUCUAUCUUACAGUCGUACCUAAAUAGCAUAGUUUCAUCUGUGUUACCAUGUGAUGUACAUAAUUUCACAUUUGCCUCAGAUUAAGCUUAAUUUCCCACAGAAUAGAGCUGUCGCGACUGGACUUAGGUUGAUGUCCAAAGAGGUAAAUUAUUGGCAUGCCUAGAUAAUUUGGCCAUUUCCUAAUUCAUAAGUCUACAUUAAUUUUGAUUUUGAGUUGACUGAUUUCUUUUCAAGGUCUGCUUCCUUAACGGAGUGACCAAUGUUUUUCAACUAAAUUUAUCAUAUGAUGCAGGAAGCAGGGCAGGAUAUGAAAUGAGAAGCUCAUUGGUGGAAGUAUUUCCAGUAGCAGAACCCAAUGAAAAUGAAACUAUUUCAAGGCAGCAGUUGGCAGUUGCAAGUGAAUGGAGGCCCUGACAAAAUUCUCAAGCGGUUGCAAUGCAAUUACGAUCAUCCUCAGCCUCAGGUAAUUUCUUCUCCUGCUCUGUUUUUAUCUGUUAUCUAAUUAAAAAGCAUAAAGUAUCUUGAAUCACUUUCUGUAUCUGGAAUAUAUGCAGCAGUUUCUAAAAUCUUCAUAUGAGUGUAAUGAUGGUAAUUUCUGUUUUUUGUCUGUCUUUGAAUGUUAGACAACUUUCAGUGAGACUCUUGAACCGAGACAUUUUUGACAAAUGAAGGACAAUUGCUGAAGAGUGGGAAUGGUGCUAGAUUGGGGAAUAAAGACAAAGGAGGUAAAUUAUUUGCAGUUUAUUCAGCAUUAUUUGCUUUGGACCAGCGCCUGAUUCACAAGUCUCCAUAAUUUGGCUUUUGACCAGUUGUUAAUAAAUUUUUUUAUUCCAUUGGUGCUAAAUGUACACGUGAAGCAGGCAGAGCAGGACUGUGGAAAUGAGAAGGUUUUUAGUGAAAGCUUAAACUCAGGUAAUUCUAAAAAGUACAUGUUUUUGCUGAUUUAUCUAAAUCAGGAAAUUUUAUUUCCAUCUGUUACAAGAUAAAACAGAAACAGAACACAAAGAAAAAUAUUCUACUUCGUGUGGCAAUCUUGCCUUCAUUCAGACAAUGAAACCAUUUCCUUUCACCAAUUUCUUCCAAAAGUUUGAAUAAGUUUCAUGGUUGGACAUAGUUAGCUUCUUUUUCUUUUGGUGCAUUUAGGUCCUAUCAAGUGACAGCCAUAAGUAUGAUUGCAUUAUCGGGAAAUUUUAGAUUUCGAUGGCUCCCCAUGUUAUUGCCAAGAAAGUCCUCAUGUCAGAAGCUGCGGUUCUUUUCAUCAGCCUGAACCCGAACCUGUCGUUAUGGAUAACUCAGGUUUUUGUCAUCAACUAUAUCAUCUUUUUUACUGUUUUGAAACUCUUAAGAUUAAACUUCAGUAAAGUUGUUUCAGUUAUCCAUGUAAUCAGGCUAAGGAUAUUUAGCAGCUUAUUUAGGCAACUGCCAGAAUUCAGUUUGUUCGCUCGAAACUUGUAUGGUGACAAGGAUACUGGCAAGGAUAGUGAGAUAGUUUUUUGUGUGAGUGAAAUUUGAAAGCUUGGGUGUUCUGGGAUUUGCAAUUGCAAUCAUCCUCUGAGUCAGGUGAUUUCUUCUUCUGCUCUGUCUUUAUUUUCUCUCUAAUUGAAAGCAUAAAGUAUUUCAAUCAAAUUCUGUACCAGGAAUACGUAAAAGUUACUAAUAUUUUAUUUCCAUCUGUUUGCAUAGAUAACUUGGCGGCAUAUGUUCUAGUUAAAGAACAAACAGAAACAGAGUUCAGGAAAAAGUUUCUUCGGCCACCAUAUUUGAAAAUGAAACCAUUUCCAGGAAGCAGUUGGCAGCAAAUUCAUAUGGAGUGUAGACAAUGAUGAGCAAAAAGGUGAUUCGCAAUUUCUUUUUUUUUUUAAGUGAAAUUAUUUGUUAGAUUGAAGCUGAUAUUGUAAGAAGGCCAUUGAGCUAACCUAUGUCGCCACUUGCCUAGAUUGCAGGGGGUCAAGACUCAAAAGAAGCACUGAAAUUUAAAAAGCAUGCAAUAGUUCUUUUACCAUGUGUCAAUUAAUGCAAGUUUGAAUAAGUUUAUUGGCUGAACGAUGUUAGCUUCUUUUCCUUUCGUGCACUUUGGUAUGCUAUCAAGUGACAGCCGUAUGUAUGGCUUGCAUAUAGCUGCUGCUGGGAAAAUUGACGAUUUCAUGGCUGGCCGUGUUAUUGUCUUAAAUUAGUUGUGAUAAGCUGUUGCUUGGAGAUUCUGUUGCCAAGACUUUGCUCACAUCAGAAGCUGUGGAAUCUGAACCCUUCGUUAUGUAUCAUCUUUUUCAUUGUUUUAAAACUCUCAGGAUUAAACUUGAGCGAAUUUGUUCGGUUGUCUAUAUAAUCAUGUAUUGAGUAAACUCUCAGGAUACUGAGCAGGCAAAUGUUAUAACUCGGUUUGUUAGCCAAAAACUUGUUGAAGAUUCUUGACAAAGCUGCAUCAAGUGAAUUGUCGGAGCUCUGAGGGUGAGAGAAAUUAGAGGAUUUGGAUUUGUUAGGAAGUUAUCAUAUUUAUUUUUAUUUUUUUAUUUUUCCCAGAAAAUCUUCUGGUGGUGCUAUAUUUUCAAACGACAGUCCGAUUCAAAACUUGAUAUUCCAAUUAUAUUCAUAAGCUUCUAUAGUUAUCUUCAAAAAGACAAAUGGAAGGCUUUGAACGGCUUGGGUCUGAGUAUUGUAGUUUGAUUUAUUUUGAUGAAAGUACCUUUUGACAUUGAGAUUCUUUCUUGAGUUAAACAUUCUUUUUAAAACCAACUUAUUAAAAAAAAAGUAACUAACAUAUAUUAUUUUGUUAGUGCUUUUUAAAUCAAAUAUAAAAAAGAGAACUGUAAUUCUUAGCAACCAAUUUUUCACUGAGUACAGCUACAACAAACUAUUAAAAAAUAAAGUGAUAGAAAAUGCCUGAUUUUUCGUACUUUCUAAUUACUUUUGGUCCUAAAAUAUGGCGAUUUGUGUAAUAAUAAGCCCAUGUAUAUCUUUAUGCCAUUAGUUUGAUAAAUAGCUAUCAAGGAUAACUUAUUAAGCUAAAAAUAUUUGAAGGAUAAAUUGGUAAAACUAAAAGGGUGGAGUAAUAAAACAACAGCUGCAGAUCUCGAAUGCAUCUUCAUUACAGUAUGUUCCAAGGAAGUGUAAUGCCAUAGCUCAUGCUAUAGCAAAAGUGGCUCUGGAUUUUGAGAAUUCUGUUAUAUGGCUGGAAGAGUUUCCAGUCCAGAUCAUGAUGUUACUCUCAAAUUUUAUCAAUUAGAAAGCUUUACUUUCUUUUCAAAAAAAAAAAAAAAAACAAGAAUUUCCAAUUACCUGCAAAGUCAGCUGCGAAGUUAACUCCUGAGCUGAGAAGGUGGCCUAGCAAAGUCUCUGGGCCCAAUAAAAAUGUGCUUUUUGCAGUAAAACAGUGUGUCCGUGGGAGAAGGUAGCAGCGGAAAACCAAGCCUCUCACAAGACAUGUUUCAAGUGCUCACAUGGUGGUUAUUCCAUUAGCCCGUCAAAUUACGCAGCCCUAGAAGGCAUCUUGUAUUGCAAACAUAAUUUCUCCCAAUUGUUCAAGGAAGAAGGCAGCUACAACCACCUUAUAUCAAAUCUGCUUCCAUGAAGCGUGCUGCAGUCUCUGUUCAAGAAGCUUGAACAUGUUAUGUUAUCUUCCAUAAAUCUUAUUUGGCGUGGGUUUUCUCUGGCUUGAGGGUGUGCUUUCUAUUUUGAUCCCUCUUGUUGUUUUUGCGGGGAACUACCAAACCUUCGGUUCCCUCUGCUUCUUUGGAUCAUCUUUGUUGGGACAAAUUUCAUGUAAUUAGAGAUACUGAUUUAUGGGAGGCAUAAUCCCAUGGUCGUAAAUUGACCAUUUUCUGGCAAUGUUCUUUUUAAAAAGAGAUGAGCAGUUGUUUAAAAAAAAAAAAAAAUAGCUUGCCUUCAUCAUUGUAUGUUACCAAAGUGCUAUGUAUAGCUGCUGACUAUGAGCAUCCGAAAAUGGUGCAUCGUGAUUCAUGUAGUGCAAUAUGGCUACCAACGCAUCCUAAAUGGAGUAUUACUCAGUUAGGGUGUGUUUGGGAUUGAGGUUCUGUAGCUUUUAAGCUACAGCUGUUGUGAAAAAAAAGCUGUAAUUAUGAAACAAAAGUUAAUAAUAUAUAGUAAAUAUAAAUUUUAAAUAAUAAUUUUGAUAAGAUUAUUAAAGAUAUAAUAAAUUUUAUAUUAUACAAGUGAAAAAUAAUAUCAACAUAGCUUAAAAGCUACAGCAGUUAGUGUUUACCAAACACUUUAGUGCUGUAGUUUUUAAGCUAUAACUGCCCAACCUCAAUCCCAAACGCACCCUUAGUCAGCAAAAUAAGACAACAUAACUGAUAUUAAAAAAAAAACUACAUUAAUAAGUGGGCAAGAUCAUGCCAGUUUAACUUUUCGCGCGUCGCUGCUGGAGAUAAUCAAAUCAGGGCAGAGAAAAGGAGAAUGGAAUCAGAGGCUAAGAUUAAUAAGUGGGCUUCUGCUUGCUUUGCCCCUCUUUCUUAAACGAUUGGUAGACUGCUGCUUCCACCGAUUAACCGGGUCUUCAACCACUGCUUUUACUGCCUGCCAUCUUGUUGUUUGUCGAAGGGAUGAAUUCGAUUCGAAAAGAGAAAGCGCGCUGAAAAAGAUAAAUCACUAGUGGUUAACUGCUGACUCAGCCAAGUGUUGGCUUCACUUGAUUCACCGAUUGAGGUUAUUUUGUCUUCUAUCUAAUGCAGCGAAGAAGCUUUGCUGCUUAACAUGCUGCAAUGCAACUUUAUCCUUUGAAGUUCACACUUCAGGGCUGGGCACUUUAUGUAAUCCUAUGAGUAAAAAGAAUUUGUUUUCAAAUGUGAAAAAAGAAAAUGUAAGGUAGUAACUAAAUAUAUUAUAGCAUCCAAGCAAGAUUUGAUAUGAAUUUAGUACAACAAAGAACAUCAAAUCUGUGAUUCCUUGUCUAAUGUCACCAUCGAGCAACAAAUUUAAAAGCCUACCUAUCAAAUACACGAGGCAAUAAACGGAGAAAAAUUUGAAUUACAAGAACAAGUUUACAAUUCUUGUCAAUGGUUAAUGAUUCGUGAACUGAGAUAGCAUUCAAGAAUCCAAUUUCAAUACAACAACGUAAAAGAUAAACAGAUGAUGAAUUUAUGAGAUAAAGAAGGAGAUCAUGUUUUAUCGUAUCUCUAUUUUCUUUCUUUUUAAAUUUAAAAUAAGCUUUUCAACCGGUUUGUUAACCGGUUAUAAUAUUUUUUUAAAAUAAUUAAAUAUUUUCAUUAUUAAAAAUAAUGUGUACCGUUGAUUAUAUCUAACGGUACAUAUUUCUUACACUACUAAUACCGUAAAAAAAAAUACAGCAUCAUAGAGGGACCCUUAAAACAUUUUCAUUUGAAAUUAUUUGGUGUAGUAAAAAAGUUAAGAAAGAAAUAGUUGUCCCUUUGGUCAUUUCACAAAAAUGAAAGCCCCAUAAAAGAUAAACAGAUGAUGAAUUUUAUGAGAUAAAGAAGGAGAUCGUGUUUUAUCGUAUCUCUAUUUUCUUUCUUUUUAAAUUUAUGAGAUAAAGCGGUUGGUCCAGUUACGGUGUUAUGCUAACGGGUUUAAAGGUUCCGAUCCAAUGAGUUAGGGUGGAAUAUGAAUAUAUAAAUUCCAUAGCUAAGGACUAGGAUUUGUUUGUUCAUAUCAAGAAAAAAGAUCUGAAAAUUUGAUGAUCAGAAGAUAAAAACACUUAAACACGUUUAUUUCAGAGAAACAAACGACAACAUGAUACUAGUAGUAGUUAUUCUUUUCAUCCGAUAUAUUACAUUGUAAUAUCACUACUCGUUCCACUGGUUUCAUAUACACCAUCGACCAGCAACAUGAUAAUUUCGUGUCAGUUCAUUUUGUUUGUAGGAAAGAGCAGUGUAUUUCUUAGAGCUUGAAAAUAAUAAAAAGAUUUUAAAAUAUAAAUUGCAUAUUUGUUUAUUACUGUUGUUUGGUCUAAUUUCUUAUGUAGAAUUGCUUGUCAUUCUUUGGACGUUAUUGAUUAUAUUUUUGUCAGACUUGGCGUAUACAUUCACAUACGUUUUAUUUUGUCAUUUUGUAGAACAUUUUUACACGCCAUAUUAUCACGACUCUUCUGUGUCUGAAUAAGAAGAAAGCAUAAUGCGACCCUCCAACAGCUUAAUCUAUGGAAUUAUCGUGUUUUGUAAGUUGAGGUCCAAUGGCGUUUUGGCACAUCAUAUGAUAGACCACUAUAUUGCGUUGCUUUACAAAAGAUUAAUAUUUUUAAAAUUAUUAACUCAUGAUAUGAUAGUCCAGGUUUUCGAGGACCACUAUAUUGUAUUGAUUUUUAAAAAAAAUUAAUAUUUUUUAAUAUUAAUAUUCUAAAUUAUAUUCAGUUAAAAUAUUAAAUAUUAAAUACAUUCUUAAUAUUAAUACUCUUAGAUGAAAUUCUUUUGCUGACUUAAGAAUAAAAUAUUAAAUAAUUUUAUUUUUCUUUUAUUGUGUAACGUGGACCCAAAAAAAAAAGGAAAUGAAUUUAAUAAAACCUUCCUUCCGCCACCAUGCAUGUUAAUUGUUUCCAAAUUCCAACCUCCGUACUCUCUUGAGGAGUUUCCCAUUCAUCAAUUAUUAUUUUUUAUAAUCCAUACCAUCCUGAUAUAAUUAAACACCAUUAAUAAUGUACCAGCCUUUAAAUAGUAAUUUAUUUAUUUAUCUAAUUCACCAAAUGUCAUUUCCUGUACAUAUCUCCAUUGGUAUCAAGAAGAAGCAGAACCCAAAGAAACGUUUCUUGCAUCUUCAUAUUUGUGCGAAUUCAUCCUUUCAUUGAGAAUAACCAUUUCCAGGCAGCAGUUGCCAAUCAAUUCAUGCGCACGUCGAUGCUAUUCAUAGAUAUUAAAGACAAUGAUGAACCAAAGGUGAUAAAUCAUAAAUGCAUAAUUACCAAACCUCCAUCCUUCUCUCAUUAUGAUUUGAUUUUAAAUGAAUUAUUGCUUGGUAACAUUAUUUCCAACCAUUGCAAGAUUUUUUUUGGAGAAAUUUUAAUUGAAAGUAAAACCUUUAGACAUUUACCUAAUGAAGUUAGUUAAUCGGGAGGGUGGAAAAAAAAAAGUUGACGCAAGUCAAUACACAAUAAUUAAUCAAAUCCGGAGUGACUAAAACAGAGCCACUACUUUUUUAAAAAUAUCUGCCUUCAUCACUUUCUCCAGCAGCUAGUCAGCUACACACGAGUCAAUUUCUCUCCUCGAUUGUCAUCCAAAAUUAUUCACCAAUACCAUGGCUGAUGCAAUCGUUUCCACUAUCUUGGAGCAGCUGAUUUCCUUCGCUGCUGAAGAGAUAAAACAACAGGUGAUCGAAGUUACACCCCUCAGAUUACAAAUACUUCCAAUGAUUUUAUUUGGUUUUGCUUUUAUCAAAAACAUUAUAUAUUUUUGCUUUAUUUUAUUUAUCUGGUAAUUUUAGAUUUUGAAAUUUGAAUUGAAUUUAAUUAAAAGGUGAUGUAGUAACCACUUAUUUUUAUUUUAUCUCAUUUAUAUUCUCAAUAACUACUCAUAUUUUGGUAACUUACUAUAACUUCCAUAUCUAAGAAAUGAUCCAAACCCACAAUUUUAACUCAGCACGAAUAUUCAAUGGUGAUCUAAGCUUUUGCAGAACACUCAAGUUUGUCAAACAGUCAUUAAUUCAAUGUUUAGUAAAAAAAACACUUCUCAGCACAGAAUUCCAUGUCCAUUACUUAGACUCUAUGAAAAAUUUCAUAAUUUUCUCACAUUAUUUGAGUUUGGUAAGUGAUUUCAUAUAAUUUCUUUUCAAUAUAAAUUUUAAUUUGGUUUCUUAUAUACUCUCUUUGCUGAAUUUGUAUCUUUUAUGAUUCUUAGAUUUUGGGCUCUAACUUUUUAGGAUUUGAUAGUCACAUUUUAUGCCAUGCUUAAAUUGAUUUUCAUGAUUUUUACUACCCGUUAAGUGACUUAGAAUUUGACAAAAGUUUGAAAGGAAAUCUACUUCAGGAUUCUGUUUUAAUUGACCUUUUAGUGGAAAUAAGAUGCUUAUAACUUAAUGUGGAUGUACAAGACUCUCCAUGAAGUCUCAUAAUUUUUCAUUCGGUCUGGGGUGUUACAGGUGAAGCUUGUGGUUGGUGUCGAAAAAGAAGUGAAAAGCCUUACCGGCCACCUUCAAGCCAUUCAAGCUGUGCUCGAUGAUGCCGAGGAAAAGCAAGUGAAGGACAAAGCUGUUAGUCUUUGGCUAGGUAGGCUCAAGUACGCAUCCUACGACAUUGAAGAUGCGUUGGAUGAAUGGAUCACAGGAAGACGCAAAUAGCAAAUUGAGGGUGGCAUUGGUGAAAAUGCUCUUAUUGCUCCUCAUAAGAAAAAGAAGGUACGUUUCUGCUUUCGUGCCUCUUGUCUUGGAUUCAAACAAGAAGAAUUUGGCUUCAAACAAGUCUUUCUACGUCAUGACAUUGCUGACAAGAUCAAAGAAAUCAAUGAAGAGCUACGUAAUAUUGCCACUCAAAGAGACAUGUUUAAAUCUGAGAGUGGCAGUAAAAGUAGUGAAAGACCCAGGCGUGUACAGAGUACCUCCUUGAUUGAUGAGGAAGAGAUUUGUGGUAGAGUUGGUGAGAGGAAUGAACUCUUAAGCAUGCUGUUGUGUGAGAGUAGGGAGCAACAAAAAGGCCUUCAUAUCAUCUCAAUCGUUGGUAUGGGAGGCAUAGGAAAAACAACUCUUGCACAACUAGCAUGUAAUCAUGUUGAGGUGAAGAGAAAGUUUGACAAACUUUUAUGGGUGUGUGUAUCGGACCCUUGUGAGCAGUUUAGGAUUGCCAAAGCGAUCGCUGAAGCUUUAGGCAUUCCCUCUUCUAAUUUAGGUGAAUUUCAAUCUCUUCUUAAACUUAUAUCUGAAUCUAUUACUGGAAAACGAUUUCUUCUUGUCUUAGAUGAUGUGUGGGAUGGAGAUUGUAUAAAAUGGGAACCAUUCUACCUUUGUCUAAAGAAUGGUCUCCAUGGAAGUAAAAUUUUGGUUACCACACGUAAAAAAUCAGUUGCAUCUAUGAUGGGAUCUACUAAUACUGAUAUUGUCACUGUCAUGGAAUUGGCUGAAGAAGAAUGUUGGUCAUUGUUUAAGCGGUUAGCAUUUUUCGGUCCGUCUAUUAAUGAUUGUGAAAAUUUGGAACAAAUUGGGCGAAGAAUUGCAGGCAAGUUUAAAGGUUUGCCUCUUGCUGCAAAGACAAUAGGGAGUCUCAUGCGCUCUAAACAAAUUGAAGAAGAGUGGGAAAGGAUUUUAAAUAGUGAUUUAUGGAGAGUAGAAGAGAUGGAGAAAGGUGUUCUGUCCUCAUUGGUGUUGAGUUACAACGAUUUGCCGUCCAAAGUAAAAAUAUGUUUUUCCUAUUGUGCUGUCUUUCCAAAAAACUACAAUAUAAAAAAAGAUGAACUAAUUACAUUGUGGAUGGCUCAAGGUUAUCUUAGUGCAGAACAAAAUAAGGAGAUGGAGACUAUAGGUGAAGAGUAUUUUAGCAUCUUAGUUUCUCGCUCUUUCUUUCAAGAGUUUGAGAAAAGUUAUGAUAAUCGUAUUAUAGAGUGCAAGAUGCAUGAUAUGGUACAUGAUUUUGCCCGAUUUGUAAGUCAAAAUGAAUGUUUUUCGAUGGAAAUUAAUGGUAGUGAGGAACCAAACACCAUAAACUCUCUUGAUGAGAAGGUUCAUCAUUUAAUGUUGAUCAUUGGUAGGGAGGCUUCAUUUCGUGUCCCUAUUUGUAGAGUGAAAAGAAUUCGUAGCCUCUUAAUUGAUAAUAGUAGAACUUCUCGUUCGUAUUUUAAUGGUGAGAUCCUAGAAGAAUUAUUUAGGGAAUCGACAAGUUUAAGGGCAUUAGAUUUUUGGGGAUCAUAUGUCGUAAGCCCAUUUUCGACUCUAAAGAUUCCAAGAAACAUAGAAAAUCUAGUACAUUUAAGAUACCUUAACCUGUCUUGUCAGAACAUAAGGAAACUACCGGAGACAUUAUGUGAGUUAUAUAAUCUAGAAAAGUUAUAUAUUACUCGUUGUCUGUAUCUUGAAGAAUUACCUGAAGGGAUUGGGAAGUUAAUAAACAUGAAGCAUUUACUAAAUUAUCGUACAGAUUCUUUAAGGUACAUGCCAGUAGGGAUUGGGAGAUUAACGGGUCUUAGGACCUUGGAUGAGUUCCAUGUGAUUGGAGGAGGAGGUGUUGAUGGUAGGAAAGCAUGUUGGUUUGAAUCUCUUAAAAACUUGAAACACCUUCAAGUAUGUGGUAUACGCAGAUUGGGUGAUGUAUCAGAUGUGGGCGAGGCUAAGCGAUUAGAACUUGACAAAAAGAAAUACCUCUCUUGUUUGAGACUUUGGUUUGAUAAGAAGGAGGAAGGAGGAGAAAGGAGGAAGAACGAGGAGGAUCAACUUCUUCUUGAAGCCUUGCGACCACCCCUGGAUUUAAAGGAAUUAGAGAUACGGUACUACCGAGGCAACACUGCUUUCCCCAGCUGGAUGACGUCAUUAAUCAAUUUAAGGAGUUUAGAUCUCUCUUUGUGCGAAAAUUGCGAGCAGCUGCCUCCUUUGGGAAAAUUGCCGUCCCUUGAAAAACUCAGCCUAUUGCACAUGCGGAGUGUGAAAAGAGUGGGUGAUGAAUGUUUGGGGAUAGAAAGUGAUCAUCAUGGCUCAUCUUCAUCUUCAUUAGUUAUUAUUGCCUUCCCUAAAUUGAAAUCACUCACAAUUUCUUCCAUGUUGGAAUUGGAGGAGUGGGAUUAUGGGAUUACAAGAACGGGAAACACCGUCAUCAACAUCAUGCCACGUCUUUCUUCCUUGGAAAUUGUUGCCUGCCCCAACUUAAAGGCACUGCCCGACCACAUUCAUCAAACGACAACAUUGAAGGAAUUGCGCAUUGUGCAUUGUGGGCUUCUGGAAGAACGUUACCGCACGGGGGAAGGAGAAGACUGGCCUAAGAUAUCACAAAUUCCCAACAUAGAUAUUGAUUAAGAAGGAGAAGAGUGGCCUAAGAUAUCUCACAUUCCCAACCUCGCGAUUUGGCCUUGACAAGUAACUCCUUCUCUUACUCUGAUUUGCUUUGUUGUUCUUUUUAAUCUAAUCAAGAAGCAUAAAUAGCAUUUUGAAUUAAACUCUAUAUCAGAAAUCUGCAAUACAUAUUUUCUAAUAUUCUGAUUUUCAUAUCUUAUGAAUGUACGAUUCUAAUUUGCGAUAUUUAACGUUGCUGUAAAAUAUUAUUAAUGCAAUAUGAGUAAUUCUUUUGCAGGACAAGUGACCUAAGUUUAGUUUGGCUUUGGAGUUGAGUAAUAACCUUUCGAGGUCGCCACUAUAAAAAAGCGAAGCUCAAUUUGCCACAGAUUACAUGUAUUGCCAUCAUUGACAAUUUUCUGGAUAAGUGAUGAAGGGUGAGAAUGGUGCUAGAAUAUUGAAUAAAGCUGUCGUGACUGAACUUAGGUUGAUGUCAAAAGGGGUAAAUUAUUGGCAUGCCUAGCUAAUUUGACCACUUCCUGAUUCAUAAGCCUAUAUCAAUUUUGAUUUUGAGUUGAGUGAUUAAUUUUCAAGGUUUGCUUACUUAACCGGUGACCACUUUGUUGUAACUAAAUGUAUCAUAUGAUGCAGGCAGCAGGGCAGGAUAUGAAAUGAGUAGUUUAUUAGUGGAUGGAUUGCCAGAAGCAGAACCCAAAGAAAAUGAAAACAUUUCGAGGCAGCAGUUGGCAGUUGGCCGUGAAUGGAGCCCCUUGAAAAAAUUCCCAACCCAUUGCACUGCAAUUACGAUCGUAAGUAUGAUUGCACUGCAAUUUCGAAGCUUCUUCUCCUGCAUUUUUGUUAUUUGCUAUCAAGUGACAUUCGUAAGUAUGAUUGCAUUAAGCUGCUGCUGGGAAAUAUGAGGUUUUGAUGGCUGCCCAUGCUAUUGUCAGAAGCUGCGGUUCUUUUCAUCAGCCUGAACCUGGACCUGUCGCCAUGGAUAACUCAGGUUUUUUUUUUUUUAAUCAACUACGUCAUCUUUUCCACUGUUUUGAAACUCUUAAGAUUAAACUUUAGUAAAGUUGUUUUAGUUAUCCAUGUAAUCAGGCUGAGGAUACUUAGCUGCCUAUUUAGGCAAAUGUCAGAAUUUAGUUUGUUCGCUGGGAACUGGUGUGGUGACAGCGUCCUGGCAAAGGAUGAUGAGAUAGUUUUUUGAUUGAGUAAAUUUUGGGAGCUUGAGUGUAUUGGGAUUUGCAAUUACAAUCAUCCUCUGCCUCAGGUGAUUUCUUCUCCUGCCCUGUCGUUGUUUGUUCUCUAAUUCAAAAUUAUAAAAUAUUUCAAUCAAAUUUUAUGCCAGGAAUAUGCAAAAGUUUCUAAUAUUUUAUUUCCAUCUGUUUGCCUUGAUAACUUUGCGGCAUAUGUACUAGUUAAAGAACAAAUCGAAACAGAGCUCAGUUAAAAGUUUCUUCUGCCGUCAUAUUUGAAAAAUGAACCCAUUUCCAGGAAGCAAUGGGCAGCAAAUUCAUAUAAAGCGUAGACAAUGAUGAGCAAAAAGGUGAUUCACAAUUUCACUUUUUUUAAUGAAAUUAAUUGUUUGGUUGGAGCGGAUAUUGUUAGAAGGCCAUUGAGCUAACCUAUGUCACUACUUGCCUAGAUUACAGGGGGUCAAAACUCAAAAGAGGCAUUGAAUUUUAAAAGGCAUCCAAUAAUUCUUGUGGCCAUAUAUCAAUUCAUGUAAGUUUGAAUGUAAUUAUUGGUGAAGGGGUUUCACUUCCCGUCUCUAAAUAAAAAUACUGAUUCUUUAAGGUACAUGCCACUAGGGAUUGCGAGAUUAACGAGUCUUUGGACAUUGGAAGAGCUCCUUGUGAGUGGAGGAGGAGAUGUUGAUGGUAGCAAAGCAUGUGGGCAGUUGGCUUGAAUCUCUUAAAAACUUGGAACUCCUCCAAGCGUAAGUAUACGUGUACUGGGAAAUGUGUUAGAUGUGGAUGAGGCUAAGAGAUUAGAGCUUGACAAAAUGAAAUACCUCUUUCAUUGAGACUUAAAUUUGAUGGGGAAGAAGAAAAAGAAGAGGGAAGGAGGAAGAAUGAGGAUAAUCAACUUGUUCUUGAAGCCUUGCAACCACCUCUGAAUUUGAAGGAAUUAGAGAUUUGGUUAUACAGAGGCAACAUUGUUUCCCCCCGGAUGAUGCAAAAAUUGAAGGAAUUUACCAAUCUAAGGAGUUUGACACUCUUUAAAACUGCAAAAAUUGAGAGCAGUUGCCUCCUUUGGGAAAAUUGUAAUCCUUUGAAAAUCUCAGCAUAUUGUACAUGGAGAGUGUGAAAACAGUGGGUAAUGAAUUUCUGGGAAUAGAAAGUGAUCUUCAUGACUCAUCUUCAUCUUCAUCAGUUAUUAUUGCCUUCCCCAAAUUGAAAUCACUUUCUUUCAGUUGAGGGAUUGAUGGAAUUGGAGGAGUGGGAUUAUGGGAUUAAAAGAACAGGAAACACCUUCACCAACAUUAUGCCACGUCUUUGAACCUUGGAAAUUAGUGUGGGGUUAUGGGAUCGCACAACGACGUUGAAGGUAUUGCAGAUUGUGGCAUGUGGUACUCUAAGAAGACGUUACAGACAGGGGAGAGCAGAAGACUGGCCUAAAAUGCUAAUGUGGAGUACAAUCAUAAAAUGCUAAUGUGGCCACCCUGGUUCUUAAAUUAAGGUUGUGCAUAUUAUUGUAAAAGAUGAUUAAUUCAAUUUGAGUCAUUCGUUUGCUUUGAUAAUGAUAGUAAUUUUAUAUUUGACAAUUUGCAAGGUGAGAAUGGUGCUGAUUGGUGAUACAGGAUAUGGUUCAAACACCAUUGAAUAAAGCUACGGACAUGGUGGCUCAACUUAGCUAGAUUGCUGUCAAAAUUGGUAAGUUGGCUUGUCAAUGUAUUGAUGCUUUUGUUUUCUCUCAACCCUAAUUACCUUACCUUCAUUUAGUUUGGCUUUGGAGUUGAGUAAUAACUUUCAAGGUUCUCAAACAGAGCAGGACAACCGAAAAAAAAAGCUUAAUUUGCUACUGAUCACGUGUUACCAAUUAUUUAAGGUAAUUCUCGUUUACUUGCUUCUACGCUAUAGAGUACGUGUUCUGGUUGGUUUAUCUAAUUCAUCAAAUGUUAUUUCCUUAUUGUUCCAUUGAUAUAUUUGUUAGAAAGUGAAACCAUUUCCAGGCAGCAGUUGGCAGUGAAUUCAUGCAAAUGUUGAUGCCAUUCAUAGAUAUUGAAGACAAUGAUGAGCCAAAGGUGAUAAAUCAUUAAUGCAUAGUUACCAAAACCUCCAUCCUUCUGUCAUUGUAAUUUGAUUUGAAAUGAAUAAUUGCUAGGUAAUUGAAGCCAAUAUUGUAAGAAACGGUGUUGAGCUACCCAAGCUAAGAAGUUAGCUGCCAAAAAAUGCAGGGGAUCAAAAGAAGCAUUGCAGUGCUACAAUGCUGCUACUGGGAAAUUUAAAUCCCAUAUUAGACUUUCCUCACAUCAGAAGCUGUGGAUCUUGGGACAUCAGGUUUUUUCACAGUUCUGAAACUCUCAGGAUUAAACUUUAUUAAAGUUGUUGUAGUUGUCUACGUUCUCAGGUCAAGGAUUCUAAGCUGCCUAUUAAGGCAAAAUGUCAGAAUUCCCCUAUUAUUUUUUUUUUCAUGUAAAAUUAUGUUGUUGUCUUCGCCCAUGAAUCUAGCUAAAUUCUGAACCAAUUGUUUGCUAUUAUAAAUUUCAUUGUUAAAUAUUAAUUGUGAUGUUGGUGUUGAGUUUCUUUUAAAGUCACAGAAGCCUGACGAUUGAGUUCCGUGGGAUUCUGAGAAGCAGUAAUAUUUUGAACAAGUGAAGGUUCUUCGUUUUUAAUUAUGUUCUGCACCUUUACAGUAUGAGUAGAUGUCUAAGAGGCGGGAUUUUAAUUUCAUUAAUGCUAAAUUUCGCAAAACAAUAAAAAAAUAAAUGCAUGACAGUGACUUCAAGAAUUUAGAUUAUUGAAUUUGGCCAUUUUAAAAUUGAACCAGAGCUCAGAAAUGUAGAAUAUAAAUAUUGGAGAUUUGAACUUCAAUCAUUAGAUUUGAAGCUAAAGAGGUAAGCCAUUAAUUACAUCAAAGGAUUUGGAAAAUGGAGGAAUUGUAAAAAGGAAACUCUUUCAUCAACUUCAAGCAUUGGGCUUUUUCAUUUGUCCGAUUCAAGAGGAACGUCACAGAAAGGGGUAAAGAGAAGAGUAGCCAAAGAUAUUAAAGACAAUGUUGAGGCAAAGGAAACAUAAAUCCCCACCAUUGCAUGGGAACAUGAUCACAAUAAGGUCAGGAANNNNNNNNNNNNNNNNNNNNNNNNNNNNNNNNNNNNNNNNNNNNNNNNNNNNNNNNNNNNNNNNNNNNNNNNNNNNNNNNNNNNNNNNNNNNNNNNNNNNNNNNNNNNNNNNNNNNNNNNNNNNNNNNNNNNNNNNNNNNNNNNNNNNNNNNNNNNNNNNNNNNNNNNNNNNNNNNNNNNNNNNNNNNNNNNNNNNNNNNNNNNNNNNNNNNNNNNNNNNNNNNNNNNNNNNNNNNNNNNNNNNNNNNNNNNNNNNNNNNNNNNNNNNNNNNNNNNNNNNNNNNNNNNNNNNNNNNNNNNNNNNNNNNNNNNNNNNNNNNNNNNNNNNNNNNNNNNNNNNNNNNNNNNNNNNNNNNNNNNNNNNNNNNNNNNNNNNNNNNNNNNNNNNNNNNNNNNNNNNNNNNNNNNNNNNNNNNNNNNNNNNNNNNNNNNNNNNNNNNNNNNNNNNNNNNNNNNNNNNNNNNNNNNNNNNNNNNNNNNNNNNNNNNNNNNNNNNNNNNNNNNNNNNNNNNNNNNNNNNNNNNNNNNNNNNNNNNNNNNNNNNNNNNNNNNNNNNNNNNNNNNNNNNNNNNNNNNNNNNNNNNNNNNNNNNNNNNNNNNNNNNNNNNNNNNNNNNNNNNNNNNNNNNNNNNNNNNNNNNNNNNNNNNNNNNNNNNNNNNNNNNNNNNNNNNNNNNNNNNNNNNNNNNNNNNNNNNNNNNNNNNNNNNNNNNNNNNNNNNNNNNNNNNNNNNNNNNNNNNNNNNNNNNNNNNNNNNNNNNNNNNNNNNNNNNNNNNNNNNNNNNNNNNNNNNNNNNNNNNNNNNNNNNNNNNNNNNNNNNNNNNNNNNNNNNNNNNNNNNNNNNNNNNNNNNNNNNNNNNNNNNNNNNNNNNNNNNNNNNNNNNNNNNNNNNNNNNNNNNNNNNNNNNNNNNNNNNNNNNNNNNNNNNNNNNNNNNNNNNNNNNNNNNNNNNNNNNNNNNNNNNNNNNNNNNNNNNNNNNNNNNNNNNNNNNNNNNNNNNNNNNNNNNNNNNNNNNNNNNNNNNNNNNNNNNNNNNNNNNNNNNNNNNNNNNNNNNNNNNNNNNNNNNNNNNNNNNNNNNNNNNNNNNNNNNNNNNNNNNNNNNNNNNNNNNNNNNNNNNNNNNNNNNNNNNNNNNNNNNNNNNNNNNNNNNNNNNNNNNNNNNNNNNNNNNNNNNNNNNNNNNNNNNNNNNNNNNNNNNNNNNNNNNNNNNNNNNNNNNNNNNNNNNNNNNNNNNNNNNNNNNNNNNNNNNNNNNNNNNNNNNNNNNNNNNNNNNNNNNNNNNNNNNNNNNNNNNNNNNNNNNNNNNNNNNNNNNNNNNNNNNNNNNNNNNNNNNNNNNNNNNNNNNNNNNNNNNNNNNNNNNNNNNNNNNNNNNNNNNNNNNNNNNNNNNNNNNNNNNNNNNNNNNNNNNNNNNNNNNNNNNNNNNNNNNNNNNNNNNNNNNNNNNNNNNNNNNNNNNNNNNNNNNNNNNNNNNNNNNNNNNNNNNNNNNNNNNNNNNNNNNNNNNNNNNNNNNNNNNNNNNNNNNNNNNNNNNNNNNNNNNNNNNNNNNNNNNNNNNNNNNNNNNNNNNNNNNNNNNNNNNNNNNNNNNNNNNNNNNNNNNNNNNNNNNNNNNNNNNNNNNNNNNNNNNNNNNNNNNNNNNNNNNNNNNNNNNNNNNNNNNNNNNNNNNNNNNNNNNNNNNNNNNNNNNNNNNNNNNNNNNNNNNNNNNNNNNNNNNNNNNNNNNNNNNNNNNNNNNNNNNNNNNNNNNNNNNNNNNNNNNNNNNNNNNNNNNNNNNNNNNNNNNNNNNNNNNNNNNNNNNNNNNNNNNNNNNNNNNNNNNNNNNNNNNNNNNNNNNNNNNNNNNNNNNNNNNNNNNNNNNNNNNNNNNNNNNNNNNNNNNNNNNNNNNNNNNNNNNNNNNNNNNNNNNNNNNNNNNNNNNNNNNNNNNNNNNNNNNNNNNNNNNNNNNNNNNNNNNNNNNNNNNNNNNNNNNNNNNNNNNNNNNNNNNNNNNNNNNNNNNNNNNNNNNNNNNNNNNNNNNNNNNNNNNNNNNNNNNNNNNNNNNNNNNNNNNNNNNNNNNNNNNNNNNNNNNNNNNNNNNNNNNNNNNNNNNNNNNNNNNNNNNNNNNNNNNNNNNNNNNNNNNNNNNNNNNNNNNNNNNNNNNNNNNNNNNNNNNNNNNNNNNNNNNNNNNNNNNNNNNNNNAUGGUAUGCUUGUUAUCAAUUCCAGUCUAAUUCAUUCAUGCUUUGAUGACAUAUGCGGUGCAGCUUCUUAUCUAAGACCUGUAUAUGUUCAGUCAUCAUUCAGUUCUGUAUUUGGCUGCCAUUCUUUCAAUGAAUUCAAACCACUUUCUGAAUACUUGCAAAUUCAUCCAGUGUUGUCAUUGAGAUGCCAAUAUGUAAAGGAGCAAUAGUUGCCCUUGAUAGUAUGCUUAUUGAUUGCCUCUUGCCUCACUCAGCCUAAGGAAUCUGGUUGUAUGGUGUUCUUGUAAUUUCAUUUGGAGAUAAGUAAUAUCUGUUGUUCAAAUGUAUUUUAUAUACAAGCAGUUAAUAAUUCUGCUUGCAGAAAGCUUACAAAGGAGCUGUGUGAUGUAAUAGAAGACUACAGUCUGGUCAAUUUUUCAACCUUAGAUAUUCAGGUCAUCGGUUUCUCUUGAAUUCUUUCUUGAGUUUCUUUGAAUUAUUUGUGAAUAAGAUCUUAGUUGGCUGCUCCUCUUCAGGAUAAGGAAAGUGUGGCAAAACUCGUGAAGCUGAUAGAUAAAAGCAAUGGGUACAUCUUUGCUGGCAUGGAUGCCAGUGCAGUUGAAUUCAGCAAGAUUGCCGUUCGCGAUGUGGAUUGGGAUUAUUACAGAUAUCCUUCUUUUCACCUACUUUCAAUCUUGUGAUUCUCAUAUUCAUAAAACUUUUAUCUUUGAAUUAUUUGUGAUGUAAUAACUUGUGCAUUUGAGAAACUAAUUUUGCUGUUAGGCAGGUUUCAAUCUUGAUUCAUGUGUUUUUCAUAAAUGUACCAAAGUUAUGGAAACUUUUCUUUUUCCCAGAUAUUGUAUCUGCACUUUUUCCCAUGUAAUUGAGUCAGACAAGUUUUGCUUAACAAAGAUGUCUACAGUCGCUGAAGUGCAGGAGGAGUACAUUAAGGAUGAUGACAACAUUGAUUAAAAUGGGACGUGAAGAUAUAUGUUGUGCAAACCGUAAGCCUGCCUCUUACUUUUGUGCAUGUUUACUUGCUUGUGAUUCACGUUUGUUAAUCUAUUUUGCUAUCUUGCAGGAUUUUUAAAGUUUUCAAUCAAUCAAACAUUUAACUCAAGUCCUUAGCUCUUCACUGCUUGAAUGGUGGUUUUAAUCAAACCCCUCCUAAUUAUGAUGUAUGGCCCGAAUCUCGGACUUUUUGUACAAUAUCAAGCGAUUUUUUUUUAGUUGAAUCGGCUAGUGUACACAAAUGUCGAUUAUUGAUUUUUCUCUAGUAUUGUUUGUAAUUACAAGAAACGAAGUAAUGAAAUUUAUCACUGCGUUCAUAGUUAUGCUUAAGCUCAAAGAUCACUGUCAAGAUCAUUUUGGGGCCUCUAUUUGUUCUAUAACAUGAUGUUGACACAUGUCAAAUUAUGAAGCUUGUGAUUAAAAUACUUUUCACAUAUAUAUUUUAAGUACUAUUACUAAUUAAAUAUAUGAAUAAAUAUGGUCAAUGAGGAGAGGAUAAAAUAAAAUGGCUUCAUUUUUUGAAUUACUCAACUGCUUCAAACUUCUAAAAAGUAAAUAUACAAUGAGUGGAAUAUUGAAUUGAGUGCGAGCUGCGGAUAACUUAAAAAAAUUAGAAUACAAGCUUCAAGGAAAGUGUAUUACUAUUCAAAUGUUGAUUUCAAAUUAAGAAGAUAUGCCAGCAAAUUGUAUAAAAAUGUAUAAAUUGAUCAGUAACAUUAAUUCCAAAUGAUGAAAUGAGCUAUCUUGAUCAAAAGGUCAAGAACCUACCUUACUUUUCUUAGAUAUAACUUGCAUCAACCGUUGUGGUAUUGAUACUUAUCUUGAGCAAGUGAAAGUGAAAGUUUUCCAAUUGAAAGAAAGUGAAGGGAAGAUGCGAUGCUCUAAUUAUUAUUAUUACUGACGUGGUCGAGAAGUAAAGCCAUGCAUGUGAUGAAGCAUAAAUAAGAAAGCUAUGGCCCGGAAUUCAUUUUCACUAACACUUCAAUAUUCUUUUGAUCACUUUUGCAAACAUCAAUUUGUCUCUUCUUGUAUUCACCAUGGUUGAUGCCGUCGUUUCCCCUCUCGUGGAGCAGCUGAUUUCCUUCGCUGCUAAAGAGAUAAAACAACAGGUGAUCGAAGUUAUAUUAUAAAUACUUCUAAUGAUUUUAAUUGGUUUUGUUUUAUCGAAAACAUUAUCUUUGCUUUAUUUUACUUAUUUAGUCAUUUUAAAUUUUGAAAUUUGAAUUGAAUUUAAUUAAAAGGUGAUGUGGUUAGUAACCACUUAUAUUUAUUUUGUUUCAUUUAUAUUCUCAAUAACUACCCAUAUUUUUUAUAACUUAUUGUAAUCCCGUGUCUAAGAAAUUAUCAAAACCCACAAUUUUAACUCUACAUAAAUAUUCUAUGUUGAGCUAAGUUUUUGCAUAACAUUCAAGUUUGUCAAGUAGUCAUUAAUUUAAUGUUUAGUAAAAACUUAUCUCUGAAAAAUUUCAUAAUUUUCUUACAUUCUUUGAGUUUGGUAAGUGACCUCAUAUAAUUUCUUUUCAAUUUAAAUUUUAAUUUGGUUUCUAUAUAGUCUCUUUACUUAAUUUGUAUCAUUUAUGAUUCUUAGAUUUUGGGCUCCAACUUUCUAGGAUUUGAUAGUCACAUUUUAUGGCAUGCUUGGAUUGAUUUUCAUGAUUUUUAGUACUCGUUAAGUGACUUAGAAUUUGAAAAACGUUUGAAAGGAAAUCUGUUUUACGGUUCUGUUUUAAUUGACCUUUUAGUGGAAAUAAGAUGCUUAUAACUUAAUGUGGAUGGUUCGCAAAAUCAUGAAAUUUGGAUAGGAUUCACUAGAAAUAUGAGACUCUCCAUAAAGUUUCAUAAUUUUUAUUGGGUCUGGGCUGUUACAGGUGAUGCUUGUGACUGGUGUCGAGAAGGAAGUGAAAAGCCUUACGAGCCACCUUCAAGCCAUUCAAGCUGUGCUCGAUGAUGCAGAGGAAAAGCAAGUGAAGGACAAAGCUGUUAGACGUUGGCUGGGUAGGCUCAAGUACGCAUCCUACGACAUUGAAGAUGUGUUGGAUGAGUGGAUCACAGAUAGACACAAAUUGCAAAGUGAGGGUGGCGUUGAUGACAAUGCUCUUGCUGCUCCUCAAAAGAAAAAGAAGGUAUGUUUCUGCUUUCCUGCCUCUUGUUUUGGAUUCAAACAAGAAGAAUUUGGUUUCAGACAAGUAUUUCUACGUUAUGACAUUGCCAACAAGAUCAAAGAAAUGAAUGAAGAGCUACAUGAUAUUGCCACUCAAAAAGACUUGUUUAAUCUUGUUAAGAGUGGCAAUAAAAGUGGUGAAAGACCAAGGCGUGUACAGAGUACCUCCUUGAUUGAUGAGGAAGAGAUUUGUGGUAGAGUUGGUGAGAAGAAUGAACUCAUAAGCAAGCUGUUGCGUGAGAGUAACGAGCAACAAAAAGGCCUCCAUAUCAUCUCAAUUGCUGGUAUGGGAGGCAUAGGGAAAACUACUCUUGCACAACAAGCUUGUAAUGAUGACGAGGUGAAGAGAAAGUUUGACAAAAUUAUGUGGGUGUGUGUGUCAGAAACUUUUGAGGAGUUUAGGGUUGCCAAAGCAAUGGUUGAAGCUUUGGAUGGUCGUGAAUCUCAUUUAGGUGAAUUCCAAUCUCUUCUUAAACAUAUUGAUGAAUCCAUUGCAGGGAGGAGCUUUCUUCUUGUCUUGGAUGACGUAUGGGAUGGAAAUUACGUGAAAUGGGAACCAUUCUAUCGUUGUCUAAAGAAUGGUCUCCAUGUAAGUAAAAUUAUAGUUACUACACGUAGUGGGUCCGUUGCAUCCAUGAUGGGAUCCAUAGAUAUUAUUCCCAUUAAGGAAUUAGCUGAAGAGGAAUGUUGGUUGUUGUUUAACAAGAUAGCAUUUUUUGGUAGGCCUAUCGAGGAACGUGAAAAAUUCGAACGAAUUGGGCGAAGAAUUGCAGGCAAGUGCAAAGGUUUACCUCUUGCUGCAAAGAUAUUAGGGAGUCUUAUGCGCUCUAAACAAACUGAAGAAGAGUGGAAAAUAAUUUUAAAUAGUGAUUUAUGGAAAGUAGAAGAGAUUGAGAAAGAUGUUUUGUCCUCCUUAUUGUUGAGUUUCAAUGAUUUGCCAUCUAGAGUAAAAAGAUGUUUUUCAUAUUGUGCUGUCUUUCCAAAAGACUACGAUAUAGAAAAAGACAAACUAAUUACAUUGUGGAUGGCUCAAGGUUAUCUUAGUGUAGAAGAAGAUGAGGAGAUGGAGACUAUAGGUGAAGAGUAUUUUAGCAUCUUAGCUUCUCGCUCUUUCUUUCAGGAGUUUGAGAAAAGUUAUGAUAAUCGUAUUAUAGAGUGCAAGAUGCAUGAUAUGGUACAUGAUGUUGCCCGAUUUGUAAGUCAAAAUGAAUGUUUGUCGUUGGAAAUUAAUGGUACUGAGGAACUAAACGUCAAAAACUCUCUUGCUGAGAAGGUUCGUCAUUUAAUGUUAAACAUUGGUAAAGAGUCUACAUUUACUGUCUUUACUUUUAGAGUUAAAAAAAUUCGUAGCCUCUUGAUUGAAAAUGGGAGAUAUGGUCGUCCAUCAUUAAAUGGUGAGAUCCUAGAAGAAUUAUUUAGGGAAUCGACAAGUUUAAGGGCAUUAGAUUUUCCUAGCUUUUAUUUGCCUUCAGAGAUUCCAAGAAAUAUAGAAAAGCUGGUACAUUUAUGUUACAGAGUAUGAUAAUAUGGUACAGAUGAGAGCAUCUGAUUAAAUGGAGCGGCUGAUGCUUACGUGUGUUGAGUUAGUUAUCCAGCUCAGCAGCAAAGAUAACGAACUGUACUGCAUGCAUAUUAGAUCCAACAAACUGACAAGCUACGUGACGCCUCUGAUCUUUACUAUAAAUAACAAGUUGUAAUCAUUAGUCAAACUAAUGAGAAUAUGAUCAUUUUUCAGAUCUGGUUCUUUAUGAUUUUCUUUUAUUUUCUUGUUAGUUUCUCUUAAACCAAACACUAUAUACAAACUCUUUCAUGGUAUCAGAGCAAACAAAUGGCAAAUUCGAAUCAAAAUUCUGGAUCUUAUAGUUUUAUUACUCCGAUAAAACUAGAUCAUAAUAACUUCAUUGUUUGGUGAACUCAGAUUCUCACAUCCAUUAAAGGAAAUGGUUUAGAAGAUUUCAUCAAUGGAAAUCAAGUCUGUCCGGAAAAAUUUUUCUCUGCUACAAGCUCUGCUGCUGGUUUCUCAACUGGAACAGAGAAUCAAGAGAUCAAUCCAGCUUACACAAUGUGGAUAAAGACGGAUCAAUUGAUUCUGAGCUGGAUGCUCUCAUCUAUUCAGCCAAAUCUAUUGACAACUGUGAUCCACUGCUCAACUGCAAAGGAGCUGCUGGAUACACUUACAAGUAUGUUUGUUUCCCAGUCACAAGCUAGAAUAAUGCCUCUAAAAAUGCAAAUCCAAACUCUUAAAAAAGGCUCGAUGUCCAUAACUGAUUAUUUUGCAAAAAUGAAAAGGAUAUCUGAUAGCUUAGCUUUAGCUGGAAAACCUGUUGAAGUGAAUGAUUUCGUUCAACAUGUUUUGACUGGAUUGGAUUCCUCUGAUUAUGAAUCACUAGUUACUACUGUGUUAGCUAGAGGAGAUAAUAUCAGUCUUGAUGAGUUUUAUUCAUUGUUAUUGAGUCAUGAAAAUCGUGUGGAACAAAAGAGAGGAAAAAUUGCAAGUGAUGUUACACAUAACUUGUCAGCUAAUGUUGCUCAAAAGCAGUUCAAUCCUGGUAAAAACACUAGUGGUAAUCAGAAGUUUAACGAUGGAUCGUAUGGAGGAAGUUAUAAUUCUGGAGCUGGAUCUAGUGAUGGUAACUUCUCACAAAUUGUAUGUCAAAUCUGUUUCAUUCCUGGUCAUGGUGCCAAUAAAUGCAGGAAUAGGUUUAACUCAGCUUUUGUUCCUUCAAGAAAUCAAGGAAGAGGUGGUUUUAAUGGAAAUUUUAGGCCUGGUCAGAGGCAGUAUGGUAGAGGUUUUGGCUAUGCUAAUGGCAAUAGGUAUGGCUUAUGGAAAUUUUGGUAAUUUUGGUAGAAAUCUUAAUCCUCAAUAUGGUGCUGGAAUUGGUAACUCUCAGUUUGGUAAUUUCAACAUACCAAGAGCACCUGGUUAUCAAGGCCAUUUGAUGUAUUCGGAUCCAGUUGUUUUCAAUGUUUAUCAACCAUCUAAUUCUCAUGGUGGUUACUCUCCUGCUCAUGUUUUUGCUCCUACUGGAGAUUACUCUGGAUCUCCUUCAGUCCCUGUUCCAGCUCUUGCACCUGAGAUGAUUGAAGAUCCAGCUUGGUACAUUGACAGUGGUGCUACUAACCACAUCACAAAUGACCCAGGUAAAUUACUGGAUCUCAAGCCAUAUGUUGGAACUGACAAAUUGCUUGUUGGGAAUGGUUCUGCAUUGCAUAUUCAGCAUAUUGGAUCAGUAUUGCUAGCUACUACUGCAAAUAAACCCUUGUGUUUAAACCAUGUUCUUCAUGUUCCAAAUAUUAAGAAAAAUUUACUCAGUGUUUCAAAGCUCUUAGUAGAUAAUAAUGUGACACUUGAGUUUUUUGCAAAUGUCUGUGUUGUCAAGGCCAGGAACUCAGGGAUCACUUUGCUUAGAGGAAUUGCAACAGGGGGAUUGUAUCAAGUCCAAUCUGCAGCUCAAGUCUCUGAAACUAGCUCAGCCUUGUCAUGUCAACUUUCUUCCAAUAAACCUCAGUCUUUGUUUGCUUUUCAUUCUCCUUUGUCUAGUGAUAUUUCUCCUGAAAUAAGUAAGAGUACUUUGUCUCAUCAUUUGUUGUGUAAAUCAGCCUUGGCUGUCAAUACUAGCUCAGUCGAUGUCAAUGUUUUCCAUAAAAGGCUAGGACAUCCUGCCUUACACACACUCAAAUCUGUAUUGAAAGCUUGUAAUAGUUUCAAUGUACUCAAUAAAACUCCAAACUUUUGCAAUGCCUGUCAACAUGGUAAAAGUCACCUUUUACAUUUUGGAUCUGUUCCAACAAAAACAACUGCACCAUUACAACUUAUAUAUGCUGAUUUGUGGGGACCAUCACAUGUUGCAUCCACUCAAGGCUAUAUAUAUUAUUUGUCCAUUUUAGAUGAUUUUAGCAGAUUCACAUGGAUUUUUCCUUUGACUGCCAAAUCAGAUGCACUCCAAGUUUUCACAGAAUUCAAAUCUUUUAUUGAAAAACACUUACAACAACACAUCAAAACAGUUCAAACAGAUUGGGGAGGGGAGUUUAGAACCUUUGCAUCAUAUCUCACUCAGUUUGAAAUUCAGUUCAGGCAUCCUUGUCCACAUAUCCAUCAUCAAAAUGGAAGAAUUGAGAGAAAACAUAGACACAUAGUGGACAUUGGCCUCACUCUGUUAGCUCAAGCUAAUUUACCACUUAAGUUCUGGUGGAAUGCCUUUCAUACUGCUGUAUUCCUUAUCAAUAGACUACCCACACCAACUUUGAAUAACAUUUCACCUUACCAAAAACUUUUUCAGCAAGUACCAGAUUAUGUCUCUUUUAGGGUCUUUGGUUGUGCUUGCUUUCCUUAUCUCAGACCUUAUAACAGACACAAGCUCAGUUUUAGAUCAAACAGAUGUGUUUUUAUUGGGUAUAGCUCUUCUCAUAAAGGGUAUCAGUGUCUUCAUUCAUCUGGUCGUGUGUAUGUGUCCAAUCAUGUCAUCUUUGAUGAACAAUCUUUUCCAUAUGUAUCUGGAUUAGACUUCUCUUCCAUUGCUCAGUCUUGCAGUCCCUCAGAUAUUUCUUCAGAGUCCAAAGUUACCCUUGUUCCAAUCCCACAAGUACAAUCCCCCCUGCAAGAAUCUCCAGCAAGUGAUUACCUACCUGCUGACACUCCACAGGUAUUCUCUCCUUCUUCAACCUCCUCUUCAUCUUCUACUUCGACAUCACAUACACAUCCUAUACAUCAUACACAAUCUCCUCCUCAUAAAUUACCUGCUGCACCACCUAUAGGUCAUCCCAUGAUAACCAGAUCCAAGGCUGGUAUCUUUAAGCCUAAAUCUUAUUUAGCUGCUUUACUAGCCAUACCUUCAGAACCUACUUCUGUUUUAACUGCUUUAUCUGAUCCAAAAUGGUUUAAGGCAAUGCAAGAAGAAUUUCAAGCACUUCAGAACAAUCAUACAUGGGAUCUGGUUUUGCCAAGUGAACCAGUUAAGGUAGUUGGAAACAAAUGGAUAUUCAAGAUAAAAUAUCAUGCUGAUGGAACCAUUUCUAGAUACAAAGCCAGGUUAGUGGCUAAGGGGUUUCAUCAGACACAAGGAGUUGAUUACACAGAAACAUUCAGUCCAGUUGUUAAAGCAUCCACAGUCAGAGUUAUUUUAAGUUUGGCAGUUAUGAAUAAAUGGGAGCUCAGACAAGUGGAUGUGAAUAAUGCCUUUUUGAAUGGCAUAUUAGUUGAAGAUGUGUACAUGGGGCAGCCAGAGGGCUUCAUUGAUCCAUCUCGACCUCUUCAUGUCUGUAAGUUGAAAAAGGCUCUCUACGAUUUAAAACAAGCCCCCAGGGCAUGGUUUGAGAGACUGAAAGAUGCUAUGGUUGUGAAAUGGGGUUUCCACAAUUCAAGGUCAGACAACUCCCUUUUCUACAAGUGGAUAGGUGAUCAAGUAAUUUUUGUUCUUGUCUAUGUGGAUGAUAUAAUCAUAACAGGCUCAAGUGAUCAAAUGGUGCAGCAAGUAAUUACCAAUAUGCAAAAUGCUUUUGCUUUGAAGGAUCUGGGCAAAUUGAGUUAUUUUCUUGGGAUAGAAGUUACCAAAACAGCAUCUGGAAUUUAUAUCUCUCAAUCUAAAUACAUAGCUGAUAUUCUAGCCAAACACAAUAUGGCUGACUGCAGUCCAGUUCCUACUCCCAUGGCCACUGGUCAUUAUCUUACAAAGGGGUCAGGAAGUGUUAUUUCAAAUAGUUCUCAAUAUAGAAGUGCAGUUGGAGCUUUAUAAUAUGUGACUCUCACUAGGCCAAAAAUAGCUUUCUCUGUAAACAAACUUAGUCAGUUUUUAGCUUCACCAACAGCAGAGCACUGGGAGGCUUGUAAAAGGCUUCUUAGAUAUUUGAAAGGAACAAUUCAUUUUGGAUUACAUUUUUAUCAUUACGGCACUAUGCAGAUAAAUUGUUUUAGUGAUUCAGAUUGGGCAUGUGAUAAGGAUGAUCGCAAAUCAGUGGCUGGUUAUGCUGUUUAUCUUGGUUCAAAUUUGGUUUCUUGGUCGUCUAAGAAACAAGCAGUAGUUUCCAGAUCAAGCACUGAAGCUGAAUACAGAGCUUUGGCUCAAGCUACAGCUGAGGUUACUUGGAUUCAGUCCUUACUGAAAGAGCUACAUAUUCAUCUUGUCACAGCCCCCAUAAUGUGGUGUGAUAAUCAAAGUGUCAUAGCUUUAGCUCACAAUCCUGUUUACCAUGCUAAAACUAAGCAUGUUGAGCUUGAUAUUCACUUCAUCAGAGACAAAGUAACAGCUAAGCAAAUUACAGUUCAGUUCAUUCCCAGUGAAGACUAAAAUGCCGAUGUUCUUACCAAGGCACUAACCUUCAAUCAGUAUCACUAUCUAAGAAGCAAGCUGAAUGUCCAUCCAGGUCAGUUCAGCUUGAGGGAGGAUGUUACAGAGUAUGAUAAUAUGGUACAGAUGAGAGCAUCUGAUUAAAUGGAGCUGCUGAUGCUUACGUGUGUUGAGUUAGUUAUCCAGCUCAGCAGCAAAGAUAACAAACUGUACUGCAUGCAUAUUAGAUCCAACAAACUGACAAGCUACGUGACGCCUCUAAUCUUUACUAUAAAUAACAAGUUGUAAUCAUUAGUCAAACUAAUGAGAAUGUGAUCAUUUUUCAGAUCUGGUUCUUUAUGAUUUUCUUUUAUUUUCUUGUUAGUUUCUCUUAAACCAAACACUAUAUACAAACUCUUUCAAUUUAAGAUACCUUAAUUUGUCUUUUCAGGAAAUAAAGAAACUACCGGAGAUACUGUGCGAGUUAUAUAAUCUAGAAAAGUUAGAUAUUAAUUGUUGUUCUGAUCUUAGAGAAUUACCCGAAGGGAUUGGGAAGUUAAUAAACAUGAAACAUUUACUAAAUAGAGAUACUAAUUCUUUAAGGUACAUGCCAGUAGGGAUUGGGAGAUUAACGGGUCUUAGGACCUUGGGUGAGUUCCACGUGAGUGCAGGAGGAGGUGUUGAUGGUAGGAAAGCAUGUAGGCUUGAAUCUCUUAAAAACUUGGAACAAGUAUGUGGUAUACGUAGACUGGGUGAUGUAUCAGAUGUAGGCGAGGCUAAGCGAUUAGAACUUGACAAAAAGAAAUACCUCUUCAGUUUGACCCUUGAGUUUGAUAAGAAGGAGGAAGAAGACGGAGAAAGGAGGAAGAACGAGGACGAUCAACUUCUUCUUGAAGCCCUGCGACCACCUCUGGAUUUAAAGGAAUUAGAGAUAGGGUUAUACCGAGGCAACACUGUUUUCCCCAGCUGGAUGACGUCAUUAACCAACUUAAAGAGUUUAAAACUCUCUUUCUGCGAAAAUUGCGAGCAGCUGCCUCCUUUGGGAAAAUUGCCGUCCCUUGAACAGCUCUUCAUAUCGUACAUGUCGAGUGUGAAAAGAGUGGGUGAUGAAUUUUUGGGGGUAGAAAGUGAUCGUCAUGACUCAUCGUCAUCUUCAUCAGUUAUUAUUGCCUUCCCCAAAUUGAAAUCACUUAGUAUUGAGGGAUUGAUGGAAUUGGAGGAGUGGGAUUAUGGGAUUACAAGAACGGGAAACACCUUCAUCAACAUCAUGCCACGUCUUUCUUCAUUGGCAAUUAAUUACUGCCCCAAAAUUAAGGCACUGCCCGACCACUUUCAUCAAACGACAACGUUGAAGGAAUUGAGCAUUUUUAUGUGUGGGCUUCUGGAAGAACGUUAUUGCAAGGGGGAAGGAGAAGACUGGCCUAAGAUAUCACACAUUCCCAACCUCCAUAUUGGGCUUUGACAAGUAAUUUCUUCUCUUACUCUGAUUUGCUUUUGUUGUUGUUUUUAAUCUAAUUAAGAAGCGUAAAUAGCAUUUUGAAUCAAACUCUAUAUCAGAAAUCUGCAAUACAUACUUUCUAAUAUUCUGAUUUUCAUAUCUUAUGAAUGUACGAUUUUUAAUUUGUGAGAUGGGUAACGUUACUGUAAAAGAUUAUUAAUGCAAUAUGAGUAAUUCUUUUGCAGGACAAGUGACCUACAUUUAGUUUGGCUUUGGAGUUGAAUAAUAACGUUUCAAGGCCAGGACCCAACAGCAGGAAAAACAAAAAAAAAGGAACGAAGCUUACUUUUGCCACAGAUUACAUGUAUUGCCACUAUUGACAAGUUUCUGGACAAGUGAUCAAGGGUGAGAGUGGUGCUACAACAUUGAAUAAAGCAGUCGUGACUGAAUUUAGGUUGAUGUCAAAAGUGGUAAAUUAUUUGCAUGUGUAGCUAAUUUGACCAUUUCCUGAUCCAUAAGUCUAUAUUAAUUUUGAUUUUUAGUUGAGUGAUUACAUUUCAAGGUUUGCUUACUUAACAGGGCGACCAAUUUCUUUUAACUAAAUGUAUUAUAUGAUGCAGGAAGCAAGGCAGGAUAUGAAAUAAUGGCAGUUGGCAGUGAAUGGAGGCCCUUGACUAAAUUCUCAAGCGGUUGCACUGCACUUACGCUUAUCCGUAGCCUCAGGUAAUUUCUUCUUCUGCAUUUUUGUAAUUUGUUAUCUAAUUAAGGGGCGUAAGCUAUUUUGAAUCAAAUUCUAUAUCAGGAAUAUAUGCAAAAGCUAUUUUGAAUCAAAUUCUAUAUCAGGAAUAUAUGCAACAUUUUCUAAAAUUUUGAUAUGUGAAUAAUGAUGGUAAUUUCUCUUUUUUGUCUGUCAUCGAAUGUUAGAUAACAUUCACUAAGACUCUUGAGAGUCAUUUUUCGACAAUUGCAGGACAAGCGACGAAGAGUGAGAAUGGUGUUAGAUUGGGGAUUGAGGCAAAACGAGGUAAAUAAUUGGCAGAGAAUUUGGGAGCUUGAGUGUACUGGGAUUUGCAAUUACAAUCUUACUCUGCCUUAGGUGAUUUCUUCUCCUGCUUUGUCAUUGGUUGUUCUCUAGUUGAAAAGCAUUAAGUAUUUCAAUCAAAUUCUAUACCAAGAAUAUGCAAAACUUUAUUUCCAUCUGUUUGCAUUGAUAACUUUGCGGCAUAUGCGCUAGUUAAAGAACAAACAGAAACAGAGGUCAGGAACAAGUUUCCUCUGCCGUCAUAUUUGAAAAUGCAACCAUUUCCGGGAAGUAGUUGGCAGCAAAUUCAUAUAAAGUGUAGACAAUAAUGAGCAAAAAGGUGAUUCAAAAUUUUAUUUUUUUUAAAUUAAUUGUUAGGUUGGAGUUGUUAAAAGGCCAUUGAGCUAACUUAUGUCGUUAGUUAUCUAGAUUGCAGGGGGUCCCGAGACUCAAAAGAAGCAUUGAAUUUUAAAAGGCAUGCAAUAAUUCUUGUGGGCGUAUGUCAAGUCAUGUAAGUUUGAAUGUAAUUAUUGGUGAAGGGGUUUCAUUUUCUGUCUCUAAAUCGAGAUACUGAUUCUUUAAGGUACAUGCCAGAAGGGAUUGCGAGAUUAACAAGUCUCCGGACAUUGGAAGAGUUCCAUUGAGUGGAGGAAGUGCUGAUGGUGGCAAAGCAUGUGGUAUAAGUAGACUGGGAAAGGUGUUAGAUGUGGGUGAGGCUACGAGAUUAGAGCUUAACCAACUGAAAUCCCUCCUUAGGUUGAGACUUAAAUUUGAUGGGGAAGAAGGAGAAGAAUAAGUAAGGAGGAAGAACGUGGAUGAUCAACGUGUUCUUGAAGCCUUGCAACCACCUCUGACUUUGAAGGAAUUAGAGUUACUGUGAUACAGAGGCAACACUUUUCCCCCCUAGAUGAUGCAAAAAUUGAAGGAAUUUACCAAUUUAAGGAAUUUGACACUCUUUAAAACUGCAAAAAUUGUGAGCAGCUGCCUCCUUUGGGAAAAUUGGGAUCCCUUGAAAAGCUCAGCAUAUCGUACAUGGAGAGUGUGAAAAGAGUGGGUAAUGAGUUUUUUGGGGAUAGAAAGUGAUCAUUGUGACUCAUCUUCAUCUUCAUCUUCAUCGCUUAUUAUUGCCUUCCCCAAAUUGAAAUCACUUUCAGUUGAAGGAUUGAUGGAAUUGGAGGACUGGGAUUAUGGGAUUAAAAGAAUGGGAUACACCUCCAUCAACAUUAUGCCACGUCUUUCUUCCUUGGAAAUUAGUGUGGGAUUACGGGAUCGCUUUCGUGAAACAACGACGUUGAAGGUAUUGCACAUUGUGCAUGUCGUACUCUAGGAAGAUGUAACAGACAGAGGAGAAGAGCGACUGGCCUAAGAUCUCUCACAUUCCAG
rnacentral:lncRNA from 1 species